AAAUCUCCAGAUAUCCGAAGAGUCUGAACACUAGGUAGUCUGCCCAAUAUAUCAGGAGUACAACUACUAGGGUUUAAAGCUGAUAUGAAAAUGAGAUUUUUCAGAGAGCUAGAAUAAUUUUUUGGAGGUGCGGGCAGAGUGAUAGAACCAAAGUUUAGAUGCAUGAGUUUUUGCAUCAUCCAAAUAUCCUCUGGUGACUGAUCUAUGUAGCUAGAUGGCAUUUCUAGUGUUUCAAGGUUUAAAAGGGUGCAUAGCAGUGAAGGAAGGCAUUUGGGCGAAGGGAUAUUCAAUUUCAAAUACUUCAAAAGGAAUGAAUUUUCUAAUCCGGGUGGAUAUUGGUCCAGGACUGCAGAACCCAUGUUCAAUACCCGAAGGUAUUUGAACCUUUUAAAAAAAUUCUCGCAAUCUUUCGAAUUAAGAUGAUUGCUUUUUGAACUGUGAUUCAGAAAAGAAGUUUCUGCAGAACCCAUGUUAGAAUGUUUCAAAGAAAAGAAGUCAAUCUGAUUACCCAAAAUGAUGUACCGUUUAACAUUUUCCGGUGGUUCAUCUUCCAUGUCAAGCAUCCAGACAAAUCCCGUCUUCUCUGCCACCAAUAACAAUGAAUAAUAUACAAUACUUGGAACAUAACACGCUUUAAUCGUGCCUCCGGCGCUUCUCUUACUCACUUGAAUGAAGCCGCGAUGGAUUAGUUCUUUCAAGUAAUGUUCGGCCGUCUCCUCACUGUUGUAUGGUAUGAAACCUUCAGCUACCCAUAACUGAUAUAAUUGCCUCGUGGAUAUCUCAAUACUUGGAGGGAAGACACACAAAUAGAUGCAGCAGACUUUCAAGUGAAAAGGUAACUCCAUCACAGAGAAAGUUUGUCUCCAUACUGUCGGAAUCGCUUCGCCUUGAAGAUAAUUUCCUAAUGGCAUACUUCCAUAGUGUAGGACGAAAAAUUGCCAGGCUUCAAGCUUUAAUCUGAUCAAUGGUCCUCCAAUGAGCACCGAAUCAAGCCGAAUCUUCUCUCCGUUUUCCAUUUUCAGCGACGUAAGGAGUUCUGGUUCAGUGACCAAUAUCAAUACUCUGCUUCCAUUCUCAUUAUCAGGGAGAACUUCUUCGAGAUCACUCCAUAUCUCACUGUAAUCGAAGACGUCAUCAAGCACAAUAAAGUACUUCUUGUUGGUUAGGUAAUCUCGAAGAACAGAUUUCUUCAAUUGAUAAUGUUCACCGAUAAUUACACUAACCCGAGAUGGAGGCAUCACAGACUUGAUUAUGUCAUCCAAUAUCCAUACUUUAUCGUAGGCUAUAGAAACCCUUACCCAAGCAUGACAGUCAAAAUAGAACUUGACACGGUUAUUAUUGUAAGUAUCUGCAGCAAAAGCAGUCUUAUCGAAGCCACUGCUGUCGAGAAUUGCAACCACUGAAAGCCCAGAUGGUCCCUCAAUCAAUAGAUCAAAAAACUUCUCUCUGCCCCUUUCAAAUUCACUGAUAUCGAGCCGAGGUUGUCCCUCACUCAAUAGGCGUAUGAUUUCGUUCCUUUUUUCACUGAUAUCAAAACCAUUGUCGCCGGGUGGAAGUUGUUGCAUCCGAUUUCUAAUAUCAAUGAUUUUAGUGUGGAGUCCAACAAGAAGAGCCAUAUCAGUACUGCUUUCACUUUCGUUUUCACUGUUUUGCUGCUGCAUGAUUUUGAUGAAGAAUGUGUCAAUGGCUUCCUCAGAUUCAUGGACAAAGUCAUUGAUGUCCUCCAGAAUUUCAAAAAUAUCUGCUGUUUCAACGUCUUCUUCAUCGCUUUCUUCUAAGUCCAACAGUUGCAAAAAAGGCAAUGAUAUUUUGGAGUCAUCUAAUUCUUCUCUAAGGAGUUGAAACAAAUGCCGAGCCAUGUCAGCUUCAUAGUUUCCCAGCAGAGUAGUAGCAAUAAUUUCGGACUCCGUAAGAAGGUUUUGAAAACGUGGAGUUAAAUUUGUUGAAUCUGGCAAAGUUAACGUGCCUUCUUCACCUGCUAACACCCUUUUCAACCUCUCACAAAACAGUCGGAGGUGGAAUUCCAGCAUAUCUCCUUCUCUCCGUAGCACUCAGAGGUAUAGCUGAAAGAUUAAACACCAUGGAAGAAUUUGAAAGGAAAAUGCCAAGAAAUUGUGUAAGUGGCUAAAUUCCACAAAUAUGACAUUAUUGCUCAUUUUUUAACUCAAAAAAAGGGUACGCGUUCAUUUAGAGAAAAGUCCAAGACGCGUGCUUUUUGAAAAGAACAGGUAUCCCAAUCGGUAUCCAACCUUUAUCUUAUUUAAUUACUACCAUGACAUAAUUGAUGGUGCUUAAAUCAAUUGUUUCUUUUUUAAUUUAAAGAAUUUUUCAUUAAAAAAAUAUUUUAAUAUCAAAUUGCCUUCAGUGGCGUAACAACUGCCUGAAGCCCAGUAACAGGACUAAUUAAAAAUUUUACAAUUUUUGGGCAUGGAAAUAGUAGUAUUAAACAUUAGAAAGGUGAGGUUGUUCUGUUAAAGAAUUGAUAUUGACAUAAUUUUAUUUUGGUUUUCGUGGAAAACAAAAAUAUUUGUUGACAAGCAAGAAAAUAUUUUUAUUUUUUAAAAUUUAUUAUGCAUAUUUUAUCAUAUUGAAGUAAUUUUAAUAAUAAAUAGAAACAUAAUAUUACAAUAAAUAAAUUAAAAUUUAACUUAUUUUGAAUAUUAUAAAAAAUAAUUUUAAUAUUAUUAAUAGGAAGACAUUGUAUUAAUUUUAAAAUUUUUUAACCCAAAGGUUUAUUUAAAAUCUUUAUUAUAAAUACAAAUAUAAAAUUAAAUAUCAUAAUUUAAAAUUUUUAAUAUUAUUUUAAGUAUUAAAAAUAUUUUAAUGUUAUUAGUCUACUACAUAGAUCAUAUUACUUAUAUAAUAUUUGUAUUAUUAAAAAUUUUUAAAAUCAAAUUUUUAGUUAGUAUAUUCAUGAGGUAUUAUGGUUACAAAAAAAAGACCUUAUUAUUACUUUUUAAAAAAUUGAGGGUCUGCGAUGAUAAUUUUUUCAAAAAGAAAAUACAUGGUAUGUAGGAGGGGUAGAGAAACAGGACUUCCAAAAUCUCUCACCCUUCUUUAAUUAAAAAAAAAAUUAAAAUAUUAAUAAAAAAUAAUAAAGAAAAUAGAAUUUUAUCUGCUCCUUACUCCAUUUUUGCAACUCUCUCAACAUCUCUGUCGAGCAGCCUUCUCUCUCAUUGUCUCUCACUAUUUCACGAUCUCUCUCUCACUCACACAGGCAAUGACCAUCUCAUCAUCGGCGGUCGUGUCGUCAGUGUCACUGGUCUUGCUCGACCGAGACAGUGAGAGAGAGGUUUCUUAGAUGGAGUGAUGAUAAAGGAUUCUAUUUUUUUUAUUAAUAUUUUAAUUUUUAAAAUUAAAAUGUGCUGCCGUUUCUCUUGUCUUUUUAGCUGUUUAGCAGCACUCUUUUCAAAAUUUAAGAAUGUAGGUGUCCUAUAAGAGAUCGAUAAAAGAACGUCAAUUAAAUUUAUAAAAAUAUGAUAAAAGAACGUCAAUUACUUGUCUUUUAGGGAAUCCAAUGAGAAAUAUGAUAAAAGAACGUCAAUUACUUGUCAUUUUCAAUUUUUUUCUGUAAGCUAUUUAUUUUGAGCAUUAGUGAUCUUGUCUGGACUACUCCAAUUAUUGACGUAACUCCAGUGGCUGCAAUUAAUGAUAUAAAGCUGAGACUUUUGACCAAGUUAUCUAGUUGGGAAAGCAAAUUUUUUUCCAGUGGGGGUAAAGAAGUGUUGAUUAAAGCUGUUGCUCAGGCUGUGCCAGCCUAUGCAAUGAGUGUUUUUAAGAUCCCUCAUAGCUUUUGUGAUGACAUUGAGAAGGCUAUUACUCGUUUCUGGUGGGGUUCCUCUGAAACAAAAAGAAGCAUUCACUGGACAAGGUGGGAACAGUUGUGCCACGCCAAGAUAAGGGGGGGAUUGGGUUUUAGAGAUUUCUCUAGUUUUAACCAAGCCUUAAUUGCUAAGCAGGGGUGGAGAAUUCUGCAGCACCCUGACUCUUUAAUGGCAAAGAUUCUGAAAGCAAAAUAUUUUAAGCAUACUGGUUUUAUGGAUGCGAAAUUGGGUUCACACCCCUCUUUUGUUUGGAGAAGUAUAUUAUGGGGUAGGCAAGUGCUCCAUAACGGCCUAAGAUGGAGAAUCGGCAGUGGGAGUCAAGUUUUAAUUUCCAGUAGCAAUUGGAUAAAAAACCAUAAGCUUCCCAGUUUGGUUCCAUAUUCAGAUCUACCUCCUGAAACUGUAGUUGCUGACCUUAUUGAUGAAAGUCACCAAUGGAAAGAAGAUAUGGUUUUCCAAUAUUUUCCAAUGGAUGUUGCAAAGAGGAUCACCAGAACCCCUCUCCCAAAAACUCCCCAGCAGGAUCUUCUCAUUUGGAAAUAUGAUAAGCACGGAAUUUACUCGGUGAAGAGUGGGUAUCAAUUGGCUGUUAAGCAAAAAUUCCAAAAUUAUCCAAGUUGUUCAGAUGUUACCAAGUCAAGGUGGGAGGUGAUAUGGGCUACGGAUCUUCUAGGAAAAGUCAAGAUUUUUAUUUGGAGGGCUGCUCAAAAUCUUCUCCCUGACUUUUCUUGCAGCCCUCUAGUAUUCAGGGCAGCCUUAACUUCAUCCAAUGAUAAAGUCUGUCUCCCAUACAUGAGUGCAUCCACAAAGUUUGAAUAUGAGGAUGGAAGUGAACUAACCAGAAGCAAUGCUUUACCUUCAUCAUCUAAACCUUCAUCAAUUAUUUCCAAUGUAUCACAGACCUGAUUGAAUUCAUCAAUGUGGUCUUCGAGAGAUGACCCUUCAGCCAUCUUUAGUGUGAACAUUCUUUUCUUGAUGUAAAGUCUGUUGGCUAAUGAUUUAGUCAUAUACACCCUUUCAAGCUUUGCCCACAGAUCAGCCACUGUUCUUUCUCUUGCAACUUCCCUGAUCACCGAGUCUCCAAGACUCAAGAUUAUGGUACUCCUUGCCUUUUUGUCAAUCUCAGCAGCUUGUUGUGGUGUUAGUGAUGAUGAAGAUGUGGAGGCUUCUAAUCCUUCUUUCUUGAUGAUAGGUUCUAAGGCAUCACCUAGCCCUUGAGUGAUCAGUAAUGCCUCCAUUUUAACCUUCCACAUGUUGAAGUCAUUCUUCCCUGUAAACUUCUCUAGAUCGAUCUUUGAACCAACCAUACUUGUGUCUGAUUUGUAAUCCAAGCUCUGAUACCAAUUGUAGUGUUUAAGAGUGACUAACUAUCCCAAUCAACUCAAAACACUUCCCAAGAUCACACCCAAACAAACAAGAUGUACCAAGAAUCAAUCCAGUAGAAUACACACAGAUUAUUAGAACUGAAAGAAUUAAAGAAAAGGACAAGAAUUAACGUGGUUCAGCUAGCUUCAGUCUAGCUUACAUCCACGGGAGAAACAGAACCCAAUUGUAUUGAUUGUUUAAAGGAGUUACAGAGAGUUCAUCAAGCUUGUUACAGAGUCUCUCAAGAAGCCUUUUGUUAUUAAUCUUCUCAACUCACAAUAGCUCUCUCUUCUUUUUUCUCUGUUGCCAGAAUCAGCUGUAUAUAACAGCUUGUUAACGAAUCAGCAACCAACCCAGGAACCCACGUGACAGUCAUGUGAGUUAACUGAUUCUAACGAACCAAGAACGCAACUUAUCCAUGCACGUGAAACUCUCGUGCAUCACUUAACCAAAACGACCUUCAUACAUGUCGUUCCAGGAGAUACGAGUUUGACUUUCCAAAACGCAGCAUCAGCUGACGUUUUCACAAACAGAUUUGCUUCACAUCACAACAUUGGGGGUAGUCAUUAGAAACUCUGUGGGUAAGGUUGUUGCUGCAGCAGUCCAAGGAGCUCCAUAUAGGGGAGAUGUGGCGUGUAUGGAGGUUGAAGCUGUUCUGUUUGGUAUUCAGAGUGCCCAACAAGCAGCUGUUUUCCCAAUAAUUAUUGAGUCGGAUUCAAAGGAAGUGGUGGAUCUAUCCUUAAAGAAAAAGAUCAGCAAGACUGAAAUUGAGUGGAAAAUUGCAGAAAUCCAAGCAAAUCUGGAAAAUCAGAAUGUGUCCUCGCUGUCAUAUGUCCCUAGAAGCUGUAACUCUAUUGCUCAUUCUAUUGCAAAGAUAGCUCUAGGUUUUGAAAGUCAAGUCUUUUGGCUGGAAAACUUUCCAGAACAUAUCAGGUGUACUCUUGCUAAGUUCAUCAAUUGAAAAGCUUUACUUUGCUCAUCAAAAAAAAAAAAAAAAAAAAAACUCCAGUGGCUGCAUCCACUGGAAAAAGUGGAUGAGAACCAUUUUUUUUUCAUAAAGGUAACUACUCACAUAAUUGAUGGUGCUUAAAUCAAUUUUUUCUUUCUUUUUUUUUUAAUUUAAAGAAUUUUGCUUUAAAAAAUAAUUAAUAUCAAAAUGCCUUCAAUGUUGUUACCCUCACAAGCCCAGUUAGAGGACUCAUUAAAAAUUUUAGAAUUUUUAGGCCUGGAAAGCGUAGUAUUAAACAUCAGAAAGCAAAGGUUUUUAUGUCGAAGAAUUGAUGUCGACAAAAUUUUAUUUUAGUUUUCGGGAAAAAAAAUAAUUUGUUGACAAGCAAGAAAAUAUUUUUUAUACUUUACAAUCUGCUAUACAUAUUUUAUCAUAUUAAAGUAAUUUUAAUAAUAUAUGGAAACAUAAUAUUAUAAUAAAUAAAUUAAAAUUACUUUGAAUUAUUAAAUAUUACAAAAAGAUAAUUUUAAUAUUAUUAAUAGGAAAACAUUUUUUAAUUGUAAAAUCUUUUUAAUACAAAAAAUCAUUUAAAAUCUUUAUAAUAAAUACAAAUAUAAAAUUAAAAAAUAUCAUAAUUAAAAUUUUUAAUAAUAUUUAAAUAUUAAAAAUACUUUAAUAUUAUUAAUCUACUACAUAAAAUAUAUUAUUUGUAUUAUACUCGUAUUGAUUAAAACGUUUUAAAGUCAAAUUUUUAAUUAGUGUAUUCAAAGGUAUAAAAGAUUUUAGUAUUAUUUUUUAAAAAUUUCAGGAUAUGAAUGAUAAUUUUUUCAAAUUUUAAAGAUGUAAGAAUCUUUUUUUCUGAUAAUUUAUUUCACUUUUAAGAGAAUCCGAAAACGUUAAUUUAACAUUCUUUACCUUUGUAUAAAAAGUGAAAAUCAAGAACUAUUCAAUUUUGUUUUUAUUUGUAAUUCAAAAACGUUAUUCAUUUUCGAUGCUUUUCAAAAGAGAUUCCUUUAAAUCCUUUUGGUGGCUGCAGCUCCUGCAAUUUUCAUAAAUCUCCAUCCCACAUCAACACUAUCAAACAAGUUGAUGGAAAUUCUUAUCAAAAUUCCACAAAUAUGACGUUAUUGCUCAUUUUUCUCUCAAGACGCGUGCCUCCUGAAAAGAGAUACAUUGAAUAAGUCAAUUGAUUACAUUGUGGGUAAUUAAUUUAGAAGUGAAGCAGAGAAUAAAGUCCUAGAUGCCUUUAGAAAUUAGAAAUACAUUUUAUAUGCUUUAAUUAAUGAAUUCACUGAGGCAUUAUUGAUCCAAUCCCAGUGAAGUAAUUGUGGGUGAAAAAAAAAAAUAAAGUGCUGAAUUGGCUAUUAAAAAAGAGUGUCACUUGAUCACAAUCACAUUGAUCCACAACUCACUCGAGGCAAAUUUCAUCUAUGUGUACUGCAAAUUUAGCCAAACCAUGCAUGCAUGAACAAAAUUAGGCCGUAGUCCUCAUCACAACAUUAAUUGAAGCCACAAAAGCCAGCAAAUCCAAACGAAAACUUAAAAGGAAGUCUUUUAACUAUUGGAAACAUUAAUCAUUUUACAAUCUAUUACAUAAUAAAGAUAAAUUUUAUAAUAAGUUAAGUUAGAACUAGGGAAGGCAAAUUUUCCCGAUGGGAUGGGAUCCUGCGGGAUCCCAUCCCAUUUGGGACGGGAUUGAGACAUAUUUUUGUCCCAUAAAAAAAUUUAGGACGGAAUUGGGAUUUUUUUUAUCCCAAUUACAUAUGCGGGACAUGAGUGGGAUUGACAAAUUCCGUCCCAUCCCAUCUCAUUACCGAUUAAUAAUGGAAAUUUUUCCAAUUGGGAUGGGAUCCCGCGGGAUCCCAUCUCUUUUAGGACGGGAUUGGGACAUAUUUUUGUCCCAAAAAAAUAUAAGGACGGGAUUAUGACAUUUUUUCAUCCCAUUUGCAUAUACGGGAUGGGACUGGGAUUGGUAAAUCCCAUCCCAUCCCAUCCCAUUGCCAACCCUAGUUAAAACAUAUCAAAUAUUUUCAACAUAUAUAAUUAUUUAAGAAGUCUUUUAACAAUAUUUUUUUUUCUUUUUCAGUUAAUCAUGUCAUAUACCGUUAUCUAAAACGCUGGCGAUAUUAUUAUUCCUCACUUUUCUCAAAAAAAAAAAAGAAAAAAAAAAGAAACAUGAUUAACGUUUAGAGAAAAGUCAUGCCUUUUAAAAAGAAUAUGUAUACAAUAGCAAUCCAUACUUUAUAAAAUUGAUGGCGAUUACAAAGAAAAAUUGUUUAAAAUAGAUUUGAUGCACAAAUAUGAUGACUUUUGGCAAAAAUUAGUUUCGGAAAUGUUGAGAUGAAAACCAUAUUAAUUGAGAAUUAAAAUUAUUUAACUACCAUCUAAUAGAUGAAAACCAUAUCAAUUGGGACUUAAAUUAAAAUUUAAAUAUUGAAAUAUCUAGCAUUACUCACAAUAACCAAUUCAAAUUAUGACUAUCAUGUAGAAGCAAAUGUUUAUGCGUGGGUUUUUUACUUCUUGAAUUUGAUUGGAAAAAUUUCUAAGAUAGAGAAGUGUUUUGGAUAAGCUUUUCGGGAUUGAAACCACAAAUUGGUAGAGGAAAUUAAUUUUGGACAAAUUUUUCUUAUAUUGUAGGACCUUCUAGUUGGAGUAGUGAUGGCUUUGUCUUCAUUUUUGGUUCCUUUUGUGUCGGCAGCCCCUUACUAUUCUCUUGACCCUGAGUUUGAGAUAGAAAUUUAUCAACCUCCAACCCCACAUCCACAAACAAGUUGAUUGAAACAAUUGCUCUUUUAAUUAAGAGGACCCAAAUGAUUUAGGUUUCAGUUCUUAUCAUUUGUCUAUUAUUUCUUUGAAACAUUUAUUUUGAGCGUUACUGAUCUUAAUUAUCUGUAUUUCUCCAAUUAUUGAAGAAUUUCAAGUGGCCACUUUUUCUCCUUUUUAUAUAUGUUUAUUUUUUGGAGUGAUCAAACGGGUGCAAAAUCAAGUAUUCGCUGGUCCGUAGUUUAGCCAACUAUGGCUGAUCCACACAGUUGAUUAUAUGAUACUAUUAGCUCUCAAAAUCUUUCUUAUUUGAGAACAUAAAUUGCCCAUUAAAGUUAAACUAUGUUACCCAGCUCCAUGCACAUACAUUAAAUGUUUAGGUAGUUUUACAAAAUGAUAACAGCAUGCCAAAACUUGAUGUUGUCAUAUUCGACAUUUCAAAUUGAAAAAUACGCAAGCAAUCUUCAGUGAACAUUACGUGUUUAUUGAAUAAUUUAAAUGGCCAGUAAAUCAACAGUCCGUGAGUUUUAAAUCUAUUAUGACUUAAUGUAUCUUUCUGUAUUUGUACACAUAUUAUAUUAUCAUAGUUUAAAAUUUUAAUAUUAUUUUAAAUGUUAAAAAUACUUUAAUGCUAUUAGUCUACUACACAGGUUAUAUUAUUUAUAUUAUAUUUGUAUUAAUUAAAACUUUUAAUGUCAAUUUUCUAAUUACUAUAUUAAUAAAGUAUUAUGGUUAAGAAAAAGUUUUGGCAUUUCUUCUUGAAAAUUUGAGGGUCUGCAUGACAAUUUUUCCAUAUUCUAAGGGUAUAAGUUUGAAAAUUUAACAUUCUCUAAAUUGAUGAAACAAAAAGGGGAAACCAAGAACUAUUCAAUUUUGUAUUUUUUGUUUGUAAUUCAAAAAAUGCAUCCACCAAACAAGUUUUACGCAUUAAUGCUGUCAUAAAACGAAAAACAAUUUGCCAAAAAAGGGUACCAAACAUAUCCUUAAUGUCUCACAUGAUUUCUUAGUAAGCCCGUAUUAGAUAUAUUUAUACAUUUUAGGUAUUUUAGUUAUAAAAGAAGUUGGCCCUCCCUUGUUUAUAAAAAAUAACUUUAUUCAUGCACAUAUGCCAAAAGAAUAAAUAGACAGAAAGUAAAUUUACAGUCCUCACUUCCUCACAAUUGUUAACGUGAAGAUGCAUUACAACUGUGAACUGUCACUACUUUAGCCUUUUUUUUUAAAAAAAAAAAUUAUAGUGUGAUGGAGACAUUAAGGAUGAGCAUAACAGUUAAAGAUGACUCAUUUUCUUUUUAAAGUGCUCUGCUGAAAGCCGAACUUCCUUUGGCUAAUUAAUUUAGAAGUAAAGCAGAGAAUAAAGUCCUAGACGCCUUCUGAAAUAAGAAAUACAUUUUAUAUGCUUUAAUUAUGAUUAUUUGGUAGACUAAAGACCUAAAAGAUAUGUCAAAAGUAUAAAACAGAGCGAUUAAAGAAAAAAGAAAAAAAACAGAGUAUUUGUGACGUAGAAUAACAAUUGGUAAAUAAAUCCUAAAUAUUUGAGUUGUUAAAAGCAAAUAUAACAGAGACGGUAAGAGAGAUGCAGAAACAGAAAACUAUUAGCUUAUCUUGAUUUUUCCACUAUAUUCAUUUUCAAUGCUUUUCAAACGAGAUUCUUUUAAUUCUUCUGGUGUCUGCAGCCCCGGCUAUUCUUAUAAAUCUCCAUCCCACAUCUGCACUACGAACAAGUUGACUGAAAUUAAAUAAUGUUGGAGAUGAAGGGUGAGCCGUCAACUUGUUAAAAAAAAACUCAUGUAUAAUAUUAUCAAUAAUAUAAAAUAUAUAAUAAUUAUUACAAAGAAUCAUAAAUUAGAAAAAUUAAUUAUUUUACAAUCUAUUUCUUAAGUAAGGUGGCGUUUGUUUUUUCAUCUGAAAUCUGAAUAGACCUGAAUUAAUCUGAAUUCUGAAUAGAUCUGAAUGUCUGAAUCUGAAUAAUAUGUUUGUUUUUUUGUUUGAAUCUUGGAAAAUAAGUAUUAAGUUGUUUGUUUUUUUCAACUUAAAAAGCUGAAAAUAUGUACUUUUACAUUUAUAUCCUUAUUAAAUUUGAAUGUCAAAUAAAUAAUAAAUUAAAUACCACAAUAUUUUAACAUUUAUAAGUAAAACUAUAUUCAAGUGAAUACAUAAUUAUUUUGGAAUUUUAAUAGAUAAAAUACUAAAAAUUUUAAAUUUUAUCGUAUAUAAUAUAAGAAAGAAAAAAUAGGAAAAUUUUCAUGUGGGGUAAAUGUUUAUGGGUGAGUUUUGGGAUAGACAUGAAAAAUAAAUUAUAAAGCAGGGAUAUUUUUGAUAUUAGCAAGUAAUUGACUUAAUUCAGAUUUCUCCAUUAAGUAAAAAGCCAAAAGAAUUGGCUUAUUUUAUUAAGUCAAAAUUAUCUAAAAAGUCUCAUUAAGUUAUAAAAACAAACACCUCUAAUUAACUUAAUUAAUUAAGUUAAGUCACUUUAAGUCAUUAAGUUAAAAAACAAACGCCACCUAAGAUAAAUCUUGUAAUAAGUUAAGUUAUAACGUAAAAAAUAUUUUCAAUUUAUAAUCAUUUAAGAAGUCAUUUAAUAAUAAAAUCUUUUUUUUUUAUCAGUAGGCCAUGCUACAGAGUAUCAUCUAUAUUCGUGGUGAUAUUAUUAUUACUCAGUAUCCUCAAAAAACACGAUUUAACAUUUAGAGAAAAUUCCUGCCUUUUAAAAAGAACAUGUAUGCAAUAGCUAGCCAUACUUUAUUUUACCACGACAAAAUUGAUGGUGAUUAAAUCAAUUUUCUCAAUUAAAGCAAAAUUUUUUAAAAUUGAUUUAAUGCACAAAUAUGAUGAUUUUUUGUAAAAAUUAGUUUUGGAAAAUAUAGUGAGAGAAAAUGGUGACGAUUAUUUUUCAAAUGUGCAAAUAGCCUAAACAUAAUCUCUAAUACCAAUAUCCAUGUGCAUCUUAACACCUUUCAUGAUAUUCUUUCAUUCAUGGCCAUUUGUUCAAGAUUUGAAUUUGAUUAUUAAAUUAUGUUCAAUAAUGUUAGAGAUCCCAACAAUUGAGUACCAACUUAAAUCCCAAUGCUAUGUGUCAUUAACAAAUGUUGUGUCAUUUAUAAUUAUUGAAUGAAUAAUUCGUUAAUUUAUUGAUAAAUGAAAAUUUAUUAAUUUAAAGAGAGAUAUUUUUUUUUGGUUUUAAGAAGAGUUUUGUUGGUACAUGUACAUACUUAUAAAGAAAUAAACUUGUAAUUAUACUAUAUCUUUCUUUCUUUGUUCAGUUUGGUGGGAUAUUGUGAUAAAUCAUUGGAUUAAAAUGCAUUUCUAAAUUGAAACUUGUUAAAAUCUAAUUUAUUUGGGAAACACAUGUUAUUUGUCAGUCGUACUUCUCAACUUAGCAAGUUAUUUCUAACUUGUCAGUCUCUAUUGGUUCUCUUAAAGUUAAUAGUCUCGAAUCUCCCGCAUUUGAUAUCUUGCCAUUACUCUUGGCAUUAACAUGUUACCUGAGAUUGGGAUUCAUUAAAAUCCUCAAUGUAAUCGGUGGAACGAAUGGAUUUCUUCUGUUCACCAAUCCACCAAAAUUUCUGUAAUUAAAUUCAAAAGUCAAGAUCUAUGCUUAUAAUCUAUUCAACAGUUAAUAUUCUAUUUUAUAUUUACUUAAAUAUGAAGAGCUAUGCUUGUCAUUAACUUCAAAUGUGAUCGAAGCAGCCUUACAUCUGUAUAUUACUUAUUCCCAACCUUUUUUUUGACUUCAUAUACUUUCUUUUCAUGUUAUUUACUCUUUUUUCCCCCCUCUCUAAUGGGGUCAAACUUGAAAGUAUCUUAAAAUCAGACAAUAAUUUUUUUUUUAUGAUAGAUGCUAAUAUGCUCUAUUAGGCAAUGAUAAGUAAUAACCUAGUUGUUUGCAUUAGAAAUGAUAUUUUUUGUGGUGCUGAUAAAGUGGUUGAGUAUGAUUCAACAAUUUAAAAUAUGAAAACAUGUGGAAGACGGCUGCAAAUAAAUUGAUUGUAUGAAAAUAUUUCAAUGAAAUUUUAAAAAUUUAAUACUUGUUAUCUUAUCGAGAGUUCCCAAAUAAUUGGGCUAGUUUAAUUACCGGCCUAAUUAUUGUAGCCACUAUUGUAUGUUCCCAAAUGAUCCCCGGGUUAGCUCAUUUAAUUGACUGCACCACUACUGGACUAAUAAGUAAGAUAACUAGCUAUUUGGGUCAAAAGCCUAAAUAUAUCAUUUAGUGGGAGGCUCCAUUUAAUUAGCUUUUGUAUAAGGGGCCUUAUGUUAUUUUACAAGGUGGGUCCCCUAUUGAAAAAGAAAAUAACGUGAGUUUUAUUUAGGGCAUUAUUUGGAGCCUAGGGUUUUCACUAAAGGGAGAUAUAUAAGGCUUAUUUUCUCUAAAGAAAAAAGAAAAGCCACUUUAUACAGAUCAGAGAAUAAGAUUUUUCUCUCCAUUGUUGAGAGAAAAAUUUUCUCGUGCUAGUUGCUUUGGUAGUGAUAAAGGCGCCCACACGUCAAGUGCAGAUCGAACCUGAGUCAUAACCUGGAAGAUCAUUGGUGACAGUUCAUGAUCUAACAAGCGUGGUGGUGACGGUUCGUGAUCUAACAAGCGUGGUGGUGACGGAUCGUGAUAUAACAAGAGUGGUGGUGGCGGAUCGUGAUCUAGGAGCCUAAAUCACUUCAGCGGAAAAAGCCAACUCGGAUUUUCAAGGUACGAUUUCUAGAAUACGAAUUCUUAUAUAUUAUAUGAGAGCGAUCUUCAAAAGGUUUUAUAAAAAUUUAAAAGCAGCAUGUGCUGCUGGCAGCUCGCUGCUGCGUAUGUAGCAACUGCAGCGCGCGAGCAGCAGCUGCAGUGCCCAAGCAGCAGCGUGAACGUGGGCUGGAGGCGCAGAGCGUUCUGGUUGGCGUCUUUCCGGCGUCGAUGACGGCUGUCCGGUGUGGAAACAGUAAACAACGGCUGGGUUUUUGUGCUGGUGGCGGCUGGGGAAGAAGAGGAAAAGAAAAAUGUGAUUUUAGGGUUCCAUGGUUUUUAUCGUGGAGGUCCCUAUAGCUUCAUAUUUUUCAGUUGGGCAGAAACGUUUUUUAAUUUUUUGCAUUUAAGUCCAAAAACCGUUUUGGGCUUAAAGAAUCCUAGUUUUAGGCCCAAUUUCAAUUGGGCUUAAUGGAUUAAAAAAAUGCAUAGACAAAAUUAAAUACAUUAAAUUUAUUUUUGGUCCAAAAGUUUUAUUUUAAUAAAAAAAAUUAAUUAUUUAUUUAUUUCCUUUCAAAAUUAAAAUUGGACCAAUUAUAAAUUUAAAAGCCCAAUUUCCCCUAGUCCAUUAACAAAAACAAGCUUAUGGAAGAUGGACAUUGACAAGAAGCCCAAUGAAGAUUAGGCAUAGGGUUAAUGUAUUUUUCAUUAUUAGGAAAGGCAUGAAUUAAGAUUAUUUAAUUGUUUUUCUAUAUGUUAUGUUUUGGAUGAUAACAUGCCAUGAUAACAUGUAAUAUAGAAUAGGUAGUGCCACUCUAUGCAUAAUGAUACAUGUCAUUCAUUAAUUAUGAAUUUCAUUAUAUUGUUUGAAAUUUGCGCAUGCUUAAUAAUAUUUGAUAUCAUCUAGAUAAUAUUAUAGGAAGCAUGCAAUUAACAAUAUGUAUGUUUUAAAAAGGAAAAACCAAUUUUAAAAUAUUGAGUGGGAGAGGGAAAAUUCAAGAUAAUUUUCCCACGGGCUCCAUUGUUAGUUCAAUAAUAAAAUUAUAUAUAUACCUCGACUUCAUGAUACAGUGAUGCUCAUUACGGAGGGUAUAUAUAUUAGAUAGUUUAUUUGAUGAACUUCUUCAAAGAUAAAAUUGAAAUAUUUUUCAAUCGAUUGUUCACCCCAACGGUGACUAUUGAUAUGAAAAAUACGUAGAUUGAAACAAUGGUUAUACACUCAACUAAAGUUUGUUAUUAAUCUUCCCAACGAAGCUCUGUUAACAAAUUUAGGCCCAAAAAGAUAACGAUAAUUAUUUAUCAUGUCUCUACAUGAAAGUAAAUAAUCCAAUGGGUAAUUGGGUCUAGUAAGUAUAGACAUGACUUCCCCACCGGAUAGCUUGUCAAAGCAGUACUAGAUUAUCGUUACAAUAAAUUAAAAUGCAUUUAUGGUUUUUUGCAUUUUUUUCAUUUAUUGUGAAUAUUGAUUCAAAUUAUUUAUGCAUGGAUGUUUUUAUUUUUCAGAAAAUGUCUUCCCUGAGCCCACUUACUAUUAUUCUGAGUCAAAACAAACUCACUGGAGAGAACUAUAUAGAUUGGAAAAGAAAUCUAUUCAUUGUCCUGACUGCUGAAAAUUAUAAAUAUGUCUUAACCCAGCCAUGCCCCCCAGUUCCAGCGGAUGAUGCUCAUAGAAAUCAGAGGAGGCUUUAUGAGAAAUGGCAAAAGGCCAAUGAAAUGGCAAAGUGCUACAUUUUAGCCUCGAUUUCUAAUAUUCUGCAGACCAAACAUCAGAACUUGGAGACUGCCACUGAAAUAAUGAAUAGUCUCCAACAGAUGUUCGGGCAGAGUACUCGCUCUGCGAGACAAGCAGCGCUGAAAGGAAUUAUGAACAGUAAAAUGGGGAAGGGCACAAGAGUUCGUGAUCAUGUCCUCAAAAUGAUGGACUAUUUGAAUGAGGCUGAGAUUCAGGGAGCACAAAUCGAUGAUAACUCAAAGAUUGACAUGGUGCUAGAAUCUCUGCCAGAAACAUUCAAGGAGUUUAAGGUCAAUUAUAACAUGAACAAAAGAAAUAUGACCUUAACUGAAUUGAUGAAUGAACUCCAUUCUGCUGAAGAGAUCUAUCGUGCUGAGAAAUCUCUGGGAAGCAUAAAUUUUACUGAAAAAAGUUCAUCUUCUGGGCCUAAACCGAAAGGCAAAGGUAAGAAGAAAGCUGGGAAAAAAAGACCGUCUACCAAGCAAGAUGGCAAGCCGAAAGGCAAAUGCUUCAAGUGUGGACAGAAAGGUCACUGGAAAAAGGAUUGCCCUAAGAUUGUGAAAUCAGGUAUGGGAAAUCUUUUUUGUAAUUGAGGCCUGUUUAGUUCAGAAUCCUAUUGACACUUGGGUGUUGGAUUCAGGAGCAACUAAUCAUAUUUGUAAUUCACUUUAUUGGUUUCAGGAAACCAGGAAAAUAAGUGAAAGAAGCGUCAAGCUGCAGUUAGGGACAGGACAGUUCGUGUCAGCAGUAAAGACUGGAUCUGUUUUAUUAUCUUUUAAUAAUGAGACUUUAGUUUUGAAUAAUUGUCUUUAUGUUCUAGACAUUAAGAGGAAUUUAAUUUCAGUAGCUUGUUUGUCAAAGCAAGGGUACACUGUAAAUUUUGGAUCCUCUGUUUCUAUUUUUCAUAAUAAGAGACUUAUUUGUUCUGGUACAUUGGAAGAUAAUUUAUAUCAUUUAAGUCCAAUGAUCCAUUCUAUGCAUGACACAGUGAUAAAUAAUAAUGAGCAUACACAUUUAUCUAAGAAAAGAAAUAUUUCUUCCAACCAAUGUUACCUCUGGCAUUUAUGCUUGGGUCAUAUAAACCAAAAUAGGAUACAAAGAAUGAUCAAAGAUGGGCUCUUGGGUCCAUUAGAAAAUGAAUCAUUGCCACUCUGUGAAUCCUGUUUAGAAGGGAAAAUGACCAAAAGGCCAUUCUCGGCCAAAGGAGUACGUGCAACAGUACCACUUGAAUUGGUACAUACAGAUGUAUGUGGACCAAUCAAUGUACAAGCUCGAGGAGGUUAUGAGUAUUUCAUCACUUUUACUAAUGAUUACUCAAGAUACGGUUAUGUUUAUCUGAUGCGUCAUAAGUCUGAAGCUCUUGAGAAAUUCAAAGAGUAUAGGGCUGAGACAGAAAAGCAAUUAGAUAAGAACAUAAAGAAACUUCGAUCUGAUCGAGGUGGUGAAUUUCUCUCAGGAGAUUUCAAAGAGUAUCUGGUUGAAAAUGGGAUUAUAUCUCAAUUGACUGCCUCGGGAACACCACAACAAAAUGGGGUAGCUGAAAGAAGAAAUAGAACUCUUUUGGAUAUGGUGAGAUCUAUGCUUAGUUAUUCUUCAUUACCAAUCUCUUUUUGGGGACUAGCACUGGAAACUGCAGUUUACCUUUUGAACUUAGUUCCAUCUAAGUCAGUGCCUAAAACCCCAAUAGAAUUAUGGUCAGGUCGCAAACCAAGUUUACGACAUGUCCGUAUUUGGGGAUCACCAGCACAUGUGCUGAAACCAAAGGCAGACAAAAUGGAUUCACGUUCUGAGGUUUGUAUGUUUGUGGGGUAUCCCAAAGGAACAAGGGGAGGUUUAUUUUAUAGUCCUCAAGAUAGGAAAGUGAUCGUGAGCACACAUUUCACUUCCCUUGAGGAAGACUAUAUGAAUAACUUCAAACCUAAGAGUAAGGUAAUACUUGAAGAGCUGUCAGGUGAUCAGGUUGAUGCUCAGCUUUCAACGCCUGUUACAGAACAGGAAGAACAGCAACAACCAGAUGAUCAACACAGGAUUAACCCUGAACAACCAUCACUUUUAUAACCUCGUCGUAGUGGGAGGGUAACUAGGUUACCUGCGAGAUACAUGUUUUUGGGAGAAAUCUAUACGGCUAUCUCAGAUGAACAUGUACAAGAUCCCACUAGUUACAACGAAGCUCUAAUAGAUAGAGAUGUUGAAUUUUGGAAAAAGGCCAUGAAUCAAGAAAUGGAUUCUAUGUAUUCCAAUAAAGUCUGGGAACUUGUAGAGGCACCAAAUGGGAUAAAACCUAUAGGGUGCAAGUGGAUCUACAAGAGAAAAAGAGGAGUAGACGGAAGGGUGGAAACAUUUAAAGCAAGAUUAGUAGCCAAAGGGUUUACUCAGAAAGAGGGAAUUGAUUAUGAGGAAACUUUUUCUCCGGUUGCUAUGCUUAAAUCCAUCAGGAUUCUGCUCUCCAUUGCUGUAAUGCUAGAUUAUGAAAUUUGGCAAAUGGAUGUCAAGACUGCCUUUCUUAACGGGCAUCUUGAAGAAAACAUCUACAUGCAGCAACCAGAUGGAUUUAUACAAAAAGGCCAAGAACACAUGGUAUGUAAGUUGCAGAAAUCCAUUUAUGGAUUGAAACAAGCAUCCCGGUCAUGGAACAUCAGAUUUGAUCAAGCGAUUAAAUCGUUUGGAUUCAUUCAGAACAUUGAUGAACCAUGUGUGUACAAGAAAAUUCAAGAAAAAUCUGUAGCCUUCCUAAUUUUUUAUGUAGACGAUAUUCUCCUAAUUGGAAACGAUAUAGGAGUAUUGACUACAAUAAAGAGUUGGUUAGCAAAACAAUUUGAUAUGAAAGACCUGGGAGAGGCAAGUUAUAUUCUUGGUAUCAAAUUACUACGAGACCAGAAGAAUAAAACUUUAGCCUUGUCUCAAGCGGUCUAUAUCGAUAAGAUAUUGGCUAGAUUUAGCAUGGAAAAUUCCAAGACUGGUUUAUUACCAUUCAGACAUGGAAUUACAUUCUCUAAGGAUCAAUCACCUAAAACAUCUGAAGAGAUAGAGAGAAUGAGACGAGUUCCCUAUGCAGAAGCUGUGGGAAGUCUUAUGUAUGCCAUGCUUUGCACUAGGCCAGACAUCUGUUUUGCGGUAGGGAUGGUUAGUAGAUAUCAAUCUAAUCCUGGACCUGAACACUGGACUGCGGUCAAGCAUAUAAUGAAGUAUCUGAAAAGAACUAAAAAUUAUAUGCUUGUGUAUUCUGGUGAUGAACUCAUUCCAGUGGGUUAUACUGAUUCUGACUUUAUGUCAGAUAAGGAUUCCAGAAAAUCAACUUCCGGCUAUGUGUUUACAUUGGGAAGUGGAACUAUUAGUUGGAGGAGUGUGAAACAAUCUUGUAUCGCAGACUCCACAACUGAAGCUGAAUAUGUGGCUGCAUCCGAAACUGCAAAAGAAGCUGUAUGGCUCCGCAAGUUCCUACAAGAUCUUGAGGUGGUACCUGCUGUAACUGCACCCCUUAAACUAUUUUGCGAUAAUAGUGGUGCGGUAGCUAAAUCUAAGGAACCACAAGAAACAAAAACAUAUUGAGAGGAAGUAUCAUCUUAUAAGGGAUAUAGUGCAGAGAGGUGAUGUGGAGGUUACUCAGAUUGCGUCACAGCAAAACUUGGCAGAUCCUUUUACUAAGGCCAUACCUGGGAAACCUUUUAACUUGCACUUGGAAUCCAUGGGCAUGCGUGAGAUGCCAAAUAUGCUUUGAGAGCUAGUGGGAGAUUGUUGGGAAAAUAUGCCCUUUAAAAGCAUAUGUGUUUAUUUAAUUGUAAUAAACAAUUUUUCUGAUUAAUAAAAUAAAUGAGGUAUUUUAUUCAAAUAUCUUAAUUGCAUUAAUAUUUGUAUUAAAGUCCAUUUAAUCAUAUUAUAUGUAUUUAUGUGAUCACCAUGUGGAUUCACAGAAGACAUAAAUACAAGUUAUCUUAUGAUUAAAUAAAUUUAGUUCGCAGUUGAUAAAUAAAGUUGGGCACUUUAUUUAGGUAUAGACUGUAAUAAAUUCAUUGAAUGAUUUGUCUUAAUCAUGUAUGAAUUUAUUGAUGUAGUACGACUACAUUAAACAGGAUCACAUGUGAGAUUUAAUUAACUUUGUAAUAACUGUCAGACUUAUUAAAUCUUAUAGGCAUUGAUUUUACUGUAAUCUUAAUCUUGAGUUAAUUAUGAUUUCAUGAUUGUAAUUGUUAUUCCAUUUGAGUUACCAAUGGGCACGACACAUCCUUGUGGUCAAGAUUACCCGGUAUCUUGGUGGGAGCAAUUAUGAGUAUUGGAGUUAUGGAUUAACAAUAUAGAAUUUGUACAACACAUCUCUCGAUAGGUUUUCGGCACUUGAUCAUAGAAUUCUUUGGCCAGAGUGUGUCAACAUAUUUAGUAUGUUGAAAAUGAUCAUUAGAGAAAACCAGUAAGGAUCAAGGAAUAAGAUGUUAUUAAAUUGAUUGGACAGUUGAGAUAUCAAUUUAAUUAACGAUGUGGUACAAAGGAUUGUGCAGUAAAGAAAUCAAUGUGGCUUGGGACGAAUUAUUAUUCGAGCAUACAAUUAUGGAAGUCAGUUCCAAUCUUUUAGUGGAGUAGAUUUGGAAUUAAAUAAUUGGGCUAGUUUAAUUACAGGCCUAAUUAUUGUAGCCACUAUUGUAUGUUCCCAAAUGAUCCCCGGGUUAGCUCAUUUAAUUGACUGCACCACUACUGGACUAAUAAGUAAGAUAACUAGCUAUUUGGGUCAAAAGCCUAAAUAUAUCAUUUAGUGGGAGGCUCCAUUUAAUUAGCUUUUGUAUAAGGGGCCUUAUGUUAUUUUACAAGGUGGGUCCCCUAUUGAAAAAGAAAAUAAUGUGAGUUUUAUUUAGGGCAUUAUUUGGAGCCUAGGGUUUUCACUAAAGAGAGAUAUAUAAGGCUUAUUUUCUCUAAAGAAAAAAGAAAAGCCACUUUAUACAGAUCAGAGAAUAAGAUUUUUCUCUCCAUUGUUGAGAGAAAAAUUUUCUCGUGCUAGUUGCUUUGGUAGUGAUAAAGGCACCCACACGUCAAGUGCAGAUCAAACCUGAGUCAUAACCUGGAAGAUCAUUGGUGACAGUUCAUGAUCUAACAAGCGUGGUGGUGACGGUUCGUGAUCUAACAAGCGUGGUGGUGACGGAUCGUGAUCUAACAAGAGUGGUGGUGGCGGAUCGUGAUCUAGGAGCCUAAAUCACUUCAGCGAAAAAAGCCAACUCGGAUUUUCAAGGUACGAUUUCUAGAAUACGAAUUCUUAUAUAUUAUAUGAGAGCGAUCUUCAAAACGUUUUAUAAAAAUUUAAAAACCGAAUUUUUUCACCAACACUAUGUAGCUAGAUGGCAUUUCUAGUGUUUCAAGGUUUAAAAGGGUGCAUAGCAGUGAAGGAAGGCAUUUGACCGAAGGGAUAUUCAAUUUCAAAUACUUCAAAAGAUAUAAAUUUUCUAAUCCGGGCGGAUAUUGGUCCAGGACUGCAAAACCCAAAUUCAAUACCUGAAGGUGUUUGAACUUUUUACAAAAAUUCUCGCAAUCUAUCAGAGCGAGACGAUCGCUUUCUGAACUGUGAUUCAGAAAAGAUUGGAGACGCAUGUCAGAAUAUUCUAAAGGAAAGAAGUCAAUCAGGCGUUCCACAAUGAAGCACCGUUUAACAUUUGCCACUGAUUCUUCUUCCAUUUCAGGCGUCAAGACAAAUCCCGUCUUCUUUGCCACAAAAUACAAUGAAGUAAAUUCAAGACUUGGAACAUAACACGCUUUAAUUGUGCCGCCGGCGCUUCUCUUACUCACUUGAAUGAAGCCGCGAUGGAUUAGUUCUUUCAAGUAAUGUUCGGCAGUUUCUUCAUCGUUGUAUGGUAUGAAACCUUCAGCUACCCACAACUGAUAUAAUUGCCUCGUGGACAUCUCAAUACUUGGAGGGAAGACACACAAAUAGAUGCAGCAGACUUUCAAGUGAAAAGGUAACUCCAUCACAGAAAAAAUUUAUCUCCAAACUGUCGGAAUCGCUUCGCCUUGAACAUAAUUUUCUAAUGGCAUACUUCCAUAGUGUAGGAUGAAAAAUUGCCAGGCUUCAUGCUUUAAUCUGAUCAAUGGUCCUCCAAAGAGCACUGAAUCACGCCGAAUCUUCUCUCCAUUUUCCAUUUCCAACGACGCAAGGAGGUGUGGAUCACUGACCAACAUCAAUACUCUGCUUCCAUUCUGAUUAUCAGGAAGAACUUUUUCAAGAUCACUCCAUAUCUUACUGUCAUCGAAGACAUCAUCAAGCACAAUAAAGUACUUCUUGUUUGUUAGGUAAUCUCGAAGAAUAGAUUUCUUCAAUUGAUAAUCUUCCCCGAUAAUUACACUAACCCGAGCUGGAGGCAUCACAGACUUGAUUAUGCCAUCCAAUAUCUUGCCAAAAUCGUAGGUUAUCGAAACCCUGACCCAAGCAAGACAGUCAAAAUAGAACUUGACGUGAUCAUUAUUGUAAGUAUCUGCAGCAAAAGCAGUCUUAUCGAAGCCACUGCUGUCGAGAAUUGCAACCACUGCAAGCCCAGAUGGUCCCUCAAUCAAUAGAUCAAACAACUCCUCCCUGCCCCUUUGAAAUUCAUUGAUAUCGAGCCGAGGUUGUCCCUCAUUCAAUAGGCGAAUGAUUUCGUUACUUUUCUCACUGAUAUCAAAACCAUUGUCGCCGGGUGGAAGUUGUUGCAUCCGAUUUCUAAUAUCAAUGAUUUUAGUGUGGAGUCCAACAAGAAGAGCCAUAUCAGUACUGCUUUCACUUUCGUUUUCACUGUUUUGCUGCUGCAUGAUGUUGAUGAAGAAUCUGUCAAUGGCUUCCUCAGAUUCAUGGACAAAGUCAUUGAUGUCCUCCAGAAUUUCCAAAAUAUCUGCUCUUUCAACAUCUUCUUCAUCGCUUUCUUCUAAGUCCAACAGUUCAUCGAAAUCUUCUCUAAGGAGUUGAAACAAAUGCCGAGCCAUGUCAACUUCAUAUUUUCCCAGCAGAGUAGUAGCAAUAAUUUCGGACUCCGUAAGAAGGUUUUGAAAAAGUGGAGUUAAAUUUGUUGAAUCUGGCAGCGGCAACGUGCCUUCUUCACCUGCUAACACCCUUUUCAACCUCUCACGAAAUAGUCGGAGGUGGACGUCCAGCAUAUCUCCUUCUCUCUGUAUCACCCAGAGGUAUAGUUGAAAGAUUAAACACCAUGGAAGAAUUUGAAAGGAAAAUGCCAAGAAACUGUGUAAGUGGCUAAACCAUGAAAAAUUGAUCAUUUUUUUGCAUUGUAAGUUGCGCGUUCAUUUAGAGAAAAGUCCAAGACGCGUGCCUUUUGCAAAGAACAGGUAUCCCAAUCGGUAUCCAACCUUUAUCUUAUUUAAUUACUACCAUGACAUAAUUGAUGGUGCUUAAAUCAAUUGUUUCUUUUUUAAUUUAAAGAAUUUUUCAUUAAAAAAAUAUUUUAAUAUCAAAUUGCCUUCAGUGGCGUAACAACUGCCUCAAGCCCAGUAACAGGACUAAUUAAAAAUUUUACAAUUUUGGGGCAUGGAAAUAGUAGUAUUAAACAUUAGAAAGGUAAGGUUGUUCUGUUAAAGAAUUGAUAUUGACAUAAUUUUAUUUUGGUUUUCGUGGAAAAAAAAAAUUUGUUGACAAGCAAGAAAAUAUUUUAUCAUAUAAAAGUAAUUUUAAAAAUAAAUAGAAACAUAAUAUUACAAUAAAUAAAUUAAAGUUUAAAUUAUUUGGAAUAUUAUAAAAAAUAAUGUUAAUAUUAUUAAUAGGAAGACAUUUUGUUAAUUUUAAAAUCUUUUUAAUCCAAAGGUUUAUUUAAAAUCUCUAUAAUAAAUACAAAUAUAAGAUUAAAAUAAAAAUCAUAAUUUGAAAUUUUUAAUAUUAUUUUAAAUGUUAAAUAUACUUUAAUGUUAUUAGCCUACUACGUAGAUUUUAUUAUUUAUAUUAUAUUCGUAUUGAUUAAAAUUUUUUAAAGUCAAUUUUUUAGUUAGUACAUUCAAGAGGUAUUAUAGUUAAAGAAAAGAUUUUGGUGCAACUGUUUUAAAAUUUCAGCGUCUAAAUGAUAAUUUUUUUAAAAUUUAAGGAAGUAGGUAUUAUUUUUCCAACAAUUAUUUUACUUUUGAGGGAAAUCCGAUAAGAAAUAUCAUCAAAGAACAUUAAUUUAACAUUCUUUACCUUUAUGAAAAAAGUGAAAACCAAGAACUAUUCAAUUUUGUAUUUUUUGUUUGUAAUUCAAAAAAUGCAUCCACCAAACAUGCUUAUCUUGAUUUUCCCACUUUAUUCAUUUUCGAUGCUUUUCAAAAGAGGUUCCUUUACUGGUCAUUGUCUACACUAUCAAACAAGUUGAUGGAAAUUGAACCCAUUAAGUUAUGUUCAUUACUGGUCAUUGUCUUUCUAUGAGCCACUUAUUUGGAGCAUUAGCGAUCUUAUAAGGAAUCAUGCCUUUUCAGGAUCGUUUUCUUUCAUUUCCCUAUUGUAGUAGUUAAUUAAAUAAAGAACGAACAGCUGAACUUGGUCUAUUUCGAGGAAGACCAAGGCUUCCAAUACUAGAGGAACUUUGAAGAAAAUUAAUUGGAAACCUUUAUUCAUCUUUGAAGAAAAUUACGUGCCAAUGUAACGAAGGCUUUUAUUCAUCUUCGGACUAUGAAUUUGUACAAAAACAUUAACAGAAAAUAAUAAAGACACAGCUAAAUGAUAGCAGCAAGUGCUGAUUUAGUGAACCACUUCUACAAGUAAAUAAAAACUAAAUAUUUAUUUUGACUAUAACAACAACUACCCUCUUGAAUAGGACUCUACAGCAGCCACAUGACAACUAAUUUCUCCAUAAUAUUAUUAUUAGUAGAAGUAGAUUUUCAAAAUUGUCUUGAUAUAUUUCAAAGUUGUAUUAUCAGCGUAUAUGUAUCUAGAUUGUAACUAUAUUUUAAAAAAUAUAAAAAUUUUAAUUAUUGCACAGUAAUGUAGAACAAUAUCUACAAAAUAAUAUUGUUAGGACUAAGAAAAAAUAUUAUUUUAGAUAAGUUAUUUAUUUAUUAUUGAAUGAAAAAUUUAUCAUGAUAAAUGAAUAUUUAUUAAUUUAAAGAGAGAUUUUUUUUGGUUUUAAGAAGAGUUUGUUUGGUACAUGCACACACUAAUAAAGAAACACAAAAAGUGCUUCCUCAAGUCAAUAGUAUUUGCUUUAAUUGCUAAGGUGCAUAAUAACGUAGCUUAGUUAGGAAAUUUGUAAUUAUAUUAUGGCUCCGUUUGGUAUAAUUUUUUAACUAGAACUUAUUUAAGGAGGGCUUUUAUUAGUAGAGUUUUUAUAAAUAGAGAUUUAACAAAAAAAAUUAUAGUUAUUUAGUUGUCAAUGUACAAAUUGAUGAAUUAUUGUUCUUUUUGUUAACAUGUGUUUGUUUUACUUAAUAAUAAAAGUUUAGUUUACAACAUUGAAGUUCAGCAGAGCAUUUUUGCAGCCAGUCACAUUAUACAUUAUACUAAUAGCAUCGGCAAGAGUUUUCGAUUGUUGCAACUUGCAAUGCACACGAUGCGAGAAAAUGAGAAUCUUGUUUAAUUGCAAUAUUGACAAACCUAAUCCUUUCGUAGGGAGUAAUUUAAUAAUCGUUCGUUAGUUGAAGCGUUAAUUUAAUAAGCGUUGAUUUCCCUUCGAUAACUCGAAGUCCACGACGAUUCUUCUUCUUCUCUGCUGCUCAUUACGCUUCUACCCAAACCCUAGGAUUCAAACCUUUGCUUAGGAGAGAAUCAAAGCGAUUGGUGUUGGAGGUGAUUGAGGCUCUUAGAAGCUUAGAGGUGUGUUAAUUCAAAUUCUUUUGUCGAGAUAAGUAAUUUCAUUCCUAAUAUACUGGAUAUGUAUAAGUAUUUUGAUGUUAUUAUAAGAGUUUUUAUACUUCUUAGAAGAUUAAUAGAUUUUCAUACCAAAAUUAGUUUAUGAAAAUGUUUUCAAAUCUGAAUUCUUUUGAUAAAAUAUUUUACAAAUGCGUUUUAAUAUGUAAAUUAUUUUAUGACAUGACUGCCUUUUAUGAUUUUGUCUAUGAAAUAUUUUUGCAAGCCUAAAUUGUUGCUAUAGACUUUCAUGAAUCUAAUAUGAAUGUUUUGUGCCUAUGUAUGAUUUUAAUUAUUUAUGACUGUACGGGGGCCACCUCUUGAGAUUAUAUGGGGGCCACCUCUUGAGGGCCAAAGCGCCGCAAAGUGCCACAUAGAGUGCAAAGUGCCAUGUAUAAGUCAUUAUGUUUUGGCUCAUUGUCCGUAGUUAUUCUGAUUCUAAUUCUGAUCGUAUUAUACGAUAUAUUUGUUCUGGACUAGUACUAGGUUUAUGUUCUAAGUGUGCACACGAUAUUCUGAUUCUGUUUCUGGUCAGGUCACCGAGACUAUAGGUGAUACUAUGUGACAUGAGCUAACUAUCUGCUUUCUGUGUACACUUUAUACGAUUUGCUUUCAUAAUUGAUUAUUCUUUUGAUACUCUGAAUUACCAUGAAUUUAUGUUAUAUAAUUGAAAUAUGUUGUUUUAUGAAGUUUAUGACUUAUAAUAUAUGUUUUUGAAUAAAAGAAGGCUUGCAAUAUUUUUGAUAUCGAUAGGCCUAGUGUAUUAGGAAUGAUUUUACCUACCGAGUUGACAGCCCACCCCUCGUUAUUACUUUUUGCAGAUUAAGUUCCUUUUAAGAGGUAUGCGUAGCUUUGGAGUUAGAGAUUUCGUUUCCGUUUGCUAUUUGAAUAAGAAGAGGAAUAGACUCAUGUUUCUUUUUAGUUUAUUUCUGUUAUGAGCUUGUAAUUUGGAGUUUGAGACUUUUGUUAUUGUUAUGUUUUGGAAGAGAUUAUUUAGUGUUAGACGUAUUAAUUUGCGGAUUUAUUUGAAUAAGAAUUUGAGGUAUUUGAGCUUGGAAUUUAUAAGUAAGGAUUACGAUUUGUAAGUAACCUCAUUCUUCAUGUGCUCCGCACGUGUUAGAUUUGGGGUGUUAUAUGUUUCGUAUAACUUUUCAAGUAGAGCUUAUUUAAAUAGAAUAUUCGUCAAUAAAGCUUCUAUAAAUAUAGAUUUUACUAAAAAAAAUUUAGUUGUUUGGUUGUCAAUGUCCAAAUUGACGAACUUUUGUUCCUUUGCUAACAUGUAUUUGUUUUACUUAAUAAUAGAAGUUUAGCUUACAAUUACACCGGCGUCAAAUCAACAGAGCAUUUUGGCAGCCAGUCACAUUAUACAUUAUACUAAUAGCAUCGGCAAGAGUUUUCGGUUGUUGCAACUUGCAAUGCACGCGAUGAGAGAAAAUGAGAAUCUUUUCUAAUUGCAAUAAUGACAAACCUAAUCCUUUCGUUGGGAGUAAUUUAAUAAUCGUUUGUUAUAAUUGAAUAUGUAUAAAGAAAGGAAAAUUCUAUUCAUAGAUUUCGACUUAUUUUUUGUUUAAAGUAAUUAAUCAUUCAACCAUCUUCAUUUGCCUCUGGCCAGUGCCCUUGUAGAUUAGUUGAAGCGUUAAUUAAUUCAGAUAAUUACAACGUCCUUUUCGCUAAUUAAUUAUGAUUAUAUAUGUUUCAUAUAGCAAGUGGCUUUGUAGAUCUAAACCAAGUUGCUAUUUCAAAACGUUAAUUAAGUGAUUCUCCUCAUUGUCAUCAGCGUUAUACGCUCUAGGAAAAUAGCUCAAUUGUUUCCCUGCAUUGACUUUCAUUGGUAAGUGAUUUCUUAUGAAAUUCUUUUGAGCUUUCCUUAUUAAAAAAGCUUGAGCUUUUAUCACCUAAUGCGGAUAUCAAUUAACUUGUGAAUGAUUUUGCAAUGAAACUAGGAGUUAAAUAAGAUUUUUACAUGAUGAAUUUUUAUUUUUUUAAUUUUUUGAUGUAGUCAAUUUGCUAAUUUUAUGUAUUUCAUAUUCAACGGAAUUUGGGCACGGAAAGUUUGGAUUCUAAUAUUUAUAUGUUUAGCUUUAAUCAGUUUGACUUUCGUAAUCUUUUUCCCCUCAUCAUUAAGGGAUUCAGAAUUAGAGAAACGUUAGGAAGAGGAAGAAAAUAAUUUCGGAAAUAAGUAAGAGGGAAAAAAUUAUUAAAUUAGGAAUGAUUUUUUGUAGAGUAUGUUCCGUUUACUAAACUGAAAUCGAAAUGAGCUGGAAUCAGAAUGGAUAGAAAUGCGAAUGCGCUGGAAUGAGAAUAAGUAAUGAGAAUCAGAAUAAGUUGUUUACUUGAAUUGUAAGAAUCGAAAUCGAAAUGAGCUGGAUUGCAAUUACUUUGUCCUACAAUUAGAAUCGGAAUGAGUUAGAUUGUAACAAAUUACUAAAAGGUACUUAAUGAAUUAUUGUCAUAAUAUUAUUUUAUAUUUUAAUUAUAGUGAUUAUUUAUUCUAAAAUUAUUAUUAUUAAUUAUUUUCAAUAAUAUGUUAAUAUGUUAAUUAAUUUUAAAAAUUAUUAAUUAAUUUAUUAUAAUAAUAUACUAAUUAAUUAUAAUAAUUAUUAUAAAAAUAUAUUAAUUAUUAAUAAUGAAAUUACUUAUUUAAUUAUAAUAAUAUAUUAAUUAUUGUGAUUAUUUAUUCAAAAAUUAUAAUUAUUAAUAAUUAUUGUUAAUAAUGUAUCAAUAUAUUUUAUAUUAUGAAAUUGUGAUGUAUUGUAGACAAAUAAGGAAUUUGGUACAAUAAAUUCUUAAUAUCUUAGUACAAAGUAUGGUAAAAUGGUAUUUUAACUUAUUGUAGACAGAUUAAAUUUCGACACACUUAAUCCAUGAUAAAAUUAAUGGAAAAUAAUGAUAAUUUAUACAAUUAAUCUUUUGAGCAAUAAAAAAAUAAAAGAAAAAGAAGUUACUAAAUUAUGUUUACUGCUAAGAGUGAAUCCACAAUCCUAAAUAAUUAUUUCCAUCGUUUCACUUAAAUUAAAUAGUGUGAAUUUAAAUUCUAAUUUUUUGAUAAAUUAAAAAGAAAUAAAAAAUUAAAAUUUUUCUCUAUGGAUCGACCUCGGAUUGAUCAAUUUAUUUCAUAACAACACACUUUUAUACUUGAGAGUUAUAAAUCACUUUGAAGUUGUGUUAAGUUUUUGACGCUCUUACGGGGAAAAAAUAUUUAUUUUAUUUUAUGUAUGGGUCAAACUUGAAAGUAUAUUUUAAGAUAACUGCUAAUAUGCUCUAUUAGACAAUGAUAACCUAGUUGUUUGUGGUGUUCAUAAUGAGUUUAAUUAUGAUUAAACAAUUUAAAAUAUGAAAAAAUAUGGAAGAUGGCCGUAAUUAAAUUGAUUGCAUGAAAAUAUUUCAAUGAAAUUUUAAAAAUUUGGUACUUAUUAUCUUAUCAAAAGAUUUUUAAAUUAUAUUACUACUUCAACUUAACUCCUCCUGGAUUGAUUGUAUUGAAUUUCCAGCACUGCCAUUGCUUCUACUUGAAAGCCAUUUAAGUUUGUGUAAGCUACCUAUAGUUUGAAUAACAAUUUACUCAUGAAUUGCCGUUCAUGAUAACAAUUUGAUUGAAAGUGCGGCUCCACUAAUUGUCUAGAUGAUUUUUUCCCACAUGUUUGUUCUCGUACGACCCCAGAAUGCUGUUAUAUCAGUUGUAUUGGAAAUUAAUCAACUGGUUACAACUCUACACCCCAUCAAUAUUUAAGCAGUCUACAGAACAUUAAUUGUGUUUUGAAAUUUUAAUGAGUCUCACGUGUUUUUCACGUGAUAUGCAGUAAAAACAAAAUUAAAAAAAUGUGAACAUUCAGCCCCAAAAUCCCCAACUCCUUCCAAAUUGGUUCCGCAGCCCCCAAAUCCCUUAAACCCAAAUCACUCUAAAAAGACUCUCCUCAGCCAAAAAGAAAAAGGUCACCUCACCUCUCCUCUUCUUCUUCCAUGGCGAUCAACGGCGGCACAAGCACGGGCUGAUCUCCUUCGUCGGUAACGAUCAACGGCGGUACAAGCAUGGGCAGAUCUUUUUUUGGCAAUGAUCAACAGCGGCACAAGCACAGUCGUCCUCAGGUACGGAUUUGAUGUUGGUUGUGUUGUCAAGUAGCGAUUCAUGUUUGGAAGAGAAUCCGCUCGCAAGGACCUGGAGCACUUAAUCGAAGAUCUUAAGCGAGGAAUUCGCUUCCUCCUCAUUCCUAAUCGGUGCCUGGUUCAUCAGUAUGAUUAAGGAUGAAAAUUGAGAAAGAAGGACGCAUUAGGUUUGAGACAUUGGUUGAAAAGCGCUACCCCGGUGGCCACGCUGGAAACAUAUGUUCCGUGGCUUCUUGCGUUGUCUGUGAGGAAUAUGUACUGCUGUAGAAGAUAAUUAUGAAUCAAUGGUAAUUGGCGUGUUGGUUUUGGUGCCGAUUUCCUCUUAUUUUCCAGAAAAGGCUUGUAAUUUGUUCACCUCAAGAUUCAAUUUGUUAUUGAAAAUGGAUGGCUGUAAAGACCUACUGGCCUUUCAUUAUAUUAAUGUUUUUGACAGUAAGUUUGUAAUAGUUAGUGCAGGGAACUUAUUGAUUCUUGAUUAUAUAUAACGGUGGCCCUUAUUACUUUAAAAAAAAAAAAAAAAUUGAUGAUGGGUUUCGUUUUGUAUAAGUGUUUGGAGUGUUGGAAAAUGAACAUUGUAUAUUUUAGAUAGUUGAGUUCCAUAGUAGUGAAAAGCUACGGAUUUGUUUUCUUUGUAUUGAAAUGUGUUUUGACCAUUAUAUGUUGUUUGAUUGGUGAUAGUUUUAUGUUUGUCAGUUCCAGUAGUCUCUUAAUCGCCAUCUGGCAUGGAAACUCACUGUGAAUAUGUGAAGAAUGCAGUGAUCAUAAGGAGUAAAUGAACGAUCAAACAUGCUAAAAUUAAAUACCAAAAAAUAAAAUAAAAUAAAAUAAAAUUGGAACUGGAAGAGUAAAUAGCAAAAGAUUGGGCGAAAAUUGAAUACCAUAACAAAAAAAAAAUUAAAAUAAAUUCAAACGACAAGAGCUAAUUAAGAGCAAAAAGAUGCUUGACUUACCAAGAGCAAGGACCAAGCAAAUGGUUUUACAUUCGGGCUUGAUGGUGAACUGGUUGGAGAUGGGUACGAAUGUGAUCUCGUUGAGAUUUGGAGAAGAGAACGGGGGAAUGGCCACAAUAUCUUUGUUACUUUUUUUUUUAAACUUUAUUUUACUGUUGAUCACAUGAAAAUCACGUGCAAGUCAUUAAAAUUUCUAAACACAGUUACUGCUGUCGUUUCGAUGUUCUCGGGCUAUCACAUGCUCGGUACGUCUAUCACUACUCGUCAAAAAAAAUGACACGCGUUCAUUUCCAAGACGCGUGCCUUACUACCAUGACAUGAUUGAUGGCGCUUAAAUCAAUUGGUUUUUUUUUUUAAUUUAAAGAAUUUUUCAUUAAAAAAAUAUUUUAAUAUCAAAUUGCCUUCAAUGGCAUAACUGCCACAAGCCCAGUAACAGGACUAAGGGUACGUUUGAGAUUGAGGUUGGGCAGCUGUACCUUUUAAGCUACAACACUAAAGUGCUUGGUAAACACUAGCUGCUCUAGGUUGGAAGCUAUAUUAAUAUGAUUUUUCACUUGUAUAAUAGAAAAUAUAUUAUAUCUUUAAUAAUUUUGUCAAAUUUAUAUUUACUACAUAUUAUUAAUUUUUGUUUUAUAGUCACAGCUUUUUUUCCACAGCACCUGUAGCUUAAAAGAUACAGCACCUCAAUCCCAAACGCAUCCUAAUUAAAAAUUUUAGAAUUUUUGGGCAUGGAAUUGAAAAGAGUAGUAUUAAACAUCAGAAAGCUAAGGUUGUUCUGUUAAAGAAUUGAUAUUGACAUAAUUUUAUUUUGGUUUUUGGGGAAAAAAAAUUUGUUGACAAGCAAGAAAAUAUUUUUAUAUUUUACAAUUUAUUAUACAUAUUUUAUCGUAUUAAAGUAAUUUUAAUAAUAAAUAGAAGCAUAAUAUUAAAUAAAGUUUAAAUUAUUUUGAAUAUUAUAAAAAAUAAUUUUAAUAUUAUUAAUAGGAAGAUAUUUUGUUAAUUUUAAAAUCUUUUUAACCCAAAGGUUUAUUUAAAAUGUUUAUUAUAAAUAAAAAUAUAAAAUUAAAUAUCAUAAUUUAAAAUUUUUAAUAUUAUUUUAAGUAUUAAAAAUAUUUUAAUGUUAUUAGUCUGCUACAUAGAUCAUAUUACUUAUAUUAUAUUUGUAAUGACUAAAAAUUUUUAAAAUCAAAUUUUUUAGUUACUAUAUUUACGAGAUAUUAUGGUUAAAGAAAAGACCUUGGUGUUACUUUUUACAAAUUUGAGUGUCUGCAUGAUAAUUUUAUCAAAAUUUAAGAAUGUAUGUGUCCUUUUCUCCAAUAAUUUAUUUCACUUUUGAGGGGAAUCCAAUGAGAAAUAUGAUAAGAGAAUGUCAAUUAUUUGUCAUUUUCUAUUUUUUCUGUAAGCUAUUCAUUUUGAGCAUUAGUGAUCUUGUCUGGACUACUCCAAUUAUUGAUGUAACUCCAGUGGCUGCAUCCACAGUUGAAUAUAUGAUAGUGUUAGCUCUUAUUUGAGAAUUCAGAGGGAUCUUCUAUGUUUAUCAAUUGCAAUGUGCUAGUAUAAAUUUCUUUACCUCACAGUUUAUAUAGUCUUGCUGUUAAAGAACUCACUGAGGCAUUAUUGACUCAAUUUCAGUGGAGCAAUCGCGCGUAGUGGAUAAAUAAAGGAUAACAGAACAGAGCUGAAGUGCUAAAUUGGCUAUUAAAGAAGGGUGUCACAUGAUCACAAUCACAUUGGUGCACAACUAGAGUUAGGCAAAUUUUGUCUAUAUGUACUCUAAAUUCAGACAAACCAUACAUGCAUGAACAAAAAUUAAACCGUCGUUCUAAUCACAACAGUAAUUGAAGCUACAAAAGCCAGCAAAUCUGAACAAAGACUUAAAAGAAAGAUCUUAUUCAAGUUGUCCCCAAAAGACAGCUGAAAUGAAUAAUAUUGACUAUUGAUUGGGUCAAUGCUGAAUUACAUUUCAAUAGGAAAGCUUGGCAGCAGUUACAAUGUUUCCCCCUCUGAUUUUCGUCCAAAACAAAUUCAGUUGUAAACAACAAUCGAAGUAGAAAUAAUUUAUUCAUCAAAGAAAAUACCCAAGUUUUCAACAAACAAAUCUUCUUGUCUAAACUAAAAAAACUCAUCUCUAAAAUCUAUCUGCAAAAUAUUGGAAAUGAGGAGUGAUCCGUCAACUCCAUAAAUAAACUCAUGCAUAAUGUUAACAAUAAUGAUAAAUUACAUAAUAAUUAUUAUAAAGAAUCAUAAAUUGGAAACACUAAUCAUUCUACAAUCUAUUAUAUAAGUAAGAUAAAUCUCAUAAUAAGUUAAGUUAUAAUGUAAUAAAUAUUUUCAAUAUAUAAUUAUUUAAGAAGUCAUUUAACAAUAAAAUAUUUUUUUUAUUCAAUUGAUCAUAUAGCGUUAUCUAAACUCAUGACGAAAUUAUUAUUACUCACUUUUCUAAAAAAAACAUGAUUAACUUUUAGAGAAAAGUCAUGCCUUUUAGAAAGAAUAUUACCGUGACAAAAUUGAUGGUGAUUAAUUCUAUUUUUAAAAUAGAUUUAAUGCACAAAUAUGGUGACUUUUGGCAAAAAUUAGUUUCGGAAGAUAUAGUGGUAGAAAAUAGUGAUGAUUAUUGUUUAAAUGUGUAAAUAGCCGAAGCAUAGCCCGUGAUACCAAUAUCCAUUUGCACCUUCAUUUGGAUUAUCACAUUUCAUGAUAUUCUUUCGUUCAUGACCAUUGUUCAAGAUUUGAAUUUGAAUACAAAUUAAGCUGCAAGGGAGCUUACUUCGGUUUCUAAGCUUUUCAAUUGUGAUUCCUGCAUGCCUUGCUCUGAUACUAUUUUGUUACUUGCCAAUGUAACCAACCUUGUAAUUGGUCUGUAUAAGAAAUCAAGCCCUUUCAGGAUUGUUUUCUUUUGUUUCUCUAUUGUAGUAGUCAACUAAAUAAAGAAUGAACAACUGAACUUGAUCUAUUUUGAUGAAGACCAAGACCUCCAAUACUAAAUGAACUUUGAAGAAGAUUAAUCUACUGCUUUUAUUCAUCUUUGGACUAUGAAUUUAUACAAAGACUUUAACAGAAAAUAACAAAGACAUAGCUAAAUGAUAGCAACAAGUGCUGACUUAGUGGACCACUUCUACAAGUAAAAAAAGACUAAAUAUUUAUUUUGACUAUAACAACAACUACCCUGAUGAACAGGACUCCACAUCAGCCACGUGACAACUAAUUUCUCCUUAAUAUUAUUAUUAGUAGAAGUAGAUUUUCAAACUAGUCUUGAUAUAUUUCAAAGUUGUAUUAACAAUGUAUAUGUAUCUAGAUUGUAACUAUAUUUUUAAAAAAUAAAAUAUUUUAAUUAUUGCACAGUAAAUGUAGAAGAAUAUCUGUAAAAUAAUAUUAUUAGGACUAAAAAAAUAUUAUUUUAGAUAAGUUAUUUAUUUAUUAUUGAAUUGAUAAUUUAUUAAUUUAUUUCUAAAUGAUAUUUAUUAAUUUAAAGAGAGACUUUUUUGGUUUUAUGAAGAGUUUGUUUGGUACAUGUUUACACUUAUAAAGAAACACAAAAAGUGCUUCCUCAAGUCAAUGGUAUUUGCUUUAAUGGCUACGGUUCAUAAUAAUAUAGCUUAGUAAGGAAAUUUGUAAUUAUAAUAUGACUCUUUUAGUACAACUUUUCAAGUAGAAUUUAUUUAAGUAGAGAUUUUGUUAGGAGAAGUAUUGUUAAUAGAGAUUUCACAAAAAAAAUUUUAAUUAUUUGAUUAUAAUAUCCAAAUUGAUGAACUUUUGUUCUUUUGUUAACAUCUGUUUGUUUUACUUAAUAAUAAAACUUUAGUGGGUUUGGCUACAAAUAAAAGUUUAGUGGGUUUGGCUACAAUGCCGUUGGCAUUGUUCCCGGCACCAUGCCGGGCUCUAAAAAAGAGAGCCCGGCUGUCUUUGGCUGCCAUUUGGCAGCCAAAGACUUGGUGCAGCCGGUUAACAAACCGGUUGCACCAUAUUUUUUAAAAAAUAUAUAUUAAAAAUAGAAUAUAAAAAUGAAAAAAAUUAAAUAAAAUGUCAAAAAUAAUUUUUAUAAUAUAAUUAAUAGCAAAAGAUAAAGAAAUUAAAUUAUAUAAUACAAACCCUAUAGUACAAUAUGAUAUAAUUAAAUAAAAUGGCAAAAAAUAAAGAAAUUGAAAAUGAAAAAAAUUGUAUUUCAGUUUUAACGUUAGUUAUUGCAUGUCCGACGUCCCGAUUUCAUGUUUGACAUAAGAAGUUGCAUGUUUUGGAUAAAACCAAAAUAAAGAAUAUUCUGGAAUAUUCUCGUCUGUUUCAUGUUUGACGUCAAAGUUGCGAACUUUACGUGGUAAGUUGCAUAUUUCGCGUGAAGUAUUGCGAGUUUCAUAUUUAACAUCAGUUGUUGCAUUUUUUACGGUUGGAUUUCAUGUUUGACGUACGAUGUUGCAUGUUUUGAAUAAAGCCAAAAUAAAGAAUAUUCCGGAAUAUUCUCGUCCGUUUCAUGUUUGACGUUGAAGUUGAGAACUUUACGUGGUAAGUUGCAUAUUUCGCGUGAAGUAUUGCAAGUUUCAUAUUUAACGUCAGUUGUUGCAUGUCGAACGUCACGGUUGCAUGUUUGACGUAAGCUGAUGCAUGUCUUGAAUAAAGCCAAAAUAAAGAAUAUUCUCGAAUAUUCUCGUCUGUUUCAUGUUUGACGUUGAAGUUGCGAACUUUACGUGGUAAGUUGCAUAUUUCGCGUGAAGUUUUGCAAGUUUCAUGUUUAACGUCGGUCGUUGCAUGUCGGACGUCACGGUUGCAUGUUUGACGUAAGCUGAUGCAUGUCUUGAAUAAAGCCAAAAUAAAAAAUAUUCUCGAAUAUUCUCGUCUGUUUCAUGUUUGACGUCGAAGUUGCGAACUUUACGUGGUAAGUUGCAUAUUUCGCGUGAAGUUUUGCAAGUUUCAUAUUUAAUGUCAGUUCUUGCAUGUCCGACGUCCCGAUUUCAUGUUUGACAUAUGAAGUUGCAUGUUUUGGAUAAAACCAAAAUAAAGAAUAUUCCAGAAUAUUCUCGUCCGUUUCAUGUUUGACGUCGAAGUUGCGAACUUUACGUGGUAAGUUGCAUAUUUCGCGUGAAGUUUUGCAAGUUUCAUAUUUAACGUCAGUUGUUGCAUUUUUUACGGUUGGAUUUCAUGUUUGAUGUACGAUGUUGCAUGUUUUGAAUAAAGCCAAAAUAAAGAAUAUUCUCGAAUAUUGACGUUGAAGCUGCGAACUUUACGUGGUAAGUUGCAUAUUUCGCGUGAAGUAUUGCAAGUUUCAUAUUUAACGUCAGUUGUUGCAUUUUUUACGGUUGGAUUUCAUGUUUGACGUACGAUGUUGCAUGUUUUGAAUAAAGCCAAAAUAAAGAAUAUUCCGGAAUAUUCUCGUCCGUUUCAUGUUUGACGUUGAAGUUGCGAACUUUACGUGGUAAGUUGCAUAUUUCGCGUGAAGUAUUGCAAGUUUCAUGUUUAACAUCCGUCGUUGCAUGUCGGACGUCACGGUUGCAUGUUUGACGUAAGCUGAUGCAUGUCUUGAAUAAAGCCAAAAUAAAGAAUAUUCUCGAAUAUUCUCGUCCGUUUCAUGUUUGACGUCGAAGUUGCGAACUUUACGUGGUAAGUUGCAUAUUUCGCGUGAAGUUUUGUAAGUUUCAUGUUUAACGUCCGUCGUUGCAUGUCGGACAUCACGGUUGAAUGUUUGACGUAAGCUGAUGCAUGUCUUGAAUAAAGCCAAAAUAAAGAAUAUUCUCGAAUAUUCUCGUCCGUUUCAUAUUUGACGUUGAAGUUGCAAACUUUACGUGAUAAGUUGCAUAUUUCACAUGUAGUGUUGUAGGUUGCAUGUUUAACGUUCGUUGUUGCAUGUCCGACGUCCCGAUUGCAUGUUUAACGUAAGAUGUUGCAUGUUUUGAAUAAAGCCAAAAUUAAGAAUAUUUCAGAAUAUUCUCGUCUGUUUCAUGUUUGACGUCGAAAUUGCGAACUUUACGUCAUGAGUUUUAUAUUUCGCGUAAAGCGUUGCAGGUUGUAUGUUUAACGUUAGUUAUUGCAUGUCCGACGUCCCGAUUUCAUGUUUGACGUCGAAGUUGCGAACUUUACGUGAUAAGUUGUAUAUUCUACGUGAAGUGUUAAAUGAAUUUUGUUUUAAAAAUACAGUUUAACCUCAAAACUGUAUGAAACUAUGUUAUGAUCCAAAACGUUAUAAAAAUUUUCAAAUUGGUCCAAUUUUAGAAUUUCUAAUUAUUACUUUAUUAAACUCAAAACUUUCUGAAAUUAAGAUAUGAUCCAAAAUAUAAGAAAUUAUAGAAUGACCCAAAACAUUUAAAUAUUUUGAAAUAGGUCCAAAUCCGAAAUUUAAAACAAUAAUUUAUUAAAAUCAAAGAUUAUGAAAAACAACUUAACUCCAUAAAGACAUAUUCUUAUUGUUAAAGCACAAUACAUAAAUCUUUAUUUAAUCAACACAUGUGGUUUGUUAUCGAAAUCUCAAUACAACACAUUAGUCCAAAAUUAUCCAAAGCAUACGGAAAUAACAUAUUAUCCAUGAAAUAUCAAACAAUCAAAACAAAUCCAUGUCAUUCAAAACAAAUACAUAAUCCAAAAUCAUAAUGAAAUGUAGGUGUGUCCAAAUACAAGCAUAAGAGACUACUAAGGUGGUGAGGAUGGUGGUGAUGGAGGUGGAUACGGAUAUGGAAUGCCGAAGUGCUCAAAGAGGAGGCGCUGUCCAUGAAUAAACUGCUGCUGCUGGUGGUGAAACUCAGUCUGCCACACAGAGAGUGUCCUCACCUCAUCCAUAAGCUGCUGAAGAGUAACUUCUUCAAAAGUAGGAUGCUCGGGAUGUGGUAAAGAAGGUGCAGAGGCUGUAGGAGCCGAGGGAGAUACUGAAGGAGCUCGACGUCUACGCUGACCCCGAAAUGAAAGUGCAAAAACAGGUAGCUGAUGGGCUGGAACCACAGCAUUAAGUGGUCGAUCAUCACUUGGAGCAAGAAAGGUGAACUUUUUAUCAGUGACUUUUACCCAAGUGCCAUUACGACACUCAAAACCUAAAGAACUAACAGCCUCAUCCCCAAUGCUCUUAGACGGCCUACAUGAUGGUUCUUGGAUAGUGACGCUAAAGUAUUUGAGGAUUCGGGUGAUGAAAUGACCAUUCAGAAGGGAACGAGUAAUCAACUUAGGUAUACUAAGCAUGUUUCGGACAAUGGUGUAUCCUAAGUCGACUGGACGAUGUCUAAGAAUACAAUCAAUCAAGGCAACAUCCAUAUGAGAAACCUCAUCCAAAUGGCCUGAUCUAUGAAGCACAAUACUCUGAAUAAAACGAAGUAAUAUCCGAGUUUGAAGACAAAGACAUUGGGUGCGAAAAUGGAUAGUACAAUCAUCAUCCGAAAGAUCAAUACGACGACAUAUAUUCUUAACAGCAUCAAUAUGAACAUAAUCAUCAAUAUCAGGAGGUUUCCUAGGUGAAAAAAUUUCUAGGCCAUCAUCGGAAGUUCCUAGAAUAGAGUUCAACUCCGAAUCAUCAAACUCAAUCGAAACUCCUUCAACUGUGGUGAUUACUCGAUUCUCUUUCUCCGCGGAACAAUCCAUAUUCGAGUAAAACACUUUCACCAAGUCGGGAUAUACAUUUUCCUCAAAAACAAUUGAAUUAAGCCAACCAACAUCUUCCAACAAUUGCAAUAAAGUUCUAUUACUAAUACUAAGAUUAUUCAACCAAUCCGGUAAAACAAAAAAGGUUUGGAGUACCUCACGAGUCAUGAACUGUUGGUGAAAUCGUUUGGCUAGAUGUUUGUGGUUCUGAAAGUGUCUGGCCUCAAAGUUGGAUUUAUUGGAUGUGCCCCCUGCUUGUCGUGACCGGUUGGUAUGUUGAACCGGUUCUUUGCCUUUUCUUCGAAUCGGCCGUGAGCUUGACAUGGUGAAUUUUUUUGAUUUGAAGUGAAAUAAAUCAAUGAGAAGGGAGAUAAUAAGGAUGGAAAGAGAUUUUGAGAAGCAAUUUCGAUCAAAAACGGCUUCAGAGGGGGAAAUCUAGAGAGAGAAGUUUCGGCUUAAACCAUAGAAUUGAUUUCGGAUCUAUUGAUUUUGAGGUUCAAAAAAGGUUUGAAGGAUGAUUUUGGAUACAAGAACGGAUGGGAAACAAGUUUCAUGGAUCCAUUUGCAUAAAAAACCUGUGAAAAUGAUGGAUUUUGGAGAGAAAACGAGAGAGGAAUAUUCGGUUUUAGAGAGAGAUAGCUAACCGGUUUACCGAAAGAUAAAGGAGGAGAUGAACAGUUUAUAUACUCGCGAAUCCGGCUAUCCGGAAAUUAUUAACCGGCUAACCCAUUGUAGGCAGUGACCUACCCACGCGAAUUCAGAUUUCCGGUUUGAAUAACCGGCUAUCCGGUUUCGUCUCCAAGAAAAAACAGCAAACUGCCUCACUCGGCUGAGAUAAAAAAAAACCAACUGUGAUAGGGAAUGCAUAAUUUGUUUGAAAGAUGAAGUUUCACUUGAUUUCUUGCCAUGUGCGUACCAAGUUUUGUGUGCCAGUUGCAGUGUCAAAAUUAUCAUAGUUUGUCUUAAGAAGUCUGAAAGAUUAGAAAAAGAGAUUGCUAAGUUCAAGAAAUGAAAGUGAGAUAAAAUUACUUGUGUCGCUUCUUGUGUCUUCCCAUUGUUUAAUUCUGAUAUUGUUGCUUACUAAAUUAACAAAGAAAGACCAGCACAAUGACUGCUGAUGAAUACUUUGAGAAGCAUCCAGAGCUAAGGAAAGAAGUUUGAUGAUGAAAUCCGGAAUGAUUAUUGGGGAUAUUAAUUCAGUCAUGUGCAUUCAGUUAUCGGGAACAUCUUCUUUCAUGCAGACUCUCGAGUUCAUCCCAACCACCAUGCUGUUUUGGUGCAUCAUAACAAGAAUAAGCCAAUUGUUUUACUCCAUUUUGGUUGAUUUGACUAUCACAAAAAAUUCCAUGAUAUUUGGACAUUACUCAGAAUCUAGCUAUAAUAAUUUCUCUUUUCUUAUUUGCCAAAUUUGCAUUAAGAUUUUUUUAGAAGAACUUUUAUGUUUUCACAUUCAGAAAGAGUUAAAGCAAAGCAAUUGCAGUAGCAGUGUGUAUGGAAUUUGUUGAAUGGAUCCAUUUGAAAGUCCAUUUUUUAUUCUUUAAUGUAAUAUCUAAUAUUAAAAAAAUCUUAAAACAAAAAUAUGAAUGAAUUGAAAAAUCAAAGUAGUAUUCCACAUUCCCAUGUAAAAAUAGAUUAACGACACCACUUUAAGAAAAGCUAAAAAUAAAAAUAGAUAUAUAUUAUUAAACAAAAUGAAAGUUGGAACUUACAAAGAGCUAAUAUUAUUACUUUAAUCUUCUAGUAUUUAGAGUUCAUCUUGUGGCUGAUAUUAUUGCUUGGCUACGUGAAACCAUUUUAGUCUUGUCAACACUAUCUUGUGGCUGAUAUUUUUUAUUGAAAUGCUCUUCAUCCACCAACUUGGUUCUUGUCAGUUUGCUUGGUAACUUCUUCUUGUUUGGUUUUGGUGCAUUAUUUAUCUAUUCACUCGUUAGUCAGACACUUUUUUUUUGUAUUUUUUGUUUCUACGCACAAGACUGAUAAAAUUAAAUGGGCUUAAUCUUUUGUCUUCCUAAUAGCAAUAUUCAAUAUUUAUUUAGUAAUAUUUCUAGAACUCUAAGAAAUAACUGGAUUUAAAUUUUAUGAAUUAUAUAUUGUGCUAAAAGCACAAAGACAAUCAUAUGAGUGUAUAUUAUUAUUAAAAUUAAACAAUUGGAUUUAACCUCCUCUUCAUACAAUUCAUAUACAUUGGCUCGCUCUCGCUCUCUUUUCUACAUGCAUGUGUCAUUUACAUUUAGGUAUUUGUAUGCGCGUAUAUUAUUAUAAUGUAAUCCCUCUAAAAAAUGAGACCAAUCACAGUCCAAACAAAAAAAAGAAAGAUAAAGAAAAGUUAAUACUUUAAUGGCAUUGUUAAUACGUCACAGUAAUCAUGUCCCUCGAAUCCGGAUAACUGGAUUUAACAACCGGUUAUCCGGAUGUUGACUGCAAGCAACAUGCUUGCUGUCACGCGAAUCCGGAUGACCGGAAGUCAACAACCGGUUAUCCGGAUGUUGACAGCAAGCAUGUCAAUCGAAACCGGAUAACCGGAUUUCCUAACCGGUUUUCCGGUUAUUGCAUGUCCUGUAUAAAGUUUAAAAAAAAUAAAGGUAAAAUUACCACGUUUGGUUGGUUAGGUUUGCAAUAAAUAUGAUGAAAAAAAAACUCACCUUCCCUCCAUUAAUGAGGGAUUAUCCUAAGGCUCAUGUCCAAGACUUCUUCACAAAAAACACAGUCACUCCAAAACAUAGUCCCAAAUACUAUUACUGCGGUCUCGUUCAACAUCUAUGGUGCCUAGUUUUCAACUUUUCAAAAGUUAAGUUUCUCUCCAACAAAGGUAUGUGUUGUAAUUUAAGUAGUUGAUUUGUGCUCCCAUAGAUGGUUUCAGAAAUAUUAUUAUAUUAAAUUAUUAAGAUAAAGGGUGUGAAUUAUGUUAUUAACAAAGUUUUGGUUGAACAGGGGUUAAAUAUGAGUAGCCCACAUAGUUCCAGCAACCUAGGAAUAUCCAUUGCUCCAAAUGUUGGUUUACAGGUAUCGGACGUACUUGGCAGUCAUUUCGACUCAGUAGAAGAUGCAGAACUGUGGUAUAACAAUUAUGCCCGAAUGCUUGGUUUUGGUGUUAGGAAAGAUGAUAUGCGGCGCGGAAAAAAGUCUAGACGAAUCACAAUUCGACGUUGGGUUUGUCAUUUCGAAGGGGUAAGAGAUGAAAGACAAUCUCAAAACUGCAGUAGGGUGCAGAACCACGACCUAUAACACGAACCGAGUGUCGGGCAUCAUUUCGAGUGAAUUACGAUGAUUCAGUUGGUAAAUACAUCGCCAAAGAAUUCAGGCCUGAGCACAACCAUCAUUUGGCUUCUACUAAUGGAGUUCAUCUCAUUCGUUCACAUCGAAAGGUUACUGAUGCAGAACUUGCGCAAGCAAAGGCAUUAAGGCAUGUUGGUGUGAAGACUUGCCAAUUCAUGGAUUACAUGGCUGAUCAGGUAGAGGGGCCUCAAAACCUAAGGUUCACACGCAAAGACAUGCAAAACACGCUAGAUGCUUCCACUCGUGCCGAGGUUGGAGAUUCUGACUCAGACACAACUAUAGCAUACUUUGCGGCAAAAUCUGAACAUGACCCUGGGCUUUGCUUUGAGUACACACUAGAUGAUGAAAAUAGACUACGAAAUUUGUUUUGGGCUGAUUGUGUAGCUCGUUAUGACUAUCAGUGUUUUGGUGAUGUGUUGGCAUUCGAUGCAACGUAUAAGACUAAUGUAUAUCAUAAACCCCUCGUUACACUUGUCGGAACAAACCAUCACUUCAGAACAACGGUCUUCGGUUUUGCUUUGCUCGCAGAUGAGACAAUUGACUCAUACACGUGGCUGCUACAAACUUUUCUAUCCACUAUGGGCAACCGAAUGCCCGUGUCUGUAAUUACUGAUGGUGACAAGGCAAUGUCGAAGGCAAUAAAGACAGUGUUUACCGGGUGCAUCCAUCGUCUUUGUUGUUGGCAUCUUGAGCGCAAUGCGCAGGCUAAUUUGAAGAACGAAGACUUUACGAGAAAAUUUCGUGAUUUGAUGUUGACACCUAUGACGGUAACUGAAUUUGAAACCCAAUGGUCAGCUGUAGUGGCUGAAUUCGCACUUGAACAUCAUGCAUGGGUACAGAAAAUGUAUUCAAAGCGGUGCAAGUGGGCGGAAGCUUAUCUUAGAGGAACAUUCUUUGCUGGUAUGCGAAGCACUCAACGAUGUGAAAGUAUGAAUGCAUAUCUUAGCCGAUUUGUCCAACAUAAACUAAAAUUGUAUGAGUUUGUGCGACAAAUCGAUCGUGCUCUCCGCAAUAUUCGUACCACAGAAACAUCCGAUGAGUUCAAAACCAAAUACAGUACUCCUGUCUUAAGAACUCACUUACAGAGCCUCGAGAAACAUGCUGCACAAUUGUUCCCGUUAAGAGUUUUUUCGAAGGUUAGAGAUGAGAUGCUGCGAGAAAGAGCGGUCAUCGAAGUAAAAACUGUCAAAGCUGUCGAUGUUGCAUUGUACACAGUGACUGAAUUUAGGACACCUACAACAUGUUGGAAUGUCAUCCACAAUCUACAAGAAAACCACAUACAGUGUUCGUGUCAAAUGAUGGAGUUUGUUGGGCUUCCUUGUAGGCAUAUGUUUCAUGUCUUGAAAGUGGAACAAAUUGAAAAGAUUCAUGACAAUAUGGUUUUUCGUAGAUGGACAAAAAAAGCCAAGGAGCACAAUACUUGCAGGACCACAAAACCAGAAGUUGACACUGAUGUUUCAGAGAUGGCUAGAUUUAGUGCAUUGUCUGCAGCCUGCAAUAAAAUGUGCUACAAUGCAGCAAAAAACGUUGAAGCCUAUGAAAAUGCAUUGGUAGAAAUCAAUCGGCUAACAUUAACUUAUGAACAACAAUCUGAACGAGACGGUCUCCCAAAUAAAAAAUUGCGGAUGGGAACAAAACUUCGUAAUCCUGCAGUUGUAAAAACCAAGGGCGCUAUGUCUAAAACAAAAUGUGUAGCAGAAAGCUCUAGAAAGUGUGGAAAAUGUCGUCAGGUUGGGCAUACAACACGAACUUGUUCUAUUCAAGGGAAUGAUAGCACCCAGCUAAGGUAUGUCCCAAGUUCUUUAUCAUGUGUUUAAUUAUUGCAUUGUUGGAUAUUUCAUUGCAAAUAACUUUCAUGGUAUUGAUUUAGUGUCGAUGGAAACUGUUUUGCCGCAUUCGAUUCAUCAAGCACCCAGAAUCUUGGAGCCUCUACUGGUGUCAAUCCAACAUUGUUAGGUCAUGCAAGCAACCAAUUUUCAAAUGUUUUUUAUUGGUGGCCUCAUUAAACAAUGCCAUUAAAAUGACUCAAUAUGUAUUACCAUUUGAAUUCCACUAUCAUGUACUAACAUGACAACCAGUUUAAUAUCAAAUGAUGAGAUGUGAACACUGUUAACAUGCAUAUGUUCAUUAUAGUUAAAUUAUGUCUCGGCCAAGAAUACAUAACCAUGUCAUAAAUUUAAAGAUAAUUCUCCAUUACAAUUGAUUUUACAACCAUCGUAAGCAAGAAGACAAAAAAAUUCACGGUAUUACCUCCCAACAUGUUUCAAACAUCUUACAACAAAAAAUAGUAUGCAAUCACUUGCAUAAUCAUUCCCUACUAUAGUUCGAUAUCUAAGCGCGUGUUCUCGUGUUAACUUUCUUCUUCUUACGAAUGUUGCCGCUUUGUUGGUGAAAUGACUUUUGCACUUGAGAGGAUACAGGGUUCACCAUUACAGCAUGAAUCGCAAACUGUGCAUUGCUUAGUUCCAGCAAUUUAUCUCGAUUUUGAUUCAAUGCAGAAUUAAUUAGUUGAAUGGCUAGCCUACCUCGUGUAUCCUCAGAUGUGAACUAGUCAAUUUGAAAGGAAACCAAUAUUACUUUCAUAUAAUAAGUAGCUUUUAUAUAAUUAUGAAGUUAACAAAAUUCUGAGUUCAACAAUUAAACAAGUUUGGCAUAGUCGUACCAAAGUGGACGAUUUCUUCGGAAUAAAUUCUGGGCUGUCCAUAUAGUUUAUCACAUAAACCCCACAGUCAUAUCCAUUCCUUUGCUUUGGAACUCCAAUGCCCCGGUUGAUUGGAAAGUCUUGAAACUUCAUGUGUUGCAUAUUGCUUGGCAAUUGGGGCUGCAUAAUCCAAUCCAAGGAAUGUAGCUGUCGGCAAUGUUGAAAACCAGACAAUAUUAUAGAUAUGAAUAUAACACAAUAUACAUAACUGAUAAUGUUAAAUAGAUAACAAAAAUAAAGAACAUGAUUAAGAUACAAUGCGCAUGGCUUGAUCGUGCCGUCUUCUAUUACUGCGGGGAUCUGGAAGAGGAUCCCAUAUUUCUGCACUUGUAUUUCUGACAUUCACGAUCAGUAGGUACCAAUGAGAUGAUUCAUCAUUUAUUGGCACAUAAAUCUAACAUUUCAAUUGUCAAUGUCAUACACCAAGCACACUAGUAGAAACUGAAAUAAGUUAAAGGUUAACAAACUAACCUUUUGACACUUAUGCACCUGUUGCAUAAAAUUCUUUCCACAUCUAGCUGCCCUUGCAAAACAAUCCACCUCAUCUCCGACCAUUAAAACUGCUUGCUACACAUAAUAAAGACAACGUUGAAUAAGGAAGUUGUCAAUAAAGAAACCAAAGCACAAUGCAACAAGUACCGGCGAGACUCACAGAAUAUCUUGUUGGUAAAUACCAGUUCAUUGGCACAUCUUUCUCCACCACCUACUGAAUGAGGGUGAGGUGAUGCGCUUUCAUAGAAAUCACCUAAAAGUGAUCAUAUUUAUUGAGAUAUAUAAUAACAUGUAAUAAACGAUAAACAUAUAUUGUGACAUCACCAAAUGUUGAAACCUAAUACCUCGCCACAUAGAUAAGCCCCCGGCAAAAGAGUCAAUAAAGAAUGCCGAUUAAGAAUUUCGCCGCAACUAGAAACAAUGAUUUCACUAAAGAUAAAACACGGUAAUUUUUUAGUCGUAUAGCAUAACAACUAUAUACAGAAAACUAAUUUCAGUCUUCUGAAUUUAACCUUCCCUCUGCGUCCUUGUUAAAAGCAUAUUGAAUAAGCUUCAAUUCUUCCAGCGUAACUGGAUCAUUGACUUGAAACGGACCAGCUUUAUACUUGGGAUUUGCUCCCCUGGACACUUGAUCGUACGGUGAAAGUUGAUAUCGGCCUGGCCUACGAUUCCUACUUGGUCGCGUUGGCAGGACACUGAGACUAGUAGAUGUUUGAGGUUCUUGCUUAAGUUGAACUGGUUCAUCUAUAUCCUUUAUAAAAAAUAAAUUUAUAUGUAAGUUACUUCAUAAGUGAGUUAUCAUUGAAAUCAUUUUAAGAAAACGACGUUAUAAAACUGUACCUCAUCUCGGAGAUUAGGUGGUGGAAUAGGGACAAAGUGGGUAGGAUCUUUGCGAAAUUCACCGAUUCCUUCUCUUGUCCCCAUCCAGCCCAUUAAUUUAUCGAGGCUCAGGUUCAAUCUGCGAUCCACAGAGUCCUCGUCGCUAUCCAUUACCAUUUUGUUUUUUUCCAUCAGUAGUUGGCUCGGUUUUUCUGACUGGACAUGUUGGUUCUACUAUUUUCAAGCUCGGAGAUUGCGGGCAUGGAUCAGAUGGUUGUUUUGAUAGUGCACCAACCGGAGACUUGGAUCUCAAUUCCUCCAAAGACUUCUCAACCAUUUCCAUUCUCACAUUGAAUGAAUCCAUUUUGUGUUCAAUUCUGUGGACACACUGUGUUAGUACCCUAAAAGCUUCCUCCAUAUUAACAGUGCUCGGCCCAACAUCUUCGGUUUGUUCAAAAUGAGCGAAAUUUCUUUCGAGCUGCAGAAAAUUUGAUUCACGCAUUGGAACCUAAAAUAAAUAUGCACAACAAUCAUACAUAAUGACAAUCAAAAUAUAUUCAAUUAACCGUAAACAAAAUUAAAUACAUGUGUGAACAAGACAAAAAAUAAAACAAACCUCAGUACUGGUCAUGUCCCCAAACUUUUUCCGCCAAUUCAAUAAGCGCCGAAUCUCUUCCUUGGUCCAUACACUAACAGGGCAAACUGUUCUGUCCAUGGAACACCGAUCAUAUAAAACAGCACUAAAGUAGAACAACUGUACAUUCAAAAAACAAUUACUACGUCAUUUUAUUUUUCGUAUUUGGAAAAUUAAUUAUGGCAUCUAAGAUUUCUUAAAUAUACCUCUAAAAACACAACACAACCACUAACUGACUUCACUUGAUUAUCUUUAUACUUCGCUAUGCCCUCCCACAGAAAGUUGAAACACCAUGUAGCCCAAUUCUUUUUCCUAAUUAAUUGCACAUCUUUUAGGGAAUGCAGAUACAUCGGAUUGAUGUAGCUGGCACUUGUGGGACACAAUACAGUUCCUAGAAGAAACAAACAAAACAUGAUCUUAAAGUCAUCAUCACUACUCUCACUAGCUAUUAUUCUUUCACUAACUGCGGCUAUUUCAAUUCCUCUUCCACUUGUUCUAUACUUGGCACGCAGUUCAAUUAUAUCACCCGCUUCUUCUCGGAUGUAUACUGGUUCCCCUCCAUCUUUGAUCCCCAUUACGAUGCUGAAGGUUGUAGGGUUUAAACAAAACUCUCUCUCGUGCAAAACUAUACAGUGCCUCUUUGUAUCACAUUGUUGGACAAGUGUUUCACAGAAGUCUUGUCUCAGGCGACCACAUCGUAAUUCUAGCAUGCUUCCGAAGCUAAUUUCUCUAAUUGCAGCUUGUUGGUCGGCCGAUAGUGUGGAAAUGACCUUAGUGAGUGCACUGACACGACAACGAGAUAAAUUACAUUGGCUAUGCUUAUCCCCAAUUUUUUGUUCUUCAUCUUGUUUUUCAAUACUCCUUUCACCAACAUUUGAACUUGGGUCCUCAUGCAUCGUACCAAAUCGGCACUUCUCCUCAUUCGUUAAUUUCUUCCAUUUUUCAACAAUUGUCGCCCUACAAACUUUUUUGAUCCCUUCUUGCCUGACCUUUUCUGCUUCAUGCUUACUGUACACAACAUUUUAGUUCAACUAAUUACGUCAACAAAAUUGUUAUAAUAAGAACCUUAUUCAAAGCAAUAAUUUUAUACUUACAAAAAGUGUAUCCACGCUCUCUGACCAGGUCCUCCCCUUCUGCCUUAUGUGGACUCCAUUUUAUAACUGUAUGCUAUAUUUUAAAUCCUGAAAUAGACCACACAUAAAUGUAGUAUCAAGGCCGGACCCAUAACAAUGGCUAAGUUCUUGGCAAAUUAUUGAGCGCUCAUCUUUAGUAUUCCUACCAAAGACUGUAGAGCUCAAAACAAGCAAACAACACCUAAAACCAAACAAGAAAAAUUUAGGGUUCCCAUAGAAAAAUAACACUUAAAAACCAAAUCUCAAAAAAUCAACCACAAAAUAGAAAUAAAUUAAAAAAUGCCAUUGAAUUUUUACCAACUAAUGCCAUUGAAACCACGCAAAACCAUGGGAACAUUGCAUCCCCUUCUAAAUAUCUUUCUUCAAUUUAAUGCUUGAAUUACAGUACAUCAAUCAUAUCAGGAUUGAGGAUUUUCUUGCCAAUUUCAUGCUUCCAAGCCAUUAAUCAUCUCUUCAACAUCAAUUUUUCAUCAUCUAAAUAUCUUUUUUCACUCUAAAUUACCAAACUUCUAAUUGUUUCAAAUCUCUAAUUAUUUCACACAAAAUUUAUAGUACAUCACAAAAACCACAAAGGUCAAAAUUACCUCAUCACCUUCUCGUUAACUCACAAAAUGAAAAGGAAAGAGAGGAACUUGUGUUCAUCUUCAACACCUCAGGAUGACAGCGACCGCUUCAUGGAUUCCACUUCUUAUUUGCUUUGAACGAGAUGGUGCCUUUGAUCUUCUAUGAUUACUAAACAAAUAGAAGAGAGAAAUUUGAGAGAAAUUUGUGAUUUCAAAGUGAGAUGUGAGAGAUUGGGAAUGGCCUGGGUGAAACCCUCAAAAAGCAAAAUUUUGUUUUGCAAGCUUUGGGAACCGGUUUAAUAAGUUAACAAUUUUUUCCUCUUUUUUAUUUCUUUUCAAUCUCAGCCGUUGGAUUCAUUUUACUUGAAUCCAACGGCUGCGUUUACAAGCCGGCACAAUGCCGGGCCUCAAUGCCCGGCAUUGUAGCUUUAGCCAAGUUUAGUUUACAAUUACACCGGUGUCAAAUCAGCAGAGCAUCGGCAAGAGUUUUCGAUUGUUGCAAUUUGCAAUGCAUGUGGUACAUGCACGCACUAAUAAAGAAACACAAAAAGUGCAUUCUCAAGCCAAUAGUAUUUGUUUUUAAUCGCUACUUUGCAUAAUAAUGUAGCUUAGUUAGGAAAUUUGUAAUUAUAUUAUGCGUCCGUUUGGUAUAACUUUUUAAUUAGAACUUAUUUAAGGAGAACUAUUGUUUGUAGAGUUUUUAUAAAUAGAAAUUUUAAUUAAAAAAAAUUAUAAUUAUUUAGUUGUCAAUGUCCAAAUUGAUGAACUAUUGUUCUUUUUGUUAACAUGUGUUUGUUUUACUUAAUAAUAAAACUUUAGUUUACAAUUACACCGGUGUCAAUUAUACUAAUAGCAUCGGCAAGAGUUUUCGAUUGUUGCAAUUUGCAAUGCACGCGGUGAGAGAAAAUGAGAAUCUUGUUUAAUCCUUUCAUUAGGAGUAAUUUAAUAAUCGUUUGUUAUAAUAGAAUAUGUAUAAAGAAAGGAAAAUUAUAUUCAUAGAUUUGGCUUAUUUUUUGUUUAAAGUAAUUCAGAUCAUUACAACGUCCUUUUCGCUAAUUAAUUACAACGUCCUUUUCGCUAAUUAAUUAUGAUUAUAUACAUUUUCAUAUGGCAAGUGGCAUUGUAGAUCUAAACGACGUUGCUAUUUCAAUACGUUAAUUAAGUGAUUCUCCUGAUUGUCAUCAGCGCUAUACCCUCUAGGAAAAUAGCUCAAUUGUUUUCCUGCAUUGAUUUUCAUUGGUAUGUGAUUUCUUAUGAAAUUCUUUUGAGCUUUCCUUAGUUAAAAAGCUUGAGCUUUUAUCACCUAAUACUGAUAUCAAUUAACUUGUGAACGAUUUUAUACCCUCUCUUUUUUUUCUUUUUUUUUAAGUACUCUGUUGAAAGCCAAAGUUCCUUUGGCCAGUUAAUUUAGAAGUGAAGGAAAGAAUAAAGUUAGGCCUCGACGUCUUUUGAGAUUAGAAAUACAUUUUGAAUGCUUUAAUAGAUGCAGAGCAAACUGGCUCGAUAUCUAACUAUUUUAAGAGCUAAAAUCAUUUAUUAGAAGUUGUAGCAUUAAAAAAAAUGGGCUUGAUAUCCAAUUUUGUUAUUGAAUAUGUCUCACGUGUUACUGGCAGAUGGCUAUGCUAGGUUUUAUUGCUCCUUGAAUUUGAUUGAAAAAUUAUUGAGGCGGACAAGUUUGGACCAUUGUUGGACACUGAAACUACACAUCAGUCUUAGAAAAUUGUAAUUUUGUUGGCUUAUCAUGAUUUUGAUCGCCUCACAUUGAUUUUCCUAUGACGUCUCUGUAGAGUGGCUAUGCUUACAUUUUUAGGUAUUUAAUUCUAAAAAUUAACUUAUUAGAUGGAAGGACCAAUUCUACCUGUAAAUACAAGUGGCUUCCCUUUACCAACUCAUACAAGACACAACAAUAAUCUUCUUCAGAAAAAACCACCGUCGGAGGGCUAUUUUCGUUCAACAUAAAUGAGUUGUUCCGCCACCAUAUUUUAAGGGUUUGCUUCUAAUACAACUUGGGGGAGCUAGGGCUAAGAUUUCUAAGAAUCAACAUAAAAACCUUGCCUAUUGGAUGGAAGGACCAAUCCCACUUAUGAGUCUAAAUGACUAAUUUUUGAGGACACAACUCAACAGACCAAUAUAAACUUUUGACGUCCCAUUUUAUUACUUUCCUGUGUUUUUACUUUUGAUGCUGUCUAUAGCCCUACUAUUCUAUUAAGCAGAAAAUAUUUCAAGGCACUCUCGGUCCAGUAGAUAACUUUGGUAUUUAUUAUCUAUUUUCUUUCCAUUUUAUGUAAACCCCGAUCUUUACCUCUGAUUGGUUGUAGAUUCUUUUGUUGCUUUGGGGUUAGGGGAUGGUUUUCAUAACUAUUAAGUUGAUCAAUGCAGAAAAUCACCAUCAAGAAAUGAUAAAGGAUUGUUAGUUCUAUCUGACAAACAACAUUAAUAUGAAGGAUGAUGAUUGUUCUGUUCAAGAGUUUAUAAUGACAUAAUUCUACUUUGGUCUUUUAAAAAAAGUAAUUUAGAAACGAGUAUGUGAGUGAUGACUUUUACAAAAUAAAUUACAUGCGCAGUGAUGAUUUUGACACAUGAAAAUGAAAAAAGAAAUAUAACUUGUGAAUAAUAAUUGAAGUACCUGCUAUUGUUAUAUUGGGUAUUGAUAAAUGGAUGGUUUUGGAAGAAUUGAAAAUGAUGGCAUAAGUAAACCGAAGUUAAGAGAAAAGAGAAAGAGCAUUUGAACUUUACUAGUAAGUAAAGGCAAAUUUCUUGGUUCAAGAAAAGAUAAGAGAUAUCAAACUAGCAAUAGGAAAAAGGAGGAAGGUUAAGACAGCAUCUUAACAAAAGCUAAAGAAAAGAAAAACUUAGUUCAAGCAAAGAACAAUGUGCUAAUGUCGUGUAAUCUUGUUUAAUUUCUUUUUCUUCUCACAUUUUCCAGGGCUUAAAUAAUACAAUAUACAUUUUCAAGCAAAGAACAAUAUGCAAUUGCAGUACUUCUGAGCACACAACAACAAAUAAAUAGUACAAUAUACAUACCCACUAAAUUAAAAAAAAAAUAUUAUUCAAGUUUGUGGACAAUACUGUAGCCAUGCCGUCGUCGAAAUCUACUGACAGCUGAAACAAAGAAAGAAUGGAUGAAUGCUGGAUCACAGUUGAAAUUGAAGGUCUGGUAGGUGAUGUUUCCCUCUCUGAUUUUACCUAAACAAAUACAAAAAAAUAAGAAUCACAAAUGAAAAUCUGCUAUUACACUGUUCUUACUUAUUAAAAUACAGAGGUUUCUUUGUUUCUCUGCAGCAAUGUCCAUGGCUAUUAGAAACAAGAACAAUUAGACCAGCAUUUGCAAGAAUCCUUUAAGGUAUUACUGCAGAUAUAAAUCCACUGAGGAAAUGGAAAAAGUGAAUACCAAAUUAGGCAAGUUAAAUGAAGAUUGAGUUAUCAUAGAAGAAUAAAACUCAUCCAAUUCAAUCCAUCAAAUUCCAUAAGGAUACAACUGGAUGUCAUACUGCUGCUCCAUAUCCUCAAGAGCCCGUAGAUUUUGCCUCAACUCUGGCUGAGGCCAAUGUAAGUCCAAUUUGCAAAAGCUCUUUAUGCACCAUAGCUCUUCAGGAAGCUUUCUCAAGUAAGCACAAGGGUUGACAAUUAUGCUCCCAAGUUUUGGCAUUGCUCCAGCCCCUAUCGUCCACUCCUCUAGCCAACAAAUUGAUUUCAGGUGCAAUACUUUGAGCUCCGGGAAACCACAAGAGCAAACACAAGCCAGUUUUCUUCCUGAAUAUGAGUUCUGCUUCAAUUUCAGCACUUGAAGGUGUGGAAGCUUGUCUAGUGUUAGCAUGGUAUCCGCCAAUAACUCAGUAUUUGAUAAGCUUAGUUGGAUCAGACUUGGAGAAGCUGGUAUUUAGACAGGGCCAUCCGAGAGAGCUACCACCUCUUGGUUUCGUUCACCAGCUUCAAGCAUUCAAGUUUGUGUAGUUCGCAUAGGCUUUUGGAAACCCCAGAACGAUAAUAACUCAAACCUCCAGAUACUAAGAGUUUGAAAAUGAGGUAGUCUGCCUGUUAAAGUAGCUCACUAUGCUGAACGAAAGAAGGAGAAAGCUAAGCUGAAGAAAAUACAGGGCAAGAGUAUUAGCUGUGCCAGCUCAACUGACAGCUCAGCAAAAUCAGUUAAAUUUUGUUACAAGCCCCCUGUGCAUUGUGCUGAAGAUUAGUUAGUUUAAUAAUGAUUAGUUUUAGAUUAGUUAAAAUGUAAUCAUGAUUAAGAUAUAUAUAUAUAUAUAUAUAUAUAUAUAUAGAUAUAGAUAUAUAUAUAGCUGCUGUACUGAUAGGGCAUCUCAAAAGUUCUGAAAUAAUACCUCAAUUCUAUGGCAAAAAUAAAUAAUCUCAAACAAGAACCAAUAAUCAUAUUUUGUUACUGUCAAACACAAUGCAUAUGAGCAAAACAUUGGAAGCCAACACCAGAAUACAUAUGAAUAAACAAUUAAAGAUAGAGAAAAAAGGCUUAAACCUUGGGGGAAAAAAGUGAAAAAACAUGAAAGACAAAUUACACAUGUGCAGUAACCAUCGAACUUAUCAGUGACAGCUGCAUCCAUUACAUUGCUCCAACAACACAAUGGCAAACCACCAGUUUCAAAUUGAGGAUAGCUAUCGAGAAUGAGAAAGUGUCCAAAACAUCAUAAAUAGACAUGUUCCUAUUGUGCAUAAUUUACAUUAUAGGCAAAUAUUCUUAUACCAUCAAAGGCAAAACAUGACACUAACAAUUGAUCCCCCCCCCCCCCCCCCCCCCCCCCCCCCCAACAAAAAAAAAGGAAAAAACAAUACAGAAAAGAUUGAAACAGAUAAGGCUACACUGAGCACAGGAUGCCAUGAAACAUAAUCCAGGAACCAAAUUAAUAAAGAAGGAAGGCAAACCAUUAUUUAACAAUCUGUUUUGUAUUUGGGAAAGUCCGAUAAAAUCUACUUAGGGAUAAUUAGAGAACCUCAACUAUUAAUCACACCUCAUAAAUGAACUAACAUUAACCAUGUACCAUCCCCACAUCAGACAAACAUUCUCUAUACUUCUGAACCUAAUACUUCCAUCUUCAAUUGGGGUUUUUUUUUGUGGGGGGGGGGGGGGAUAAGCUAUCGUGUUUCUAAGCUUGCUUACCUUCUGUGUGGGACUGAAAUACUGAUUUCGAAUCAUUAACAGUAAAAUUGGAAGCUCAUGAAAAAACAAUUUUAUCUUUUAACAAAAGUUAAAAUUACAUCUCCAUAUAAAUUCUCUUUUCAUUUCCUUCAAUUUUCUAAUUAAGCUUAAAAAAAUGUACCUUCAACCACAAAGGGGUUUAAAAUUUAAAAUAUAUAAAAAAAUAAAUUCAGAUAACAAUAAUUAAUUUAAUUAAAAAUAUAAAUAGAGAUUACAGAGAAAGAGAAAAUAGAGAAAGACCUAAUGUUGAGUCCUUUGGUUCUCUUCAUAGGUCCGAACCAUUUCUUCGGGCGUGGGUUUCGGGUCUUUAGGAAACUCCAUCGUCAUAAGCCAGUGAUUGUAAUCGCAACCCUCCAACAGAAUCGUGUCGGGUGUGAUCUCGUCGCCGUCCUUACACAAGUGGUAAGUCUUGUUACCCGACGGCGCAGACGAGAGGGAGAUCGUCGGGGACGAUCUGAACGGCCGAGAAUGGAUGAUGAUGGAGGAGGAGGAGGAGAUUAGCGAUGACGACGCCGAUGAAAUGGAAGGGUUUACCAGAGGAGUGGAUGCCGAAAGUGCAGGGACGGCCGCCAGGAGAGAGCGGUGGAGAGCAGCGACGGCCGGCAGUGACCGGCGGAAGAUGGCGGGAGAUGGCAGCGUGGGCCAUUGCUUGCGCGUCAGUGAGUGUCUCGAGUGAGAGAGUGAAGGUAGGGAUGGCAAUGGGGAGGGAGGGAGGGUCCAAUCUCUCCGUACCCAUCCCCCAAUUUGUCCCCGUCCCUCCCCGUCCCCAUUUGCUUAGAAUCUCCAUCUCUGCUCGAAUAAUAACAGGAAAUCCUCGAGGUUCUAAAUAACUAAUAAUUUUUUUUAUUUUUUAUUUUUUUAUUUUUAGUUAAUUAUAUUAAAAUAAAAAAUAAAAAAUAAAAAUAAAAUUUAAAAUAUAUCUUAUAUUAAUAUUGAUCCAUUAUAAAAAUUACAUGUAAAAUAUAAAUUAUCAAAAUAAUUAUCUUUAUCAAUCUUCAUAAUCAUAUAAUAAAAAGAAAAAAAUUUACUUUUAUAUUGAUAAUAAAAUAAAUAUAGAUAAUUAAUUAAUAUUUUUAAUAAAACAAAAUUUUUGGGCUAAUAGAAUCUACCCUGCUUUUUUAAUAUCUUAAAUAAAAAUUUAAGACUUUAAUUAGUUAAUUAGGCCUAAAAAUUUAAUAAUAUAAAUAUUUUGAUAUUUUUUAUUUUACCAAUAUUUAUAAUUUUAUAAUAUAUUCAAUUUUUAUUAUUUAUUUACUAGUAAUUUUAAAAAAUAAAAAUAAAAUUAAAAAAUAAAAUGGGGGAAAUGGGGAGGGGAUGGGGAUUCCACCUCAUCCUUGUCCCUUCCUCGAAUAAGAAAUUGAUUAAAAAAAAUUUCCCGUCACUUUCUCGAAUAAGAAAUCGGGUAUAAAAUUAUCCUCGUACCCUCCUCGAAUGAGAAAAAUCUCCGAGGAUACCCAUACCCGUGGGGAUUUUUGCCAUCCCUAAGUGAAGGAUUUUGUUUAGGGUUUUGGGAAUUGAAAAAUGUAAAUGUUUGAUUUUGUUGCUAGAAACUUCUUCUGCCGCUGCUUUUUAUUUUCGCUAUAAAAGUAAUAAUUUGUUAAUCAAAUAUUUUCUUAAAAAAGAUAAAUUUCUAGAACAAAAUUUAUAUUAAAUCAAAUUGUAAAAAUGUGGAAUAGGGCUAAUUUCUCCUUAAUAUUAUUGUUAGUAGAAGUAGAUUUUCGAACUAGUCUUGAUAUAUUUUAGAGUUGUAUUAUAGAUGUAUAUGUAUCUAGAUUGUAAUUAUAUUUUAAAAAAUAUAAUUUUUUUAAUUAUUGCACAAUAAGUGUAGAAAAUAUCUAUAAAAUAAUAUUAUUAGAACUAUGAAAAGAAUUUAUUUUAGAGAAGUUGUUUUUUUAUUAUUGAAUUUGUUAAUUUAUUAAUUUAUUGACAAAUGAAUAUUUAUUAAUUUAAAGAGGGAUUUUUUUUUAUUUGCUUUUAAGAAGAGUUUUGUUGGUACAUGUACAUACUUAUAAAGAAAUACAAAAAGUGCUUCCUCUGUUCCUCAAAUCAAUAGUAUUUACUUUAAUUCAUAAUAAUAUAGCUUAUUUAGGAAACUUGUAAUUAUACCAUGUCUUUGUUUCUUUGUUCAUUUUGGUGGGACAAUGUGAUAAAUGAUUGGAUUAAAAUGCAUUAAUAAAUAAAAACUUAUUAAAACCUAAUUUAUUUGGGAACCACAUAUUAUUUGUCAGUAGUAUUUAUCAACUUAACAAGUUAUUUCUAAUUUGUCCCUCUCUAUUAAUGGUUCUCUUAAAGCCAAUAGGGUCGCAUUUGAUAUCUUGCCAUUACCGUUGGCAGUAGCGUGUUACCUAAGAUUUGGAUUCAUUGAAAUCCUCAAUGUAAUCGGUGGAACGAAUGGAUUUCUUCUAUUCAUAAUUUGAUGCUUUGGAUUCAUUGAAAUCCUCAACGCAUUUGAUAUCUUUUUCGUUGAAUUCGUGCAGUUAAAUAAUCUCUACCAACAUAUGUAUGUAUGUAUGAAAUUGGAGUAACCAGACCUUUUCAAGAGUUAAAUAAUCUCUACCAACAUUGUAGAUUGCCCGAUAAAGUUAACUGUGUUACCCAGCUCUAUGCAUAUACAUUAAAUGCAUGUUUGGGUAGUUUUAUAAAAUGAUAACAGCAUGUCAAAACUUGAUAUGAGUUAUAUUGUCAUAUUCGACAUUUUUAAAUUGAAAAAUAAGCAAGCAAUCUUCAGUGAACAUUACAAUUUUGUUCGCUCUACACCCCAUCAAUAUUUAAGCAAUCUACAUAUCAUUACUUGAGGAAAGAAACUCAUUGCGCCACUAGGCUUUUAACGAGGCUCAUUUCUAUGAAUCUGGAUAGCAUUAGAUAUCUCUCCGAAUACUGUUGGGAGUAGAUUGCAGUUCUCUGGGCUAUACUACAAAGUGUAUGUACGUUGAUUCUCUGAUAUGAUUCAAAACAUCAGUACAUGCAUCAUUUAAUGAGAAAGAAUAUUCUGAGAUUAUUUAUGCAUCACCAUUUGUAGUUGUACUGACUCUAAUGAAAUUAAAGGUGCAAUCAGCAACUAAAAUGAAGCCAGAAAGACACGCAUGAGGCAGUUUUCCUAGAAGAUUUGAUAUUUCUUUGACUAGCAAACCAUACGACAUUAAUCAAAACACAAUACGCACAAACAGACCCCUACAUACAUACCAGCAAAUUCAAAAUAGAAAAAGGAGUGCAACUAUUCAAGUUUGUAGACAAUAUUGCAGCCAUGGCAUAUCAAAGCAAAUCCUUGAAAUGUGCUAAACAGAACAAUGCCCUGUCUGAUGAAUCGACGCUCAAUUACAAUUGAAAUUGAAAGUCCGGCUGGUGUUGUUUCCCUCUCCAGUUUUGCCUACAUAAGUAAAGGGAAAUGAGAAUCAUAAAAGAAAAUCUGCUUUUAUGGUUCUUAUUAGAUAGAUAAAAAGGGAUCUUUCUUUGUUUCUCUGCUGCAAUGUGUGGCUAUCCCACUCUGUUUUGCCAGUCAAGCUGAGUCUAUGUUGAGACAUAAUUUUGACAUCAGAAGCGGCCUCAAUUAGUUUGGCACUUUUGCGAUAAACAUAAAUCUACUAAGAAAGUGCAAAAAAAAAAAAGAAAAUGAAUAUAAAAGUAUGAUUUAUCAGAUAAGAUUAAAACUCACCCAAUUAAAUCCGUCAGAUUCCAUAAGGAUAUAACUGGAUGUCAUACCGCCACUCCAUAUCCUCGAAAGUCCGUAGUCUUUGUCUCAGCUCUGUCUGAGGCCAAUGUAAAUCCAAUUUGCGCAAGCUCUUUAUGCACCACAGCUCUUCUGGAAGCUUUCUCAGGUAAGCACAUGGGUUGACAAUUAAGCUUUCAAGUUUUGGCAUUGUUCCUCCCCCCAUCGUCCACUCAUCUAGCCAAUACAUUGAUUUCAGGUGCAAAACCUUAAGCUCCGGAAAGCCACCAGAGCCGACACAGGCCAGCUUUCUUCCUAAAUACGAGUUCUGCUUCAGUUUCAGCACUCGAAGGCGUGGAAGAUUUUCCAGAAUUGGCAUGGGAUCCUCCAUUAGCUCAGUAUUUGAUAAGCUCAGUUGGAUCAGACUUGGGGGAAAUUGGUAUUCAGACAGGACCAUCCGUGAGGGCUUGCUCUCAUUCACCAGCUUCAAGCAUUCAAGUUUGUGGAGUUCGCAAAGGCUUUUGGAAACCCCAGAUUGAUAGUAACUCAAAUCUCCAGAUAUCCGAAGAGUCCGAACACUGGGUAGUCUGCCCAAUAUAUCAGGAGUACAACUACUAGGGUUUAAAGCUGAUAUGAAAAUGAGAUUUUUCAGAGAGCUAGUAUAAUUUUUUGGAGGUGCGGGCAGAGUGAUAGAACCAAAGUUUAGAUGCGUGAGUUUUUGCAUCAUCCAAAUAUCCUCUGGCGACUGAUCUAUGUAGCUAGAUGGCAUUUCUAGUGUUUGAAGGUUUAAAAGGGUGCAUAGCAGCAAAGGAAGGCAUUUGAGCGAAGGGAUAUUCAAUUUCAAGUACUUCAAAAAAUAUAAAUUUUCUAAUCCGGGUGGAAAUUGGUCGAGAACUGCGGAACCCAAGUUCAGUACCCGAAGGUAUUUGAACUUUUUACAAAAAUUCUCGCAAUCUAUCAGAGCGAGAUGAUCGCUUCGUGAACUGUGAUUCAGAAAAGAUUGGAUAUACAUGUCAGAAUAUUCUGGAGGAAAGAACUUAAUCAGACGAUCCAAAAUGAGAUACCGUUUAACAUUUGCCAGUGGUUCCUCUUUCAUAUCAGACAUCCGGACAAAUUCCGUCUUGUCCGCCACCAAAUAUAUUGAAAUAAAUUCAAAACUUGGAACAUAACACGCUUUGAUUGUGCCGUUGGCUCUUCUCUUACUCACUUGAAUGAAGCCGCGGUGGAUUAGUUCUUUUAAGUAAAAUUCGGCAGUUUCCUCACUGUUGUAUGGAAUUAAACCUUCAGCUAUCCACAACUGACAUAAUUGCGCGGUAGAUAUCUCAAUGCCGGGGCGGAAGACACACAAAUAGAUGCAGCAGACUUUCAAGUAAAAAGGUAACUCCCACACAGAACAAGUUCGACUGAAAACUGUCAAAUUUAUUUUUUCAUUCAUAUAAUUUUCUGAUGGCGCACUUCCAUAGUGUAAGAUAAAAAAUUGCCAGGCCUCAUGCUUUAAUCUGAUCAAUGGUCCUUCAAUGAGCACUGAAUCAAGCCGAAUCUCCUCUCCGUUUUCCAUUUCCAACGACGUAAGGAGUUCUGGAUCAGUGACCAAUAUCAAUACUCUGCUUCCAUUCUGAUUAUCAGGAAGAACUUCUUCAAGAUCAUCCCAUAUCUCAAUGUUAUCGCAGACAUCAUCAAGCACAAUAAAGUACUUCUUCUUUGCUAGGAAAUCUCGAAGAAUAGUUUUCUUCAAUUGAUAAUCUUCACCGAUAAUUACACUAACCCCAGAUGGAGGCAUCACAGACUUGAUUAUGUCAUCCAAUAUCAUGCGAAAAUCGUAGGCCACAGAAACCCUGACCCAAGCAAGACAGUCAAAAUAGAACUUGACAUGAUUAUUAUUGUAAGUAUCUGCAGCAAAAGCAGUCUUAUCGAAGCCAUUGCUGUCGAGUAUUGCAACCACUGCCAGCCCAGAUGGUCCAUCUAUUGAUUGAGGGACCAUCUGGGCUGGCAGUGGUUGCAAUACUCGACAGCAAUGGCUUCGAUAAGACUGCUUUUGCUUAUUUUGUUACUUUGUUCACUGAUAUCAAAACCAUUGUCGCCGGGUGGAAGUUGUUGAAUCCGAUUUCUAAUAUCAAUGAUUUUACUGUGGAGUCCAACAAGAAAAGCCAUCUUAGUACUACUUUCACUUUCGUUUUCACCGUUUUGCUGCUGCAUGAUUUUGAUGAAGAAUGUGUCAAUGGCUUCCUCAGAUUCAUGGACAAAGUCAUUGAUGUCGUUCAGAAUUUCCAGAACGUCUGCUCUUUUAACGUCUUCUUCAUCGCUUUCUUCUGCCUGCAACAGUUGCGAAAAAGGCAAAGAUAAUUUGUAUUCAUCGAAUCGUUCUUUAACGAGUUGAAACAAAAGCCGAGCCAUGUCAGAUUCAUAGUUUCCCAGCAGAGUGGUAGCAAUAAUUUCGGACUCCGUAAGAAGGUUUUUAAAAAGGGGAGUUAAAUUUGUUGAAUCAGGCAAAGUCAACGCGCCUUCUUCACCUGCUAACACCCUUUUUAACCUCUCACAAAAUAGUCGGAGGUGGACGUCCAGCAUAUCUCCUUCUCUCUGUAGCGGCCAGAGGUAUUGUUAUUUGCUACAAGAAAUGUUAAAAGGAUUGGUCCUAUCUCAAAGUCGUUAGUGGUGUCAAAUUAAACGCCAUGGGAGAAUUUGAAAGGAAGAUGCCAAGAAACUGGCUAAGUGGCUAAAUUCCACAAAUACGGCAUUAUUGCUCAUUUUUAACUCAAAAAAUUGAUACGCGUUCAUUUAGCGAAAAGUCCAAGACGCGUGCCUUUUGAGAAGAACCGGUAUCCAAUAGGUAUUCAACUUUAUCUUAUUUAAGGCAAAGCUUACGUUACAAAUAAUGUAACAAACAACCAAUAAAUAUAGAUCAUUUAAUUAUUAGCAUGACAUGAUUGAUGGUGCUUAAAUCAAAUGUUUUUCUUUUUUAAUUUAAAGAAUUUUUCAUGAAACAAAUUAUUUUAAUAUCAAAUUGCCUUCAAUGGCAUAACUGCCGCAAGCCAGUGACAGAAUUAAUUAAAAAUUUUAGAAUUCUUGGGCAUGGAAAUGGUAGUAAACAUCAUAAAGCUAAGGUUGUUCUGUAAAAGAACUGAUAUUGACAUAAUUUUAUUUUGGUUUUCGGGGAAAACAAUAUUUGUUGACAAGCAAGAAAAUAUUUUUAUAUUUUACAAUUUAUUAUACAUAUUUUAUCAUAUUAAAGUAAUUUUAAUAAUAAAUAGAAACAUAAUAUUACAAUAAAUAAAUUAAAGUUUAAAUUAUUUUGAAUAUUAUAAAAAGUAAUUUUAAUAUUAUUAAUAGGAAGACUUUUGUUAAUUGUAAAAUCUUUUUAAUCCAAAGAUUUAUUUAAAAUUCUUAUAAUAAAUACAAAUAUAAAAUUAAAUAUCAAAAUUUAAAAUUUUUAAUAUUAUUUAAAUUUUAAAAAUACUUUAAUGUUAUUAGUCUUCUACAUAAAUUAUAUUAUUUAUAUUAUAUUUGUAUUGAUUAAAAUCUUUUAAAGUCGAUCUUCUAGUUAUUAUAUGCAAAAGGUAUUAUAUCAUAUUACAAUUUUUUUAAAUUUUAGGGAUGUAGGUUACGAUGAUUUAUUUCACUUUUGACGAAAUCCAAUGAGAAAUAUGAUAAGAGAAAGUCAAUUUAACGUUCUCUACCUUUAUGAAAAAAAAAAUAAAAACUAAGAAUUAUUUAAUUUUAUAUUUUUUGCAUCCACCAAAUAAGUUUUGCACAUUUAUGUUAUCAUAAAACGAAAAAAAGGGUUUACCAAAAAAUGGUACCAAGCAUACCUUUAAUGUCCCACGUGAUUUCUUAUUAAGCCCAAUAUUAGAUAUAUUUAUAGAUUUUACUGCAUAAGUAUUUUAAUUAUAAAAGAAGUUGGUCCUUCCUCUAGUUACAAAAGAUAACUUUAUUUCAAGACUACCACUAAAUUCUUACGGAGAAUUAGUGCAAGGCCAAGAGAGAGUAACACAAUUUUACUUUUCCAUUACCAUUUUGAAAAUAGAAAGAUAUGGAUCCGUGUAUUUAAGAGUUAUUGUAAAAAUCAUACAAUUCAAUUUCCUGACGUGUAUUAUGUAUAUUUAGGCACAUUUGCCAAAAGCGUAAAUAGAUAGAAAGUAAAUUUACAAUCCACCCUUACUCACAAUUAUUGAAGUGAAGAUGCAUUACAACUGUCACUGCUUUAACUACAUUUAUUUAUUUAUUUGUUUUAAAUAAAAGUGUGAGAGAGACGGUGAACAUCAUGGACGAUAACAAAGGUUAAAGCCUAAAGGUGACCCAUUUUCUUUUUUAAAGUGCUCUGCUGAAAGCCAAACUUCCUUUGGAUCCGCCUAAGUUACUGCUGACGCAACUUACAGCUGCUUUGUAAAAUUUUAUAAAGCCCCUUAUACUCUAUAUUAUUACGUUAUAACUUAACUUACUAUGAGAUUUAUCUUACUUAUUUAUAAUUUGUUCAUAAAUAUUAUAAAACUUUCUGCAUUAUAUAAUUUUAUUGAGCCCCUUAUACUAUAUUUUAUUUCAUUGAAACCCUUAGAGUACUAAUUCGCCCUCUAUAAUUUUAAAUUCCUAAAAUAUCCUCCAUUUAAUUAAAAAUAUAAUAAUUAUUAAAUGGAUUAUAAUUAUAAUUAUUAUUUUAUUAUAAUUAUUAUUAAAUGGAUUAUAAUUAUCUGGAGUACAAAUUCAGUAAUAAACAAUAACUGAAGUAUUAACAAUUUAUUCAUCAAAUAAAAUACUCGAGAUUUCAGCUGACAAAUCCUCUUGUCUAAACUAAAAAACUCAUAUCCCUAAAAUCUAUUUGUGAAAUGUUAGAGAUGAGUGGUGAUUUGUCAACUGGGUAAAUAUAUUUAUGCAUAAUAUUUCCGGUAUUGAUAAAUUACAUAAUAAUUAUUACAAAGAAAUCAUAAAUUGGAAACAUUAAUCAUUUUACAAUAUGUUACAUAAGUAAGAUAAAUCUCAUAGUAAGUUAAGUUAUAACGUAAUAAAUAUUUUCAACAUAUAAUUAUUUAAGAAGUCAUUUAACAAUAAUAUUUUUUAUAUUUCAGUUGAUCAUGUCAUAUAGCGUUAUCUAAACUCUUGGCCAUAUUAUUAUUACUCAAUUUUUCUCCCAAAAAAAAAAACAAAAAUGAUUAACGAUUAGAGAAAAGUCAUGCCUUUUAGAAAGAAUACGUAUACAGCCUAUCCCAUACUUUUAUCUUUACCAUGAUGGGGGAUUAAAUUUAUUUUUUAAAUUAAAUUUAAUGCACAAUUAUGAUGACUUUUUGCAAAAAUUAGUUUCGGAAGAUAUAGUGGUAGAAAAUAGUGAUGAUUAUUGUUUAAAUGUGUAAAUAGUUUAAGCAUAGCCCGUAAUACCAAUAUUCAUUUGCACCUUCAUUUGGAUUAUCAUAUUUUAUGAUGUUCUUUCAUUCAUAACCAUUGUUCAAAAUUUGGAUUUGAUCAUAAAACAAAGCUAAAAAAUAUUAGAGAUACUAACAAUUGAGUCCCAUUUUAAGUCCCAAUACAAUGUGUCAUUUCCCAAUGCUGUAUCAUUUUAGGUGAUGAAUUUCAGAAUUAAUAAUUAGUUCAGACUUAAAUUAAGAUUUAGUUAUUAAGAUAUCUAGCAUCACUCAAUCACAAUAAACAAUAACCAAUUCAAAUUGGAACGGAAUAUUGUAUUUUCUUUUAAUUAAUUAUGAUGCAUAAGCAAGUAUUUGUGCUUGGGUUUUUUACUUCUUGAUUUUGUUUGGAAAAAUUUAUGAGACAAAGAAGUGUUUUGGAUAAUUUUUUCGGGAUUGAAAAUUUGAAACCACAACUUGGUAGAAGAAAUUAGUUGUGAACAAUUUUUUCUUAUAUUGUAGGACCUUCUAGUUGGAGUAGUGAUGGCUUUGUCUUCAUUUUUGGUUCCAUUUGUGUCGGCAGCCCCUUACUAUUCUCUUGACCCUGAGUUUGAGAUGAAAAUUUAUCAACCUCCAACCCCACAUCCAAAAACAAGUUGAUUGAAACAAUUGCUCUUUAAAUUAAGCGGACCCAAAUGAGUUAGGUUUCAGUUCUUAUCAUUUGUCUAUUAUUUCUUUGAAACAUGUAUUUUGAGCAUUACUGAUCUUAAUUAUCUGUAUUUCUCCAAUUAUUGAAGAAUUUCAUGUGGCCACUUUUUCUCCUUUUAAAAUAUGUUUAUUUUUUGGAGUGAUCAAACGGGUGUAGAAUCAAGUAAUCGCUGGUCUGUAGUUUAGCCAAUGAUGGCUCAUCCACACAGUUGAAUAUAUGAUACAAUUAGCUCUCAAAAUCUUUCUUAUUUGAGAACAUAAAUUGCCCAUUAAAGUUAAACUAUGUUACCCAGCUCCAUGCACAUACAUUAAAUGUGUAGGUAGUUUUACAAAAUGAUAACAGCAUGCCAAAACUCGUUGUUGUCAUAUUCGACAUUUCAAAUUGAAAAAUAUGCAAGCAAUCUUCAGUGAACAUUACAUGUUUAUUCAAUAAUUUAAAUGGCCAGUAAAUCAACAGUCCAUGAGUUUUAAAUCUAUUAUGACUUAAUGUAUCUUUCUGUAUUCGUACACAGGUUAUAUUAUCAUAGUUUAAAAUUUUAAUAUUAUUUUAAAUGUUAAAAAUACUUUAAUGCUAUUAGUUUACUACACAGGUUAUAUUAUUUAUAAUAUAUUUGUAUUAAUUAAAACUUUUAAUGUCAAUUUUUCCAAAUUCUAAGGGUAUAGGUUUGAAAAUUUAACGUUCUCUAAAUUAAUGAAACAAAAGGGGGGAAACCAAAAACUAUUCAAUUUUGUAUUUUUUGUUUGUAAUUCAAAAAAUACAUCCACCAAACAAGUUUUACGCAUUAAUGCUGUCAUAAAACGAAAAACAGUUUGCCAAAAAAUGGUACCAAACAUAUCCUUAAUGUCUCACAUGAUUUCUUAGUAAGUCCAUAUUAGAUAUAUUUAUACAUUUUAGGUAUUUUAGUUAUAAAAGAAGUUGGUCCUCCCCCUGUUUAUAAAAAAAUAACUUUAUUUCGAGAUUGCCACUAAACUCUUAUAUAGAAUUAGUGUAAUGUUAAGAGAGAGUAACACAGUUUUCCAUUACCAUCUUUGAAAAUAGAGAGAUAUGGAUAUGCAUGCAUUUAAGAGUUAUCGUGAAAAUCAUACAAUUCAAUUUCCUGACAUAUAUUUAUGAGCAUAUGCCAAAAGAAUAAAUAGACAGAAAGUAAAUUUACAGUCCUCACUUCCUCACAAUUGUUAACGUGAAGAUGCAUUACAACUGUGAACUGUCACUGCUUUAGCCUUUUUUUUUUAAUUAUAGUGUGAUGGAGACAUUAAGGCUGAGCAUAAAAGUUAAAGCUGACCCAUUUUCUUUUUAAAGUGCUCUGCUGAAAGCCAAACUUCCUUUGGCUAAUUAAUUUAGAAGUAAAGCAGAGAUUAAAGUCCUAGACGCCUUCUGAAAUUAGAAAUACAUUUUAUAUGCUUUAAUUAUGAUUAUUUGGUAGACCAUAGACCUAGAAGACAUGUCAAAAGUAUAAAACAGAGCGAUUAAAGAAAAAAGAAAAAAAAAAGAGUAUUUGUGACGUAGAAUAACAAAUGGUAACUAAAAUCCUAAAUAUUUGAGUUGUUAAAAGUAAAUAUAACAGAGACGGUAAGAGAGAUGCAGAAACAGAAAACUAUUAGCUUAUCUUGAUUUUCCCACUAUAUUCAUUUUCGAUGCUUUUCGAACGAGAUUCUUUUAAUCCUUCUGGUGUAUGCAGCCCCGGCUCUUCUUAUAAAUCUCCAUCCCACAUCUGCACUACGAACAAGUUGAUUGAAAUUAAAUAAUGUUGGAGAUGAGAGGUGAGUCGUCAACUCGGUAAAAACAAUCAUGUAUAAUAUUAUUAAUAAUAUAAAAUAUAUAAUAAUCAUUACAAAGAAUCAUAAAUUAGAAAAAUUAAUUAUUUUACAAUCUAUUUCUUAAGUAAGAUAAAUCUCGUAAUAAGUUAAGUUAAUAACGUAAAAAAAAAUUCAAUUUAUAAUCAUUUAAGAAGUCAUUUAACAAUAAAAUCUUUCUUUUGAUCAGUAGGCCAUGUCACAAAGUAUCAUAUAUAUUCGUGGUGAUAUUAUUACUACUCCGUAUUCUCAAAAAACAUGAUUUAACAUUUAGAGAAAAUUCCUACCUUUUAAAAAGAACAUGUGUGCAACAACUACCCAUACUUGAUCUUACCAUGACAAAACUAAUGGAGACUAAAUCAAUUUUCUCGAUUAAAGCAAAAUUUCUUAAUAUUGAUUUAAUCCAAAAAUAUGAUGACUUUUUGCAAAAAUUAGUUUUGGAAAAUAUAGUGAGAGAAAAUAGUGACGAUUAUUGUUUAGAUGUGUAAAUAGCCUAAACAUAAUCCCUAAUACCAAUAUUCAUGUGCAUCUUAACACCUUUCGUGUUAUUCUUUCAUUCAUGGUCACUGGUUCGAGAUUUGAAUUUGAUCAUUAAAUCAUGUUCAAUGAUAUUAGAGAUCCCAACAAUUGAGUACAAACUUAAAUCCUAAUGCUAUGUGUCAUUGAGCAAUGUUGUGUCAUUUUUUGUUAACUGGGUGAUGAAUUUCUAGUUGAUAAAAUUACUUAAAAAUAUCUUUAAAAUCAGACAAUAGUUUGCUUAAUUUUUUGAAGCUAACUGCUCAAGAUGCUCUAUUAGAAAUGAUAACCUAAUUAUAUUCAUCAAAAAUGAUUUUUUUUUUUUUUUGCGGUGUUGAUAGUGAGAUUAUCAUUCAACAUGUUAAAAUAUGAAAACAUAUGGAGGAAGGUUGUAAAUUGAUUGAAUGAAAAUAUUUCAGUGAAGUCUAAAAAAUUUGGUACUUGUUAUCUUAUCGAAAGUUUUCUAAAUUACAUUCGUGGCACUGCCACUGCUUUUAUGUGCAGGUCAUUAAAAUUUGUGUUAGUUACCUAUAUGUUGAAUAACAAUUUUAUUCAUGAAUUGUUGCUCAAUAUAGCAAUUUGAUUGAAAGUGCGGCUGCACUAAUUUUCUAGAUGAAUUUUCCUACAUGUUUGUCCUCAUAUGACCUAGAAUGUUGUUAUAUCAAUUGUAUUGGAAAUUAUUAAAGUGGGUUAGUGUUGUACAUCCCCACCAAAAUUUAAGCAAUAUGUUAUAACUCCUUAUAGCUAUAUAAGAUACUUCAGGAAAUGCUUUGAUGAAUUGGAUUUGAAAGAGCAGAACAAGUUAAUCCAACAAGAAAGAAAUCACAAGAAUUAGACACAGAGCACAAUUCUAAGUACACAACUUGAUGAAGGAAAAAACUGCUCUUUUAUUGAUCUCAACAAUCGAAAUAUAGGUUGAUUACAAAGAAGGAAUUACAAGGAUCACAAAGAACCAAAUUGCAAGCAAAAUGAAGAAAAUAUCGAUAUGAUAUUAGAGGCUAGUCACAAGUGCCUUUUAUUAUGAUCUUUCUAGAAAACGUCAUAACGAACUCUCAACGAAUUCUGCCACAUCAGCAUAAGUUUUUCAACAAGACCCCUCCAAUUGAAGUCGAUCUGCACAUUGCCCUAAGAAUUCUCCAAAUUUUGCAUUUAAACCUAACAUACCAGCAACUUAUUUCCUCACACUUUCCACCUUGCAGACUCAAUUCAGUUGAUCAUUUCAAUUAUGUAGCGUAAAAAAACCUUCAAAACACACAGUUUCGGAACUAAAGCUACUGCCAACACCAAUUAAGUUUACACAGAACUUAAAUUUGGUUGUUCGUAGUGCUUUUGUUAACAUAUCAACAGGAUUGAUAUUUGUAUGUAUUUUAGUUACUACAACUGCCCUUUUGCAACCUUAUCCUUGAAAAAGUGCAACUUUACUUCAAUGUGUUUGGUUCUCUCAUGAUAAACCUAGUUUUUGAUGAGCUGAAUGGCACUCUGAUUGUCACAAAAAAUCUACAUUGUCCUUUGCUUCAACCAGAGCUCAUUUAGUAACCCUCUCAACCACAUUGAUUCUUUUACUGCCUCUGUUGCAGCAACAAAUUCUGCCUCAGUAGAUGACAAAGCUACUAUGUGCUGUAGAGUAGCUUUCCAUCCAACAUGAAUAGAUAUCCAGAGAUAGAUUUUCUUCUGUCCAAGUCACCUGCAAAAUCAGAGUCAAUAUAGCCUCUAACUUCACAGACCUCCUACUUGAAUUUUCCAUACAUAAGUCCAUGAUCUAAAGUGCCUUUCAAGUACCUCAUAACCUAUUUCAUAGCAUCCCAAUGAAGCUUACCAGGAUUACUCAUAAACCUGCUCACAACACUUACUGCAUAAGCUAUGUCUGUUCUGGUGCAAACCAUUGCAUACAUCAAGCUUCCUACAACUUGUGAAUAUGGUAUUUCAGCCAUUUGUAACUUCUCAGCAUCUGAUGUUGGAGACAUGUCAUCAGAGAGUCUAAAUUGAGCUCCUAAAGGUGUCAUUACUGGUUUUGAAUCCAUCAUCCCAAACCUUUCCAGCACCUUGCUGACAUAUCUUGAUUGGCUUAGAAAUAAGGUACCAACAGCUAUAUCUUUGAAAAUAUCUAUACCAAGGAUCCUCUUGGCACUGUCGAGAUCCUUUAUUUCAAAUUCCCCCUCAAGCAGAUUCUUAAGCUUUUUAAUAUAGAUCACUAAGAUUUUUACCAGCAAUAAGUAUGUCAUCAACAUACAAUAAAAGAUACAUAGCUCCACUUGAGUUUAUAAUCUCAUGAUAGAAACAACUAUCAUAUUUGCUCAUGUGAUAGCCAUUUGAGAUCAUAAACUGGUCAAAUCUCCUAUACCAUUGCCUAAGAGACUAUCUCAAGCCAUAUAGAGAUUUAUGUAGAAGGCACACAUAAUCCUCAUAUCCCUUUGCUUUAAAACCUUCAGGCUAUGACAUUAGUAUCUUUUCUUCAAGAUUACCAUGUAGGAAGGUAGUCUUCACAUCCAUUUGUUCAAGCUCUAGAUCAAAUAAAGCCACCAUAACAAGUAAGAUUCUGAUUGAGCUGUGCUUUAUAACUGGUGAGAAGAUUUUAUUGAAAUAAAUCCCCUCCUUUUGUGUGAACCCCCUUGCCACCAGUCUUCCCUUAUAUCUUGAGUUUUCAACACCUGGGAUGCCCUCCUUUUUCUUGAAUAUCCAUUUGCAACUGACAACUUUCCUAAUCCCUGGAUUAGGAACCAAGGUCCAAGUCUGAUUUCUUACUAGAGAAUCCAUUUAUUCCCUCAUGGCUUUAAUCAGUUACUGUUGUUCUUGCUAUCUAUUGCUUCUCUAUAGUUGUUAGGCUCUUCAAUUGCAACAUCUUCUGCACUCAUUAAUGCAUAUGCCACCAUGUCUGCAUAUGCAUAUCUUGCUGGGGGUCUGAUAUGUCUUUUUUUCUCUGUCCCUAGCUAAUUGAUAUUGUUACAAAUCAGUUGCUUGUGGUGCUUCAUUUUCUGUUACUACUGUAUCUUGAGAAUCAGGUUUAAUAACUUCUGGUUGUAUUUCAUCUUUAUAGGUAUUAGACAACUCCACCUCAAUCUUUUCACUUUGAUCAAUGGCCUCAAUGGCUUGUGUCUUAUUUGCACUAAUGUUAGUAUCAGAGGUGACUUGAUCAGGAUUAUUGAUCAUAGCAACUUUAUUAAACUGAACAUCUCUGCUAAUUAGACAUUUACUAGCCUCUCCACACCAGACCCUAUAGCCUUUAACCCCAUCUGGAUAACCAACAAACACUCUUUUUAUAGCUCUUGCUUCAAGCUUCCCUUGUCUAACAUGGAAAUAAGUAGGGCGCCUAAAUACAUUUACAUGUUCAUAACUUCCAAGCUUUCCAUACCAGAGCUCUUUAGGAGUUUUGAAGCCAAUUGCAGCAGAUGGACUUUUGUUUACAAGAUAACUUGCUGUAGAAACAACUUUUGCCCAAAAACUUCUAGGGAGCUUAGAGUUUAUCAACAAACACCUUCUUUUUUAUCAACAAUUGUUCUAUUCAUCCUCUCAGUCAAACCAUUUUGUUGAGGGGUGAAUCUCACUAUUUUAUGCCUCAUGAUUCCGUAUUCUUGGCAGUAUUGCUAAAAUUUUUUGUUAUAGAAUUCAAGUCCAUUGUCUGUUCUUAAACAUUUAACCUUGAAACCAGAUUGAGUCUCCACCAAAGUCUUCCAAAUAUUGAACUUUUCCAAGGCUUGGUCUUUGGUUUUCAGUAUGUAGAUCUAUACUUUCCUGGAAUAGUCAUCUAUAACUGACAUGAAAUAUCUUCCCCCACUCAAAGAUGGCACCUGGGCAGCCCCCAUAGAUGAACAUGCCCAUAGUCCAGAGGUUGUUUAGACAUAUGCAUGCCCUUUGGAAAUUUGGACCUGUGUGCUUUGCCAAAAAUAUAGUUUUCACAGAAGUCUAACUCAUUUAUUUUAUCACCACACAACAAUCCUUGCUUACUCAACUCUUACAUUCCCCUAAUACUCAUAUGGCCAAGUCUAAGAUGCUGUAAUAUGGUUCUAUUAAAAUAAAAAACAGCAGACAUUGCAGCUGAAACAGGCACUGAUGAUCCUUCUAACACAUAAAGGACAUUUUUCUUAACUCCUUUCAUUAUCAUUUGAGUCCCUUUCAUAAUCUUUAAACCACCAUUUUCAAAUUUGAAGCAAUAUCCCAUACUAUCCAGCAUGCCUAAAGAGAUCAAGUUCCUCUUUAGCCUAAGUGCAUGCCUCACAUCAUAUAGAGUUUUAACAGUCUCCUCAAACAUCUCUAUUUUGACAGACUCCAUACCAAUAACCUUACACACAUUGUUGUUACCCAUCAAUACUCUACCACCAUCCACAGAUUCAUAUGUAUGGAAAAGGCUUCUAUCAUGACACAAAUGAAAAGAACAACCUGAAUCAAGAACCCACAGACCUUUAAUAUUGUUGUUCGAAGCCACCAAAAAUUCAGCACUAUGAUACCCAUCAUCAGAGGAGUCAUCUGAGGCCACUGCUGCAUCCCUUGUUCUUUCUUUUUCAUCCUUCUUUUUCUCAUCACAAUCCCUGAUGUAGUGGCCUUGCUUUUUGCAGUAAAAACACUUUCUUUUCUUCAUUUUUUCCUUUGCAGAUGCAUCAUCCGUUUUGGCUUGAUUCUUGUUCUUGUUCUUCUUGUUUUUCUUAUCUGUUCUGGCAAUUAAACCUUCACCAUUACUUACUUCAUGCCCAUUACUCUUCUGAAUCUCCUUAGAGCUCAAAGAGGCUUUCACGUCCUCUGGGGUUAGAGUGGUUAUUCCAUACAGCACGGUGUCCACAAAACCUUCAUAGGUUUUAGGCAAUGAACUCAGUAAAAAGAAAACUUUAUCUUCAUCAGUAAUUUUCACAUUUUCAACCCCUUCAAGAUCAAGAAUGAUCUUGUUGAAGUUGUCAAUGUGUUGUUGAAUAGAUACCCCUUCUUUCAUAGAGAAGGUAUAUAAUCUUUUCUUCAAGAAAAGUCAAUGUACUAAGGAUUUCUUCACACACAGAGCCUCCACCUUGUUCCAGAUACCAAGGACUGUCUUCUCUUCAUAAAUUUCCCUUAGGAUUGAGUUAUUGAGACUCAAGAUCAAGCAAAAUGAACAAGAAAUGAAGAAGAUAUCGGUCUAAUAUCAGAGGCUAGUCACAAGUGCCUUUUUUUCUGAUAUUUUUGGAAAACAUCAUAACGAACUCUCAACGAAUUCUGCCACAUCAGCAUAAGUUUUUCAACAAGUCCCCUCCAUCUCAAGUCGAUCUGCUCACUGCCCCAAGAAUACUCCAAAUCUUGCAUUUAAAGCCAACAUACCAGCAACUUAUUUCCUCACACAAUCUACAGAACAUUUCUUGUGGAAAGAAACUUAUUUCGCUACUAGACUUUUAAUGAGGCCCUUUUCCCAGAAUCUGGAUAAGAGUUAGAUGCCUCCCGGAAUAUUGGUAGGAGUAUAUUUCUAAGUUAUUGCUCGGUAGAUCUCUGAUAUGACUGAAAACAUCAAUACAUGCAUGAUUUUAUAAUAAAGAAUACUCUAAAAUUAUUUGUAUAUCACCAUUUGCAGUUGUGCCCUCUCGAAUGAAGGAGCAAUCAGCAACUAAAAUGAAGCCCGAAAUGUACACGCAUGAGGCAAUUUUUCCAGAAGAUUGAUAUUUCUCUAACUCGCAAACCAUACAAACCCAAAGCUAGCCAAACCAUACCGGCAAGUUCGAGGCUUAAAUGGAGUACUUUUAAGCAUAAAACAUUGAUUAAAACAGAAUACACACACACAUACCAGCAAAUUCAAAAUAGAACAGAAAUACAACUGUUCAAGUUUGUAAACAAUAUUACAAUCAUUGCUUAUUUAUAGCAAAUCCUUGAAAUCUGCUAAAUGAAACAAUGCCUUGCCUCAUGAAUCAAAGUUGAAUUAAAAUUGAAAUUGAAAGUCCGGCUGGUGUUGUUUCCCUCUCUUGUUUUGCCUACAUAAGUAAAGGGAAAUGAGAAUAAAAAAUUAAAAUCUGCUUUUACAAUUCUUAUUAGAUAGAUAUAAAGGGGUCUUUCUUUGUUUCUCUGCUGCAAUGUGUGGCUAUCCCACUCUGUUUUGCCACUCAAGCUGAGUUUACGUUGAGUUAUAAUUUUGACAUCAGAAGGACCUCAAUUAGUUUGGCAUUUUUAUGACCUCCUUGUACGUUUUACGAUAAACAUAAAUCUACUGAGAAAGUGGGAAAAAAAGAAAAGGCAUAUAAAAGUAUUAGUUUGGCAUUAAAACUCACCUAAUUCAAUCCAUCAGAUGCAGUAAGGAUAAAAUUGGAUGUCAUACGGCCAUUCCAUUUCCUCGAAAGUCCUUAGUUUUUGUCUCAACUCUGUCUGAGGCCAAUGUAAAUCCAAUUUGCGCAAGCUCUUUAUGCACCACAGCUCUUCUGGAAGCUUCCUCAAGUAAGCACAUGGGUUGCAAUUAAGCUUUCAAGUUUUGGUAUUGCUCCUGUCCCCAUUGUCCACUCGUCUAGCCAAUACAUUGAUUUUAGCCUUUUAGGUGCAAAACCUUAAGUUUCGGAAAGCCACCAGAGCCAGCACAAUCCAGCCUUCUUCCUAAAUACGGGUGCUGCUUCAAUUUCAGCACUUGAAGGUGUGGAAGUUUCUCUAGCAUUGGCAUGGGAUCCUCCUUUAGCUCAAUAUUUGAUAAGCUCAGUUGGGUCAGACUUGGAGGAAAUUGGUAUUCGGACAGGACCAUUCGUGAGAGCUUGCUUUCAUUCACCAGCUUCAAGCAUUCCAGUUUGUGGAGUUCGCAUAGGCUUUUGGAAACCCCAGAAUGAUAGCAGCUCAAAUCUCCAGACACUCUUAAGAGUUUGAAGAUUAGGCAGUCUGCCCAAUAUAUCUGGAGUGCCACUACUAGGGUGUAAGGCUGAUAUGAAAAUGAGAUUUUUCGGAGAGCUGCAAUAAUUAUUGGGAGGUGCAGGCAGAGUGAUGGAACCGAAGUUCAGAUGCAUGAGCUUUUGCAUCAGAUUCCGUUUGGAUAUAACUGGAUGUCAUAACGCCACUCCAUAUCCUCAAAAGUCCGUAGCCUUUGUCUCAACUCUAUCUGGGGCCAGUGUAAGUCCAAUUUGUGCAAGCUUUUAUGCACGAUAGCUCUUCUGGAAGCUUCCUCAAGUAAGCACAUGGGUUGACAAUUAAGGUUUCAAGUUUUGGCAUUGCUCCAGCCCCCAUCGUCCACUCAUCUAGCCAAUACAUUGAUUUCAGGUGCAAAACCUUAAGUUCCGGAAAGCUACACGAGCCAACACAAGCCAGCUUUCUUCCUAAAUACGAGUUCUGCUUCAGUUUCAACACUUGAAGGUGUGGAAGCUUUUCCAGCAUUGGCAUGGGAUCCUCCAUUAGCUCAGUAUUUGAUAAGCUCAGAUGGCUCAGACUUAAAGGAAAUUGGUAUUCAGACAGGACAAUCCGUGAGAGCUUGCUCUCAUUCACCAGCUUCAAGCGUUCAAGUUUGUGGAGUUCGCAUAGGCUUUUGGAAACCCCAGGGUGAUAGCAACUCAAAUCUCCAGAUAUUCGAAGAGUUUGAACAUUAGGCAGUCUGCCCAAUAUAUCCGGAGUACAACUACUAGGGUGUAAGGCUGAUAUGAAAUUGAGAUUUUUCAGAGAGAUGCAAUAAUUUUUUGGAGGUGCAGGCAGAGUGAUGGAACCGAAGUUUAGAUGCAUGAGUUUUUGCAUCAUCCAAAUAUCCUCUGGUGACUGAUCUAUGUAGCUUGAUGGCAUUUCUAGUGUUUGAAGGUUUAAAAGGGUGCAUAGCAGUGAAGGAAGGCAUUUGAGCGAAGGGAUAUUCAAUUUCAAAUACUUCAAAUAGAAUAAAUUUUCUAAUCCAGGUGGAAAGUGGUCGAGAAUUGCAGAACCCAAGCCCAAUACCCGAAGGUGUUUGAACUUUUUACAAAAAUUGUCGCAAUCUAUCAGAGCGAGAUGAUCGCUUUCUGAACUGUGAUUCAGAAAAGAUUGGAGAUAGAUGUCAGAAUGUUCUAAAGAAAAGAACUCAAUCAGAUCUUUCAUAAUGUAGCACCAUUUAACAUUUACCGGUGGUUCCUCGUCCACGUCAAGGUUCCAGGACAAUCCCGUGUUCACUGCCACAGAUAACAAUGAAUAAUAUACAAAACUUGGAACAUAACACACUUUAAUCGUGCCUCCGGCUCUUCUCUUACUCACUUGAAUGAGGCCGCGAUGGAUUAGUUCUUUCAAGUAAUGUUCGGCCGUCUCCUCACUGUUGUAUGGUAUGAAACCUUCAGCUACCCACAACUGAUAUAAUUGCCUCGUCGAUAUGUCAAUACUUGGACGGAAGACACACAAAUAGAUGCAGCAGACUUUCAAGUGAAAAGGUAACUCCAUCACAGCAUAAAUUUGUCUCCAAAUUGUCGGAAUCGCUUCGCCUUGAACGUAAUUUUCUAAUGGCAUACUUCCAUAGUGUAGGAUGAAAAAUUGCCAGGAUUCAUGCUUUAAUCUGAUCAUCUGUCCUCCAAUGAGCACUGAAUUAGGCCGAAUCUUCUCUCCGUUUUCCAUUUCCAAAGACUCAAGGAGGUCUAGAUCAGUGACCGUUAUCAAUACUCUGCUUCCAUUCUGAUUGUCAGGAAGAACUUGUUCAAGAUCAUCCCAUAUGUCACUGUCGUCGAAGACAUCAUCAAGCACAAUAAAGUACUUCUAGUUUGUUAGGUAAUCACGAAGAAUGGUUUUCUUCAAUUUAUAAUCUUCACCGAUAAUUACACUAACCCGAGAUGGAGGCAUCACAGACUUGAUUAUGUCAUCCAAUAUCUUGCCAGAAUCGUAGGCUAUAGAAACCCUGACCCAAGCAAGACAGUCAAAAUAGAACUUGACAUGAUUGUUAUUGUAAGUAUCUGCAGCAAAAGCAGUCUUAUCGAAGCCCCUGCUGUCGAGAAUUGCAACCACUGAAAGCCUAGAUGGUCCCUCAAUCAAUAGAUCAAACAACUCCUCUCUGCCCCUUUCAAAUUCACUGAUAUCAAGCCGAGGUUGUCCCUCACUCAAUAGGCGAAUGAUUUUCUUACCUUGUUCACUGAUAUCAGAACCAUUGUCGCCGGGUGGAAGUUUUUGCAUUCGAUUUCUAAUAUCAAUGAUUUUACUGUGGAGUCCAACAAGAAGAGCCAUAUUUUUAGAAUUAAUAGGUUGUUUGGCAAGUGAGAAAGUGAAAGAAAAUUAACAAAGAAACUUUAACUGAAUUGAUUUAUUAUUGAUUAAAACUCAAGCUUAACACUGAAAACGUGUUAGCAAGUAUUUAUAGUUAUAUUAAGCUAAAAACUAAAACAGAGCUAAUCGUUUGCUGUAUUAACAAACUAAUCCAACUUCCAAUCAUAACAAGCCAGCUGGAUAAUCUGUUACAGCUUUAGCAACUGCCCAAUCCAGCUCAGCAUCUUCAGUUUAUACACAUCACUAGCCAGCCAGCUCAGCAGCUUCAUCUGCAGCUUAUACACGUCACCAGCUAAGCUAGUACAGCAGCUUCAGCUAUACUCUUAACACAUAUUAGUACUGCUUUCACUUUCGUUUUCACGGCUUUGCUGCUGCAUGAUGUUGAUGAAGAAUGCGUCAAUGGCUACCUCAGAUUCAUGGACAAAGUGAUUGAUGUCCUCCAGAAUUCCCAAAAUAUCUCCUCUUUUAACGUCUUCAUCGCUUUCUUCCAAGUCCAACAGUUGCAAAAAUGGCAAAGCUACUUCGAAUUCAUCGAAUUUUUGUCUGAUAAGUUGAAACAAAAGCCGAGCCACGUCAGCUUCAUAGUUCCUCAGGAGAGUAGUAGCAAUAAUUUCGGACUCCGUAAGAAGGUUUUGAAAAAGUGGAGUCACAUUUGUUGAAUCAGACAACGUUAACGCGCCUUCUUCAUCUGCUAACACCCUUUUCAACCUCUCACAAAAUAGUCGGAGAUGGACGUCCAGCAUAUCUUCUCCUUCUCACUGUAGCAGCCAGAGGUAUUGUUAUUUGCUCCAAGAAAUGUUAAAAGGAUUGGUUCUAUCUCAAAGUGGUUAGUGGUGUAAAAUUAAACACCAUGGAAGAAUUUGCAAGGAAGAUGCCAAGAAACUGGCGAAGCCGCUAAAUUCCACAAAUACGCGUGCCUUCUGAAAAGAACGGGUAUCCAACCUUCAUCUUGAUUUCUGCCAUGACAUAAUUGAUGGUGCUUGAAUCAAUUUUUUUUUUUUUUAAUUUAAAAAAUUUUGCUUAAAAAAAAAAAUCAAAAUGCCUUCAAAUUUUACAAAUUUCAGAAUCUGAAUGAUAAUUUUUUCAAAUUUGAAAGAUGUAAGUAUUUUUUUUUUCUGAUAAUUUAUUUCACUUUUGAGGAAAUCCGAAAACGCUAAAUACGUUCUUUACCUUAAUGAAAAAAAGUGAAAAUCAAGAACUAUUCAAUUUUGUUUUUAUUUGUAAUUCAAAAACUUUAUUUAUUUUCGAUGCUUUUCAAAAGAGAUUCCUCUGAUCCAUCUGGCAUCUGCAACCCAGUUUCUUGACAACGUUACAAAUCUCCACCCCACAUCUACACUAUGAAACAAGUUGAUGGAAAUCGAACAAUUGCUUUUUGAAGUGGACCCAUUGGUCAUCAUUGUCUAUUCUUCCUAUGAGCCAUUUAUUUUGACCAUUUGCGAUCUUAUCUGGACCACUCCAAUUAUUGUUGUAACUCCAAAGGUUGCAUCUACAGUUGAAUGUAAGAUAGUGAAAGCUCUUCUCUCAGAAAAUAGAGGGACCUUUCUCUGUUUCUCCGUUGCAACGUGCUAGUAUAAAUUUCUUUACCUUACAGUUUGUACGGUCUUGCUGUUAAUGAAUUCGCUGAGGCAUUAUUGAUCCAAUCUGAGUGAAGUAAUUGUGGGUGAAAAAUAAAUAAAGGAUAGGAGAAGGUGAAAAAUAAAGUGCUGAAGUGGCUAUUAAAGAAGAGUGUCACUUGAUCACAAUCACAUUGAUGCACAACUCACUCGUGACAAAUUUCGACUAUACGUACUGCAAAUUCAGCCAAACUGUAAUUAAAGCUACAAAAGGCAGUAUAUCCAAAAACUUAAGGGGAAGAUUUUAUUCAAGUGCAGCUGAAAUGAAAAAUAUUGACUAUUGAAUGGACCAAUGCUGAAUUACAUUUGAAAUGGGAAGCAUGACUGCAGUCACGAUGUUUCCCCCUCUGAUUUUCCUCCAAAACAAAUUCAGUUCUAAACAAUAACGGAAAUAGCAAUAAUUUAUUCAUCAAAGAAAAUCCCUAAAUUUUUUCAACUAACAAAUCCUCGUCUAAAAUAAAAAAACUUAUUUCUCUAAAAUCUAUCUGUAAAAUGUUGAAAAUGAGGGGUGAUCUGUUAACUCAGUAAAUAAACUCGUGCAUAAUGUUAACAAAUAAUGAUAAAUUACAUAAUAAUUAUUAUAAAGAAUCAUAAAUUAGAAAAAAUAAUCAUUUCCCAAUAAAUCUCAGAAUAAGUUAAGUUAUAAUGUAAUAAAUAUUUUCAAUAUUAUAAUGUUAUAAUCAGUUAAAGAUAGGAUUGGUCCUAUUUCAAAGUAGUUAGUGGUGUAAAAUUAAUUAAUUAAACACCAUGGAAGAAUUUGCAAGGAUAAGCUAAGAAACUGGCUAAGUGGCUAAAUUCCACAAAUACGAUAUUAUUCCUUAUUUUUUUUCUUUCUUUUUUUAAUUUAAAGAAAUUUUCAUUAAAAAAAUUUUUAAUAUCAAAAUGCCUUCAAUGGCAUUUUAUUUAAAAAGUUUAGAAUUUUUGGGUAUGGAAAGAGUAGUAUUAAACAUCAGAAAGCUAAGGUUGUUCUGUUAAAGAAUUGAUAUUGACAUAAUUUUAUUUUGGUUUUCAAGGAAAAAAAACAUAUUUGUUGACAAGCAAGAAUUUUUUUUUUGUAUUUUACAAUAUGUUAUUACAUAUUUUAUGAUAUAAGAGUAAUUUUAAUAAUAAAUAGAAACAUAAUAUUGCAAUGAAUAAAUUAAAGUUUAAAUUUUUUGAAUAUUAUAACAAAAUUUAAUAUUAUUAAUAGGCAGAUAUUUUGUUAAUUGUAAAAUCGUUUUACCCCAAAGGUUUUUUUUUUCAAAUUUUUAUAAUAAGCACAAGUAUAAAAUUAAAUAUCAUAAUUUAAAAAUUUUAAUACUAUUUUAAAGAGUAAAAAUAUUUUAAUGUUAUUAGUCUACUACAUAGAUUAUAUUACUUAUAUUAUAUUUUGUAUUGAUUAAAAAUUUUUAAAAUCAAUUUUCUAAUUACUAUAAUACUCAUGUAUUAUGGUUAAAAGAAAAUAUCUUAGUGUUACUUUUGAAAAUUUGAGGGCUUGCAUGAUAAUUUUGCCAAAUUUUAAGGAUGUAAGUGUACUUUUUUUCCGAUAAUUUAUUUCACUUUUGAGGAAAUCCAAUGAGAAUAUGGUAAGUGAACGUCAAUUACUAGUCAGUUUUUAUUUUUUCUAUGAGCCAUUUAUUUUGAGCAUUCGUGAUCUCAUCUGGACCAGUCCAAUUAUUGAUGUUACUCCAAUGGCUGCAUCCACAGGUGAAUAUAUGAUAGUGUUAGCUCUUAUUUGAGAAUUUAGAGGGAUCUUUCUUUAUUUUUCAGUUGCAAUGUGCUAGUAUAAAUUUCUUUACCUUACAGUUUAUAUAGUCUUGCUGUUAAAGAAUUCACAGAGGCAUUAUUGAUUCAAUUUCAGUGAAGCAAUUGUGGGUGAAAAAUAAAUAAAGGAUAAGAGAACAGAGCUGAAGUGCUGAAUUGGCUAUUAAAGAAGGGCGUCAGUGUUGGAGUAAACCAGUUUUUAAAAUUUUAUAAAAAACUUUUAGGAUCGCUCUCAUACAAUAUAUAAGAAUUUAUAAUCUAGAAUUGUACCUUGAAAAUUCAAUUUGCCUUUUUCCGUUGAAGUGAUUUAGGCUCCCAGAUCACGAUCCGUCACCACCACUCCUGUUAGAUCACGAUCCGUCACCACAACUCUUAUUAGAUCACGAUCCGUCACCAUAACUCUUGUUAGAUCACGAUCCGUCACCAUAACUCUUGUUAGAUCACGAUCCGCCACCAAAUAAUCUUCCAGGCUAUGACUCAAGUUUGAUUUGCACUUGACGUGUUGGCGCCUUUAUCACCACUAAAGCAACUAGUACGAGAAUAUUUUUCUCUCAACAAUAGAGAGAAAAAUCUUUUUCUCUGAUAUGUAUAAAGCGGCUACUCUAUUUCUUUUGGGAGAAAAUAAACCAUUUUAUAUUUCUAUCUAGUGGAAACCCUAGGCUCCAAUUUUUAUAUUAUUUAAUUCUAUUAAAUCAAGUUUGAUUUAAAUUAAAAUAAUAAACCAAAAGUAACAAUACUUCUUUUGUGUCAUAAGAUAAUUUAUUUAUGUCUUCUGCAAACUUAAUUUAUUUAAUCAUAAGAUAACUUGUAUUUAUGUCUUCUGUGAAUCCAUAUGAUGAUUACAUAAAUACAUAUAAUAUGAUUAAAUUGACCUUAUUCAAAAUAUUUAUGCAAUUGAAAAUAUCUCCAAUAUUUUAUUAAUCAGAAAAUAAAUUAAUAUACUUUAAAAGAACAUAUAAUCCCAACAAUCUCUCACUAGCUCUUAAAGCAUAUCUGGUAUAUUGCACAUGCUCUAGGGCUCUAAGUGAGGUUAUAAAGGUUUCCGACUAAUGGCCAUUGUAAUAAUAUAUGCCAUAUAGCAUCUAAUGCCAUUUGGGGUAUUGUCAUAUAACAUUUUUAUACUAUUUCCUUAUAAGAUGUUACUUCCUCUCAAUAUGUUUUGUUUCUUGUGGUUUCUUAGUUCCUUAGAUUUAGCUACCGCACUACUGUUGAUGUUAGAAAAUGUAUAUUUACAAAAGAGAAAAUCGUCAUUUUACAUUUCAAGCCUUACUAACACUCUUACUUUUAUGUAUUUAAGUUUCUUAUGAUUUAAUUACGUGUGUUUUAUUUUAAUUAAGUAUUUUAUAUAUUUUAGGGGCAUUAUGGUCAUUUCACAAUGAACGAGAGAUCAGAUGGCAAAACAGACAUCACUUUUGAACUCAAGACGGCCGAAAACCUUAGGAGGAGCAUAAAAGGAAAAAUGGCAUUGUUCACAUGUACGGUACUAUUCACAUGUAUAGUACUGUUUAUAUUACUGUUCACGACACUGUUCACAUAGACGGAUCGAUGAUGUGGCAUUGACUGAUGAGGUGUCACGAUCCUGUUGGACUAAAAUUCUUAUACACUAUUGAUUAGUGAUGUGAUAGCAUGUUAGUGGACCAAAAAUUGCGCGUACGGUACAUGCAUAUACACAGAAUUAUUUUCAACCAAACCACAUUACUGUUCAAGCCAGGUCAAACCGUGUCACUGUUCAAACCGCAUGGUCAAACCGCGUACUGUUGACUGAUGACGUGGCGCAAUCCUGAGCGUCCAAACUGUUUUUAAUCUAAUGGCCAUGAUUUACUGAAUGUAUCUAUAAAAAUGAGGCCUCCCCCCUAAUUUGGCAUCUCUAAAUCCAUUUUUUGGCUCUAUUUUCUGUAAUUCCUUCUCCAUCUUGUCUUUUCUACGUAUUUUAAUAAAUUUCCAUUUUGCCCCUAUUUCUAUUAUAAGUAGCUAAUUUUCUUUCAAGCUUGGGUUGAAUGUGAAGUCUCAACAUGUGUCAUGGGCUUUAUUUGGUAAAUUUAUUUUCUCUUCUCCUCUAGUUUUUGUGGAUGUUUUGACUUCUCGUAGACAAAUAAUAAUAAUCUUGUCUAGAUGCUGCCCUGGUUUCACCGGCUCCCUAGUACAAGAUUAUUAUUAUUUGGCACGAUAAGCCCUUAGCAGCAUAUUGAUUAGAGUGUGGUUCAUGAGGUGUGGAUUCCCCCUCAUGAUUUAAUUGGCAUUAAUAAGGAAUAUUUAGCCCAUGGUGCAUUUUGAUAUGGAUCCAGAUACCCAAGUACGUCAUUUCAAUAGAUUUCUCUUCAAUUUAUUCUCGCCAUUUCAAUUCAAAUUUUAGGAUAAUCUAAGUCACUUUCACCACAAAUCCAACCACCCAAUUCAAAAAUUAAUUCUACACACAAUUAAAAUCCACCUCCUCGUGGGAUCGACACUCGUUACCAUUAAUCUAUUCCACAAUAGAUUUGUACACUUGCGAGUUCAAUAAAAUUUUCACAACAACUACCAUAAUCACAAAAUAGUUUAAGGGAUGCAGUUACAACAGGUACCACCUCAAGAUUUUGUAGGAACUUGCGGAGCCAUAUAGCUUAUUUUGCAGCUUUAGAUGUAGGCACAUAUUCAGCUUCAGUUGUGGAGUCUGUGAUAUAAGACUUUCACACUCCUCGAACUAAUAGCUCCACUUCCUAAUGUAAACACAUUAUUGGAGGUUGAUUUUCUGGAAUCUUUAUCUUACAUAAAGUCAAAAUCAGUAUAACCCACUGGAAUAAGUUCAUCACCAGAAUACACAAGCAUACAAUUUUUAGUUCUUUUCAGAUACUUUAUAAUAUGCUUGACUGCAAUCCAGUGUUCAGGUUCAAGAUUAGAUUGAUAUCUGCUAACCAUCCCUACCGCAAAACAGAUGUCUGGUCUAGUGCAAAGCAUGGCAUACAUGAGACUUCCCACAACUUCUGCAUAGGGAACUCGUCUCAUUUUCUCUAUCUCUUCAAAUGUUUUAGGUGAUUGAUCCUCAGACAAUACAAUUCCAUGUCGAAUGGUAAUAAACCAGACUUGGAAUUUUCCAUGCUAAAUCUAGCCAAUAUCUUGUCGAUAUAGACCGCUUGAGACAAGGCUAAAGUUUUAUUCUUCCGGUCUCGUAGUAAUUUGAUACCAAGAAUAUAACUUGCCUCUCCCAGGUCUUUCAUAUCAAAGUUUUUUGCUAACCAACUCUUUAUUGUAGUAAAUACUCAUAUAUCGUUUCCAAUUAGGAGAAUAUCGUCUACAUAAAGAAUUAGGAAGGCUACAGAUUUUUCUUGAAUUUUCUUGUACACACAUGGUUCAUCAAUGUUCUGAAUGAAUCCAAACGAUUUAAUUGCUUGAUCAAAUUUGAUGUUCCAUGACCGGGAUGCUUGCUUCAAUCCAUAAAUGGAUCUCUGCAACUUACAUACCAUGUGUUCUUGGCCUUUUUGUAUGAUUCCAUCUGGUUGUUGCAUGUAGAUGUCUUCUUCAAGACGCCCAUUAAGAAAGGCAGUCUUGACAUCUAUUUGUCAAAUUUCAUAAUUUAGCGCUGCAGUAAUGGAGAGCGGAAUCCUGAUGGAUUUAAGCAUAGUAACCGAAGAAAAGGUUUCCUCAUAAUUGAUUCUCUCUUUCUGAGUAAACCCUUUGGCUACUAAUCUUGCUUUAAAUAUUUCCAUCCUUCCGUCUACUCCUCUUUUUCUCUUGUAGAUUCACUUGAACCUUAUAGGUUUUACCCCAUUUGGUGCCUCUAUAAGAAUACAUAGAUUUCAUUUCUUGAUUCAUGACCUCUUUCCAAAAUUCAACAUCUCUGUCUAUAAGAGCUUCAUUUAGCUCGUGGGAUCUUAUACAUGUUCAUCUGAGAUCGCCGUAUAGGUUUCUCCCAAUAACAUGUAUCUCGCUAGUGACCUAGUUACCCUCCCACUACGACGAGGUUUUAAAAGUGAUUGUUGUUCAGGGAUAAUCUGUGUUGAUCAGCUGGUUGUUGCUGUUCUUUCUGUUCAAUAACAGGUGUUAAAGCUCAGCAUUAACUUGAUCUCCUUUUUAUUUCUCUAGUUUUACCUUACUCUUAGGUAAUAAGUCAUUAUAUAGUCUUCCUCAAAGAAAGUAAAGAAUAUGUCUAUAAAUACAUUCCUAUCUUGAGGACUACAAUUCAGACUUUCCCUUAUUCCUUUAAGAUACUUAAAACAUGCAAGCUUCUGAACACGAAUCCAUCUUCUUUACCUCUAAUUCUAGUACAAAUACUAGUAAACUCUAAAUAUGAAUGUGUUUCAAAUUAUGUUUAUAACUUUUUCAUAAUUUCUUAGAGUAGUAAACACUGAGGUAGAUGAAACUAAGUUCGAUAAACUUUGCAGUUUUAAAUACUAGUAUCUGGAAUCAAAGAGGUAAAUGAUAAACCACUUAGUAUAUAUCUUGUCUUAUCCAAAAGAAUCUUGUUUCUCUAUUUAAUUACACUAUUGUAUCUUAGUGUUCUUUAUAUGUGGGAGUUUAUCCCAUUUGACAACCAAAUAGAGCUUGAAUUCUCCAUAGAGAUAUUCUUUGUUUCGAUCAUAUCGAAAUUCUUUUAUGUUCCUGUCUAAUUGCUUCUACUUUAUCCACGUACUCUUUUGAAUUUCAAAAGCAAUGGAAUCAUGACGCAUUUAGACAAACAUAAAUGAAAUGAAUAUUCAUCAACAAGAUUGAUAGAAUACUCAUAACCUCUUAUAAUAUUAUGCUUUUAGCUCAAAAAGAGCAUCCUCGUCAUAUUACUUUUCUAAAUAAGAUUUAUAGAGUUACAACGAUCAAUCUUAAUAGGCCAACAAGUCUAUCAUUAAUCAUUUUUUUAAAAUCUUAUUAUAGUUUAUAUGACUUAAGCAUAAAUAUCAUGGUGAUUUUGGUUAGAACAAACAUUUCUUUUCUUAGAUAAUGCAUAUAGUCUUGAUCCUUAUAUGUUGCUUUGAAUAGAUCAAUGGACUUAUAUGAUAUAAAUUGUCUUUAUAAAUAACCAAAAUAAGUAAUAAACAGAGGAUCCAAAAAUAACAGUGUACUCUUGUUUAUUAAAACAAGCUACCGAAAUUAAAUUCCUCUAAUAUUUAGAAAAAUAAAGACAAAUAUCAAAACUAAAGUCUUGUAAAAUUAAUCCAGCAUUUCAAUUGAUAUAAACUAGCAUGUCCACAACUACUAUUUGAAGCUUUCUUCACUUAAUCUCUUGGUUUCCUGAAAGCCAAAUAAAUGAAUUACAAAUAAGAUUAGUUAUCUCAGAAUUCACUAUUGCAUGAAUCAAUAGAUAUCUGAACUAACUAGGAAGCUUAAAGAUUUCCUAUACCUGAUUUUAAUAAUUUUAGGACAAUAUUUUUUCCAGUGACCCUUUUGUCCACAUUUGUAACACUUGCCUUUUGGCUUGCCACUUCUCUUAGUGGAUAGUUUGUCGAUCCCCACUCUUUCUUGCUCAUUCUUGUCUUUCGACUUAAGCCUUGAAGAGAAUCAUUUUUCAGAAAGUUUUCUGCUAUGAUAAAAUUCUUCUAUAGCAUGCAGUUCGUGCAUUAAUUCAAUUAAGGUCAUAUCUUUAUUGUUUAAGAUAUAGCUGACCUUAAACUCUUUGAAUGUUUCAGGCAAAUAUUCAAUCACUAUGUUAAUAUUUGUUUUAUCAUUGAUUUGAACACCAUGAAUCUCUACUUCAUUCAAAUAGUCCAUCAUUUUGAGGAUAUGAUCACGAACUCUUGUACUCUCUUCCAUCUUAGUAUCCGUAAUAUGUUUUAAUGCUGCUUCUCUGGCAAAAUGGGUAUUUUUUCCAAACAUCUAAUAAGGACUAGCCAUUAUUUCAGUGGCUGUUUCCAUGCUCCAAUGUUUCUUAUGCAGUUCCACAGAAAUCGAAUCCAAUAUAUAGCGCUUAGCCAUUUUGUUAGUUCGUACCAUUUCUCAUAAGGCUCCCUCUGAUUUCUAUAAUCGUAUAACAUUGGUUCUAAAGGGCAUGGUUGGGUCAACACAUAUUUGCAGCCUUUAGCAAUGAGAAUAUUAAAUAGCUUAUGUUUCCAAUCUAAAUAAUUUUCGCUAGUGAGUUCAAUUUUAACAAGGAUAAUUAACAAUGGGUUCAUGGAAGCCAUAUUUUGAAAAACAAAAAAACAAAAUAGACAUGCAUAAAUACUUUGAAACAAUAUUUGCAAUAAAUGAUAAAAGUACAAAAAACCAUAAAUACAUUUUAAUUUAUUGUAACGAUAAUCUAGUACCGCUUUGACAAGCUAUCCGUUGGGGAAGUCAUGUCUACACUUACUAGACCCAAAUAUCCAUUGGAUUAUUUACUUUCAUAUAUAGACAUGAUGAAUAAUUAUUGUUAUCCCUUUGGGCUUAAAUUUGUUAACAAAGCUUCGUCGGGAAGGUUAAUAACAAAUUUUAGUUGAGUGUAUAAUCAUUAUUUCAAUCUAUGUAUUUUUCAUAUCAAUAGUCACCGUUGGGAUGAACAAUUGAUUGAAAAGUAUUUCAAUUUUAUAUUUGAAGAAUUUCAACAAAUAAAAUAUCUAAUAAUUAUACCCUCCGUAACGAGCAUCACUGUAUCAUGAAGUCAAGGUAUAUAUAUAAUUUUAUUAUUAAACUAACAAUGGAGCCCAUGGGAAAAAAGUUAUCUUGAAUUUUCCCUCACCCACUCAAUAUUUUAAAAUUUAUUUUUCCUUUUUAAAAUAUACAUAUUGUUAAUUGCAUGCUUCCUAUAAUAUUAUCUAGAUGAUAUCCAAUAUUAUUUAGCAUACGCAAAUUACAAGCAAUAUAACGAGAUUCAUAAUAUUUGAAUGACAUGUAUCAUUAUGCAUAGAGCGAUACUACCUAUUCUAUACGACAUGUUAUCAUCCAAAACAUAACAUAUAGAAAAAUAAUUAAAUAAUCGUAAUUCAUGGCUUUCCUAAAAUAAAAAAAAUACAUUAACCCUAAGCCUAAUCUUCAUUGGGCUUCUUGUCAAUGUCCAUCUUUUCAUGGGCUUGUCUUUGUUAAUGGACUUGGGGAAAUUGAGCUUUUAAAUUUAUUAUUGGUCCAAUUUUAAUUUUGAAAGGAAAUAAAUAAUUUUUUAAUAAUAAUUUUUUUAAUAAAAUUUUUUGACAAAAAUAAGUUUAAUGUGUUCAAUUUUAUCUAUGCAUUUUAAUCUAUUAAGCCCAAAUUUCAAUUGGGCCUAAAAUAUAGGAUUCAUUUAGUCCAAUUAUUUUUUAACUUAAAUGCAAAAAAUUGAACCUUUUCUGCCCAAAGAAAAAAUUAUGGAACCAUAGGGACCUCAAUUAUAAAAACCAUUGAAACGCUAAAUCCAUCUUUUUCUCUUCCUUUUUUUUUUCUAGCCACCAUCAACAAAAAGCUAACCGCUGGUCACAAUUUCCAGCCAUCUCCGACGCCGAGUUUGCUGCCGCCGUCACGUCGGAAACGCACCAAACGAUGCCUCCCUCGCGCUGCAGCAAACGGCGCUGGCUAGCGCUACACUAGAAUGAGUAGCGCGAGCGCUGCAGCUUCUGGUCAUGCAUGCUGCUGCUGGUGGCCGCGUUGCUUGCAGCGCACGCAGCUGGGCACGCGGGCUACGCCCACUGCUUGCUUCGUCUGUAGCAUGCGAUGGUUGCAUUGCAGAAAAUUCCAGUAAGUUUCUAGAAAGUUUUCGCAAGUUUCCGGCAGUUGUACGUGUGUUUCCAGCAGUCUUUUCGCAAGUUUCCAGUAAUUUACAAAUUUCCUACGGCUUACAAAACUAAAUCAAGAGAGAAAUAUGGUGAAAAUAAACCACUCCUCUUGUUACAGAUCCAAAGGACAAAUACAGCAGAGAAUCUAACCAUUAAUUAAGACUAACCAUAUUAUGCUUUAUUCAUAUAUUAAACAAAUAAUAUAUAUCUGAAUAAAUUGUGCCACUCUAAUACAUAAAUUUCAGGAUUGAUUUUAUACAAUAUUCUUAUAUAUUAAUAUGCGAUGGAUCUGGUACCAAUUGUUAGACAAAAAUCAGUUUUUAAAAUUUUAUAAAAAACUUUUAAGAUCGCUCUCAUACAAUAUAUAAGAAUUUGUAAUCUAGAAAUGGUACCUUGAAAAUCCGAUUUAGCUUUUUCCGCUGAAGUGAUUUAGGCUCCCAGAUCACGAUCCGUCACUACCACUCCUGUUAGAUCACAAUCUGCCACCAAAUAAUCUUUCAGACUAUGACUCAAGUUUGAUCUGCACUUAACAUGUGGGCGCCUUUAUCACUACUAAAGGAACUAGCGCGAGAAAAAUUUUCUCUCAACAAUAGAGAGAAAAAUCUUUUUCUCUAAUCUGUAUAAAGCGGCUGCUCUAUUUCUUUUGGGAGAAAAUAAACCCUUUUAUAUUUCUAUCUAGUGGAAACCCUAGGCUCCAUUUUUUAUAUUUUUUAAUUCUAUUAAAUCAAGUUUGAUUUAAAUUAAAAAUAUUAAACCAAAAGUAACGUUACUUCUUUCUUGUCAUAGGGACCCACCUUGUAAAAUAACACAAGGCCCCUUAGACACAAGUACAUUACAUGGAGCCUCCCACUAAAUGAUAUAUUUAGGCUUUUAACCCAAAUAGCUAGUUAUCUUGCUUAUUAAUUCAGUAGUGGUGCAGUCAAUUAAAUGAGCUAACCCGGGGUUCAUUUGAGAACGUAAAAUAAGAGCUACAAUAAUUAGGCAUGUAAUUAAACUAGCCCAAUUAUUUAAUUUCAAAUCUACUCCACUAAAAGAUUGGAACUGACCUCCAUAAUUGUAUGUUCGAAUAAUAAUUUGUCCUAAGCCACAUCGAUUUCUUUACUGCAUAAUCCUUUGUACCACAUCGUUAAUUAAAUCGAUAUCUCAAUUGUCCAAUCGAUUUAAUUACAUCUUAUUCCUUGAAACUUACUGGUUUUCUCUAAUGAUCAUUUUCAACAUACUAAAUAUGUUGACACACUCUGGCCAGAGAAUUCUAUGAUCAAGUGCCGAAAACCCAUCAAGAGAUGUGUUGUACAAAUUCUAUAUUGUUAAUCUAUAACUCCAAUACUCAUAAUUGCUCCCACCAAGAUACCGGGUAAUCUUGACCACAAUUGUGUGUCGUGCCCAUUGGUAACCCAAAUGGAAUAAUAAUUACAAUCAUGAAAUUAUAACUAACUCAAGAGUAAGAUUACAGUAAAAUCAAUGCCUAUGAGAUUUAAUAGGUCUGACAGUCAUUUCGAGGUUAAUUAAAUCUCAUAUGUGAUCCAGCUCAAUGUAGUCAAACUACAUCAGUAAAUUCAUACAUGAUUAAGACAAAUUAUUCAAUGAAUUUACUACAGUCUAAACAUAAAUAGAGCGCACAACUCUAUUUAUCAACUGCGAACUUAAUUUAUUUAAUCAUAAGAUAACUUGUAUUUAUGUUUUCUGUGAAUCCAUAUGAUGAUCACAUAAAUACAUAUAAUAUGAUUAAACGGACCUUAUUCAACAUAUUUAUGCAAUUGAAAAUAUCUCCAAUAUUUUAUUAAUCAAAAAGUAAAUUAAUAUUCUUUAAAAGAGCAGAUAAUCCCAACAGUCAGAUAAUCACAAUCACAUUGAUGCACAACUUUCUGGAGGCAAAUUUUGUCUAUAUGUACUCUAAAUUCAUCUAAACCAUACAUGCAUGAACGAAAUUAAACCGUAGUUCUCAUCACAACGGUAAUUGAAGCUACAAAAGCCAGCAAAUCCGAACAAAAACUUGAAAGGAAGAUCUUAUUUAAGUUUGUCCCCAAAAGACGUGUGAAAUGAAAAAUAUUGACUAUUGAAUGGGUCAAUGCUGAAUUACAUUUGAAAUGGAAAGCUUGGCUGCAGUUACGAUGUUUCCCCCCCUGACUUUCCUCCAAAACAAAUUCAGUAGUAAACAAUGACUGAAGUAUCAAUAAUUUAUUCAUCAAAGAAAAUACCCAAGAUUUCAACUGACAAAUCCUCUUGUCUAAUCUAAAAAAACUCAUAUCUUUCAAAUUUAUCUGCAAAAUGUUAGAAAUGUGGAGUGAUCUGUCAACUCGGUAAAUAAAUUCAUGCAUAAUGUUAACAAUAAUGAUAAAUUACAUAAUAAUUAUUAUGAUGUAUCAUAAAUUGAAAAUGCUAAUCAUUCUACAAUCUAUUAUAUAAGUAAGAUAAAUCUCAUAAUAAGUUAAGCUAUAAUGUAAUAAAUAUUUUCAAUAUAUAAUUAUUUAAUAAGUCAUUUAACAAUAAAAUAUUUUUUUAAAAUUUUUUAUUUUAUUUUUUCAGUUGAUCAUGUUAUAUAGCGCUAUCUAAACCCUUGACGACAUUAUUAUUACUCACUUUUCUCAAGAAAACAUGAUUAGCGUUUAAAGAAAAGUCAUGCCUUUUAUAAAGAAUAUGCAUACACGCUAUCCAUACUUUAUCUGGCCAUGACAAAAUUGAUGGUGAUUAAAUCAAUUUUUAAAAUAGAUUUAAUUUAUAAAUAUGAUGACUUUUGGCAGAAAUUAGUUUCGGAAGAUAUAGUGGUAGAAAAUAGUGAUGAUUAUUGUUUAAAUGUGUAAAUAGUUUAAGCAUAGCCCGUAAUACCAAUAUUCAUUUGCACCUUCAUUUGGAUUAUCAUAUUUUAUGAUGUUCUUUCAUUCAUAACCAUUGUUCAAAAUUUGGAUUUGAUCAUAAAACAAAGCUAAAAAAUAUUAGAGAUACUAACAAUUGAGUCCCAUUUUAAGUCCCAAUACAAUGUGUCAUUUCCCAAUGCUGUAUCAUUUUAGGUGAUGAAUUUCAGAAUUAAUAAUUAGUUCAGACUUAAAUUAAGAUUUAGUUAUUAAGAUAUCUAGCAUCACUCAAUCACAAUAAACAAUAACCAAUUCAAAUUGGAACGGAAUAUUGUAUUUUCUUUUAAUUAAUUAUGAUGCAUAAGCAAGUAUUUGUGCUUGGGUUUUUUACUUCUUGAUUUUGUUUGGAAAAAUUUAUGAGACAAAGAAGUGUUUUGGAUAAUUUUUUCGGGAUUGAAAAUUUGAAACCACAACUUGGUAGAAGAAAUUAGUUGUGAACAAUUUUUUCUUAUAUUGUAGGACCUUCUAGUUGGAGUAGUGAUGGCUUUGUCUUCAUUUUUGGUUCCAUUUGUGUCGGCAGCCCCUUACUAUUCUCUUGACCCUGAGUUUGAGAUGAAAAUUUAUCAACCUCCAACCCCACAUCCAAAAACAAGUUGAUUGAAACAAUUGCUCUUUAAAUUAAGCGGACCCAAAUGAGUUAGGUUUCAGUUCUUAUCAUUUGUCUAUUAUUUCUUUGAAACAUGUAUUUUGAGCAUUACUGAUCUUAAUUAUCUGUAUUUCUCCAAUUAUUGAAGAAUUUCAUGUGGCCACUUUUUCUCCUUUUAAAAUAUGUUUAUUUUUUGGAGUGAUCAAACGGGUGUAGAAUCAAGUAAUCGCUGGUCUGUAGUUUAGCCAAUGAUGGCUCAUCCACACAGUUGAAUAUAUGAUACAAUUAGCUCUUAUUUGAGAAUAUAAAGGGAUCUUUCUUAUUUGAGAAUAUAAAUUGCCUAGAAACGUUCAACUAUGUUACCCAGCUCCAUGCACAUACAUUAACUUGAUGUUGUCAUAUUCGACAUUUCAAUUAUGCAAGCAAUCUUCAGUGAACAUUACGUCUUUAUUGAAUAAUCUAAAUGGAUAGUAAAUCUAGAGUUUGUGAGUUUUAAUCUAAAUCAAAUCUAUUAUGACUCAAUGUAUCUUCCUGUAUUCGUACUAGUAAUGCAGGGGAUUAUUUACUCUUACUCAUAUUAGUGACUGAGAUGUUCACCUCCAUCCAAUUAGAGAAACAGUGACUGGAUUCCUAUAAGGGGACUCUUAACCAUAUUGUGAGACUACCAGUUCACCACUCAGACCAAAAAUCUUUGUAAUUAAAUCCAAAGGUGAAGAUCUAUGCUUAUUAUCUAUUUAACGGCUAAUAUAUAAUUAUUUAUUUAUUUAAAUAUCAAGAGCUAUGCUUGUAAAUAAGUUCAAAUGUGAUGAGCGCAGCCUCACAUCUGUAUAUUACUCAUCAACUCUAACCUUUUUUAACUUUAUAUACUUUUUUUUAAUGUUACUUACGCUUUUUUUUUUUUUGGCUUUUUCGUCUCUGAAAAAAAAAAAGGUAGGGGUUUAGACUUGAAAAUAUCUUAAAAAUCAAACAAUAAUUUACCCAAUUUUUUGAAGCGAACUGCCAAACAUGUUCUAUUAGACAGUGAUAAAGUAGUUAUAUACAUUAAAAACGAUAUUUUUUACAGAACGAGAUUAUCAUUCAACAUUUUAAAAUAUGAAAACAUGUGGAAGAUGUUGUAAAUUGAUUGAAUGAAAAUAUCCCAAUGAAGUUUAGAAAAUUUGGUACUUGUUAUCUUAUCGAAAGUUUUCUAAAUUAUAUGACUGUUUAAACUUAGCCCCUCCUGGUACUGCCACUGCUUCUACGUGAAAGUCAUAUAAGUUUGUGUUAGCUGCCUAUAGAUUGAAUAACAAUUUUACUCAGGAAUUGUAGUCCAUUAUAGCAAUUUGAUUGAAAGUGCGGCUGCACUAAUUUUCUGGAUGAACUUCCCUACAUGUUUGUUCUCAUAUGACCCAGAAUACUACUAUAACAAUUGUGUUGGAAAUUAUUCAACUGGGUUACUACUCUACAUCCCCACCAAAAUUUAAACAGUCGACAUUGUGGAAAGAAACUCAUUUCGCCACUAGGCUUUUAGUGAGGCUAAUUUCUCUGAAUUUGGACAGAGUAGAUUUCUAAGCUAAUGCUUGGCAGAUCUCUGGGCGAUACUACAAAUUGCAUGUACAAUGAGUCUUAAUAAAUAUAAACGAUUCUCUGAUAUGAUUCAAAACAUCACUACAUGCAUAAGUUAAUAAGAAACAAUAUCAUAAGAUUAUUUAUGUAUCACAAUUUGUAGUUGUACCCUCUGUAAUGAAAUUAAAGGUGCAAUCAGCAAGUGAAAUGAAGCGAGAAAUGUCCACGCAUGAGGCAGUUUUUCUAGAAGAUUGAUACCUCUUUAACGAGCAAAGCAUACCAAUCCAAAGCUAGCCAAACCACAACUGCUGGUCCAGGGCUUAAAUGGAGUACUUCUACGCAUUAAAUAGUAACUAAAACACAAACUAUAUAAAUAUAUACACACACCUACCAGAAAAUUCAAAAAAUAGAGAAAGGAGUACAACUAUUCCAGUUUGUAGACAAUAUUGCAAUCAUGGCAUCAGUUGUAGCAAAUCCUUGAAAUCUACUAAACAAAACAAUGCUCUGCCUCAUGAAUCAAUGUUGAAUUACAGUUGAAAUUAAAAGUCUAGAAGGUGUUGUUUCCCUCUUCGAUUUUGCCUACACAAGUAAAGGGAAAUAAGAAUCAUAAAUGAAAAUCAGCAUUUACAGUCAAAAGAGUUUUUUCAAAUUGGUUGAAAAAGAAAAGUGAGCCACAUGCAUUGCUUUUGUUUUUCAAAGUUGGCACCAAAAUUGCAAGUUGUAGAAUAUAUGACUUUUGACAAUCCUGCACCAAAUGAAGAAAAAUGAAAAAGGUUAGCAAAAUUUGUCAAAUUGACAGAUAGGAGAAUUGACAAAUUGCAAAGCGGAUGGUGCAAUAGUGCAACGUUUUUUGCUAUAAAUAGAGAUGCAUUCUUCAUUUGUAAAUCAUCCAAAAAAUGUUAAGCUUAUAAGUUUCUAAGCUUUUAAUAGAAGUGUGUCUGGAGAAUUUAUCUUUCUUGCAGAGUGUGAGAGUACUGGGUAUAUUUAGGUUUCUGGGAAAUGAGAUUCGUUACUCAAAUAUUUAUACUAUAUUAAUUGUUAAAUAAACAAUUAUUCUUUCUUGCCUCCGUGGAUGUAGGUUAAAUAAUUGACAAAUAUUUGUACUAUAUUAAUUGUUAAUUACCGAACCACGUUAAAUAAUUGUGUCAUUUUAUAAUUAUUUGGUGCACUUGAUUCUGCAUUCCGCGCACAACAUACAGUUCUAAUUAUUAGAUAGAUGUAGAAUGUUCUUUCUUUGUUUCUCUGCUGCAAUGUGCAAUCCCACUCUGUUUGGCUACUCAAAUCGAGUCUAUGUUGAGACAUAAUUUUGACAUUAGAAGCAACCGCAACUAGUUUGGCAUUUGUACGACCCUUUGAAGGUUUUCAAAUUAGGCAACUAAAGUAUGAGUCAUCAGAUAUGAUUAAAACUCACCCAAUUCAAUCCAUCAGAUUCCGUAAGGAUAUAAUUGGAUGUCAUAAGGCCACCCCAUAUCCUCAAAAGUCCGUAGCCGUUGUCUCAACUCUGUCUGAGGCCAAUGUAAGUCCAAUUUGCACAAGCUCUUUAUGCACCAUAGCUCCUCUGGAAGUUUUCUCAAGUAAGCACAUGGGUUGACAGUUAAGCUUUCAAGUUUUGGCAUUGCUCCAGCCCCCAUCGUCCACUCAUCUAGUUAUUACGGACUAUUGAAUUUUGAGCCUCUCUAAUUUAUUUCUACUGCAUAGCGUUUCAAUAAGAAAAAUAAACAUAGGCUUCUUAUUACAGACCAACUCUGCCAACAUUCGAACUGUCCGUGGUUGGCCCAACCCAUGGCAGUUCCAGCUUAAGGUACUCAUUGCUCUCGGUGGGCCUGGAAUACAGGUCCCACCGCUAGCCCCUUUUUUGGAUUCACCACCAUAUAACUCACAUCCACCUCUGCACUCCAGCCCCAUAUCAGCCCUUCUUCUUUUAGCUUCCUUUAACACUAGCUCUUUCUCCCCAGACCUUUCAACUGCUUGAGUAAGGUCCAGCCCAUUUUCAAAUGAACCACUUCUUUGCCCUUAUCAAUCCGUUGACUGCUAGUGGCCUGAACAACUGGCAAUGCUUGUAAACUCAUUAUAUUUUCCAUAGAAUCCCGCCCAUCACUCCCUAUAUUGUUGGAAAAUUUCGUAUUAUUGGAAAUUCCUGAUUUGGAGGCAUUCAUCUCAUUAACCACGGUACCACUUGAGGAAUCAGUAAAAUUUCCAGAAUUAGCCACACUUGCUUCUGGCAGUUCCGAGCGUAGCCACCUUUCACUGGAGGACAUGGCAUUCCGACGAGUUGGAGCCUUCAUCUCUGGCCCAUAUGACCUUGUAAUAUCAGCAGCAUCGCAAUCAUACAACUUCGGACAAAGUUUUUCUGAAUGCCCAAGGAGUCCACAGAUGAAACAAAAAGUAUUUAACCGUUCAUAUUUGAAUUCAACCCAGAACCAAUCUCCUCCCUCCUUCUUUAGUCGCAAUCUUCGCUUCAGAGGUUUCCUGACAUCAAUGGAUACCCUUAUGCGCAUAUAGUUUCUCCACACUCCCAUGAGAUUAUUAGGAUCUGAAGAUUGAAACUCACCAAUAUAGUUACCAAUAUUUAUCAACACUUUCUCCGAAAGAAACCCAAUGGGUAAAUUGUACACUUGAAUCCAGAACGAAGUGUGGAAUAAAGGAACCCUAUGCGGCUGUUCAUUCUCCCCCAACCUCUUUAAAAUUAGAAUAUGUUGGUCGAAGGUCCAUGGUCCCGAAUCAAUAACACGCUUGAGGUCAACUUCAUGGAAGAAUUGGAACAAGAAAAGAGAAGGUGAUAAAUCUUUGAUGCACACUCCCUUCCCUGGACGCCAUAAUGCCGCCAUAGUAUUCUUCAUUGCCGGAAAGUUUAUCACCUUAUCAGUUAAAAACCGCCCCACCAAGUAGAAUCUAAAAUCAGUCAACCCUGCAUUUCCAGUGGCAAUAUCCUCGCUGUGGAAGACAAGACCAUCCUCAUCUUCCUCCCCAAUAGAAAACUUAUCAUAUGCGACAUUCAUCUCAUGCUCCCCUGAAUCUCUAUUGGUCGUCAUAGUACUCGUAAUAAGCAAGAAGUAUACCUAUCUAGCCGGAAGUACCCUAGAGCAAACUUGUCAGAAGGACAAGACAAACAAAGCUUGCCGGAAGUACCCUAGAACCUAGUUGUUUGCAUUAAAAAUGAUAUUUUUUGUGGUGUUUAUAAUGAGGUUAAUUAUAAUUCAACAAUUUAAAAUAUGAAAACAUAUGGAAGAUGGCCGUAUUUAAAUUGAUUGUAUGAAAGUAUUUCAAUGAAAUUCUAAAAAUUUGGUUCUUGUUAUCUUAUCGAAAGUUUUUUAAAUUAUAUUACUACUUGAACUUAACUCCUGCAUUGACUGCUUCUACUUAAAAGCCAUUCAAGUUUGUGUAAGCUACCUAUAGUUUGAACAACAAUUUACUCAUGAAUUGUUGUUCAUGACAGCAAUUUGAUUGAAAGUGGGGCUGCACUAAUUUUCUAGAUGAUUUUUUUCCUACAUGCUUGUUCUCAUAUGAUCCAAAAUCCUGCUACAUCAGUUGUAUUAGAAAUUACUCAUGUGGGCUACAAUUCUGCAUCCCCACCAAUAUUUAAGCAAUCUACAGAAACAUUUCUUGAGGAAAGAAACUCAUAUCGGCACUAGGCUUUCAACGAGGCUAAUUUUUAUGAAUCUGGAUAGCAUAAGAUAUCUCUCCGAUACACGUACUACAAAGUGUAUGUACGUUGACUCUCAAUAAAUACAAACGAUUCUCUGAUAUGAUUAAAAACAUCAGUGCAUGCAUCAUUUUAAUGAGAAAGAAUAUUCUAAGAACGAAAUUGAACGUGCAAUCAGCAACUAAAAUGAAGCCAGAAACAGAAAUGUACACGCAUGAGGAAGUUUUCUUAGAAGAUUGACAUUUCUUUGACUAGCAAACCAUACAAGUCCAAAGCUAGCCAAAACAUACCUGCAAGUCCGGGGCUUAAAUGGAGUACUUCUAAGCAUAACACAUUAAUCAAAACACGAUACACACACACACACAUACAUACCAGCAAAUUCAAAAUAGAAAAAGGAGUGCAACUGUUCAAGUUUGUAGAAAACAUUGCAACCAUGGCAUAUAUUAUAGCAAAUCCUUGAAAUCUGCUAAAUAAAACAAUGCCCUGUCUCAUGAAUCAAAGCCGAAUUAAAAUUUAAAUUGAAAGUCCGGCUGGUGUUGUUUCCUUCUCCAGUUUUGCCCACAUAAGUGAAGGGAAAUGAGAAUCAUAAACUAAAAUGUUCUUUUACAGUUCUUAUUAGAUAGAUAUAAAGGGAUCUUUCUUUGUUUCUCUGCUGCAAUUUGUGGCUAUCCCACUCUGUUUUGCCACUCAAGCUUAGUCUACGUUGAGACAUAAUUUUGACAUCAGAAGCAACCUCAAUUAGUUUGGCAUUUUUAUGACCUCCUUGUACGUUUUACGAUAAACAUAAAUCUACUGAGAAAGUGGGAAAAAAAAGAAAAUGCAUAUAAAAGUAUGAGUUAUCAGAUAUGAUUAAAACUCACCCAAUUCAAUCCAUCAGAUUCCGUAAGGAUAUAACUGGAUGUCAUACCGCCACUCCAUAUCCUCGAAAGUCCAUAGUCUUUGUCUGAACACUGUCUGAGGCCAAUGUAAAUCCAAUUUGCGCAAGCUCUUUAUGCACCACAGCUCUUCUAGAAGCUUUCUCAAGUAAGCACAUGGGUUGACAGUUAAGCUUUCAAGUUUUGGCAUUGCUCCAGCCCCCAUCGUCCACUCAUCUAGCCAAUACAUUGAUUUCAGGUGCAAAACCUUAAGCUCCGGAAAGCCACCAGAGCCAACACAGGACAGCUUUCUUCCUAAAUACGAGUUCUGCUUCAGUUUAAGUACUUGAAGGCAUGGAAGCUUUUCUAGCGUUGGCAUGGGAUCCUCCUUUAGCUCAGUAUUUGAUAAGCUCAGAUGGGUCAGACUUGGAGGAAACUGGUAUUCAGACAGGACCAUUCGUGAGGGCUUCCUUUCAUUCACCAGUUUCAAGCAUUCAAGUUUGUGGAGUUCGCAUAGGCUUUUGGAAACCCCAGAAUGAUAGCAACUCAAAUCUCCACAUAUCCGAAGAGUUUGAACAUUAGGUAGUCUGCCCAAAAUAUCUGGAGUACAACUAUUAGGGUUUAAGGCCGAUAUGAAAAUGAGAUUUUUCAGAGAGCUAGAACCAAAGUUUAGAUGCAUGAGUUUUUCCAUCUUCCAAAUAUCCUUUGGUGUUUGAUCUACGUAGCUAGAUGGCAUUUCUAGUGUCUGAAGGUUUAAAAGGGUGCAUAGCAGGGAAGGAAGACAUUUGAGUGAUGGGAUAUUCAAUUUCAAAUACUUCAAAUGGAAUAAAUUCUCUAAUCCGGGUGGAUAUUGGUCGAGAACUGCAAAACCCAUGUUCAAUACCCGAAGGUGUUUGAACUUUUUCCAAAAAUUCUCGCAAUCUGUCAGAGCAAGAUGUUCGCUUUUCCAAAAUGAGGUACCGUUUAGCAGUUCCCAGUGAUAUCUCUUCCAAGUUGGAGUACAGUCUAACAAAUCCCAUCUUUUCUGCCACCCAACGUAAAGCAGCAUAUACAUAACUUGGAACGUAACACGCUUUAAUUGUGCCGCCGGCUCUUAUCUUACCCACUUGAAUGAAUCCGCUAUUGCUUAAUUCUUUCAAGUACUCUUCAACCAUUCUCUAACUGUUGUAAUUGCCCGGUAUCAAACCUUCAGCUAUCCACAACUGACAUAAUUGCCUGGUAGAUAUCUCAAUGCUUGGAGGGAAGACACACAAAUAGAUGCAGCAGACUUUCAAGUGAAAAGGCAGCUCCCACACAGAAUGAAUUUGACUCAAAAUUGUCGGAAUCGCUUUCUGUCCAAUAUAAUUUUCUAAUGGCGUAUUUCCAUAGUCUAGGAUGAAAAAUUGCCAGGCUUCAUACUUUAUUCUAAUCAAUGGUCCUCCAACGAGAACUGAAUCAGGCUGGAUCUUUUCUCCGUUUUGCAAUUCGAACCAAAAAAGCGUUAUCAGUACUCUGCUUCCAUUCUGAUUAUCAGGAAGAAAUUCUACAAGAUCACUCCAUAUCUCACUGUCAUCAAGCACAAUAAAGUACUUCUUGUCUGUUAGGUAAUCUCGAAGAAUAGAUUUCUUCAAUUGAUAAUCUUCACCGAUAAUUACACUAACCCGAGAUGGAGGCAUCACAGAGUUGAUUAUGUCAUCCAAUAUCUUGCCAAAAUCGUAGGCUAUAGAAACCCUGACCCAAGC
rnacentral:lncRNA from 1 species